rnacentral:lncRNA from 1 species
AACCAAAAAGUAGUCAAAUUUGACAUUUAAGAAAAGGUUUUUUUUACAAAGCAACAAGAAAUAUAUGAGGUAAACAUGGACUGCGUACCUUCUGGAUGGUGCAACUCUUUUCAGUUCUUUCAACCCUGCCUUGGCAGAUUUUCUAUCAGGAGCUAAUUCACCAUCAAAGCUUACAUUAAGUAGAUCAAUUUCAUCUGCCAAUUUAAAAAAGGUUAGACAUUCAGCUCAUCUGAAGGUUCCUAAAAUAAAUCAUAUAAACUAUACGAACUCAACCAGUCCUACUUUAGGUUAUUCAACACCAAACAAGGAAUUUGUUACAUAAUAAUACUAUUCAUAUGAUUUAAUCAAUGGAAAUGACUUAAACAUUUUUGGGAUGGGAUAGUUGAUUUGUGACAUGGUACCAAAUACUCUGACCAAUUGACCACACAAUCUAGAAGUUGACCCUUCUUACUCCCAUUCUUCUAAAUAAAGAUUUAAGGUUCAGCAUGUGCAUUGUCUCUGCUUCAAUUCCAAAGGGCUCUUCGUAAGGGGGCAUAUUAGGUAUAAAACAUUCAUGUGCUUUCAUCCAACAGCUUAAAGUUCUAGUAUAGUUGGUUCGUGACAUAACUAUUUAAGAUUGUGUAAUAUAAUCAACAUAUAAGAAGGUAACUUAAACUUAUUCGGGAGUACUCACAACUGGGGUCCAGGCAUUGAUCCAAUAAUGCUGCAAGUAUCAUAGAAUCCAGCCCACCAGAGAAAAGAAUUGCAACAGGAACAAAUUUCUCGUGUCUGAUACCAGAUAUCACUUCCUAAGCAAUCAAAUCCAAAUAGUUCAAUCAUGAGUCAUGACAAAUAUAAAUGACAAUGACUGAAAGAAAACAAGGUCAGGUCUAGAAUAAGUUCUUGCUGAAGAGAUAGAAGCCAAUGAGUAUAUAAACAUUCAUGUGCUUUCAGUCAUGUGCAAAAAUUUGGGAAAACACAUGAAGUUAUGAUAAUUUGUUUCAGAACUUAGUACUGUGGCAGUCUUGAAAUAUUUAGUUGAGCAUACUUGAAUAAGCAUUAUCUCUAGUAACAAAAAGCUGCAAACUUUCAAAUUUUCACCUUUUGUUUUUAAAAAUUUCAAGAAACACAUUCAUUACAAUGUUUUUUAGAUAAAUAAAAAAUAAGAUGAGCUAUAACUUGACAAUAUGAUUAUGAAGGUAAAAGUAAACACAUGAAGUUAUGAUAAUUUGUUUCAAAACUUAGUACUGUGGCAGUCUUGAAAUAUUUGGUUGAGCAUACUUGAAUAAGCAUUAUCUCUAGUAACAAAAAUAUGGAAACUUUCAAAAUUUCACCUUUUGUUUUUAAAUAUUUCUAGAAACACAUUCAUUACAAUGUUUUUUAGAUAAAUAAAAAAUAAGAUGAGUUAUAACUUGACAAGAUGAUUAUAAAGGUAAAAGUAAAAUGCAGCUUCAUUAGAUAAUAAAAUUCUUGCUUUUUCCCCUCCACUUCCCAUUAUUCCUGUUCAAUACCCCAUUGUCUUAUCUUUUAGCCAUCUAUAUCAUUGAUCUGUAUCACGUUCUCUUAGGUUUUAUAUUUACUUCUAUACAUAUACAACCACUAUGUUGUCCAUCUCAUAUAGCGGCGUGGAGCGCCUAACCCUAAAAAUGGGAUAGCGGGAUGACUGCUAUUGUGAGGGCCAAAAAACAGUACAUAAACUAAACAUAAAAUACAAAGAGUAUACAAAAAUACUAAAACAAAUAGCAAAAUACAAAAAGUUAAAAGGGGUAAUCAUACUUAAAUCCAACAUCAAAAUCAAGUUCUAAUAGUAAUUAAAAUCAUGUUAUAAUAGUAAUAGUAAUCAACAAAAGAGAGAACAAAGCAGAAGAAAUAGAGUAGACAAAACAGCAGGAGCGGAGCAUAGUAGGGACAUAGGGGGGCUGCGGCCACCCAAAAAAAAAUAUAGGUAAAGUGACUAUAAUGUCCUGAUUAAAUCUAAAAAAUUACAACACUACCUAAACCUAAUUCAGUUUUCUCUUUCUUCCUCUCUCAUCCAGCCGCAUUUCUCUCUCCCUUUUGCUUACAAGUUACAACCUUCCUCUCUCCCUCCUCCAUAAUCAGCAACCUUCCUCUCUCCCUCCUCCAUAAUCAGAUUCACGACGAAAAACGCGCGGCCACUCUGCCAGAUUACGAAUCACGAAUCGCUCCUCUGCCCGCCGCGGGCCUGCGGCCGCCUCUGCCUGAUUGUCUCUGUGGCGGUGGUCGUCCGUCGCUCUCACCUCUCUGUUCGCCUCUCUAUUUUGUCAGUUCUGAUUUUUGUUAGUCAGUUUUUAUUUGGAAUUCGGAUUUCUAUUUUGUUAGUUUUGAUUUUGUUAGUGCAGCUUUUUGCUAAUGUUGUUCAAUUAGGAUGAAAUUUAAAGUUUAUUUUGUUAGUGUUGAGUUUGGAGCUUUGAUUUGGAGUUUUGAUUUAGAGUUUUAAUUAGAAGUUAGUGCUGAUUUUUGUUUAGAGUUUUUGUGUUGCACAUAAGCUGUGUUGAUUUUAUGUUUAUAUAAAGUGUUUGAGUUUUUUUGUUGCAAAUAAAGUGUUUGAUUUUAUGUAUAUAUAAAGUGUGAGUUUUUUUGUUGCAUAGAAGGUGUUUGAGUUUUGUUGCAUUUUUGUUUGAGUUUUUGUGUCCAUAUAGAGUGUUUUAGUUUUUUUUUUGCAAAUAAAUUGUUUUAUAUUUCUUAAAUUGAUUGAUUUAGAUAAGUUUGUGAGAAUGAAGAAGAGUAAAAGAAUUGACUAACUUAGAUAAGUGUUUUAUGUUGCAUAUAAGGUUCGGAUAUUUUUAUGUCGGUCACCCCAAGUUUAUCGGUCAAGCUCCGCCACUGCAAAACAGAGUAACAGAUAGAACGAAAACAACACAGCAAGAACAUAACGAUGCUGAACAGAGCCAAAACGGAACAGAACAAUGUUGAACGGAGCAAGAAAAUAACGAAAAUUACAGAGCAAGAAAGAUGGCGGCAUAGCAAAAAUGAAACAGAGGAAGAACGAAAACGGUUUCUUUUUCACGAUGCUGAACCAACCCCUUCGUGGGUUUAUAAUAAUAAAAAAUUAGAGCUUAAGUGGGUGUGAAAUGACCCAGACACCCUUAAUGAAGAAUACAAAAAUUAAAAAAGCCUGCAUUUUUUAAAAAGCCCUAGAGUGGGUCUGAUAGCAAGUCAGGCUAGGAUAGCGGGUUGCAGUGAUAGCGGGAUCGUGACGGGGAGCGCCGCUACCAUGAAACGCAUUUUCCCAGUCGUUGGCGUCGCAGUCAGCCCCUCCACUGCACCAGGAUAGCGGGAUUGCAACGAGAUUGACAACAUAAAGACACAACAGUUGAAGUUGUUGUCUUGUGACUAAAAGGUAACAGACUCACAAGUUUGAGUAGUGGAAUCAUGAAGCUAGUAAAGAAUUUAAUAUAAGACUUGAAUUAUUCAGCCCAAAACUGUUUGACAUCCCAAAGUUGAAAAUAUCUUAUCAACAUCAUACAAACCGAUGACGACACAUAAUACCUUUGAUGUUAGCCAUAAAUUAUAAGAGGUAUUCAUCUUAACCGCAGCAUACAAAUACAAGAUUUGUCAUCCAGUUUCAAUUGAGUUGCAUACCUGAUAAAUAGUAUACAAUGAUGUACGCCGUAUGACAGAUUCCUUUAAAACAUUUAGCAACAUAUGUGCUCGCAUUGGAAUUGCAGUUUGAGUUGAGUCUGUGUAAUGAAGACAAAAUUGUUACAGCCUCUGAAACUUAAAAGCUACAACAGAAUUGUCAAAUAAUGCUAAAGGCACUAGAAUGUACGGGAAUUGCAAUUAAGUAUUUGAAUAAAUAAAUGGAGCAUUAUGGCACUAUCAUGUGGUAAUCACCUGCUUCAUAUUGAACUGUCUCUAAAGAAGCUGAAUGUACAUCUUGUUGCCUCCUAGAAAACUUAUGGUUGGAUGUUUGCAAGUUUUCAGAGCUAGGUUCAAUGGAAAAUCUCUCCCACUUGAUAAGUUCCUUUAAUAUUGAGUUUGUAUAUUCAUGUAUCUGAACAUCGCCGACCAGAUAUCCGUUUGAAUUUGAAGCAUCCAUGUGCAUACUAUAUAUUCCACAUGGUAGCUCUUCCCAGUAACUACGAAAUUCAAUUCCAUUAUGAGCUUCAUUUUCUGCAGCAGAUUAAUAUUAUUAAGUCCAAUUGUUAUAAUUGUAUGUCUAAUCAUUGAGGGAAUUCGAAUGAGUAAGAUAGGACUAGUCGUGAAUGAGAUGGUUAUAGAGGUAGGCUAUGCUGUAUAUAAAUUAUAGGAAAGGAUAGAGGGAGACUAUCUAAUGAUAUAAGAAAGUAUUGCAGCCUUAGGGCAGGGAGGAGCCAGCCCCCAAAAAUAUGCAACGUUGUUCCGUAAUCAAGGAACUUCUUUAUUCUUUUAAUAAGAUUUAAUAUACCAAGUUCUCAUCAACUAGUUGCAGCUGCAGUUGCAGAGCUAUUAUCUUGGAGCUAUGUAUGGGUAUUGCAAUUUGAAGAUGAUUCCAAAUUUUGACAGAGAGAAAUUUUGGUGGCUAAUCAAUGCAAAUUUUUUAGGCCAAUUAAAUUGUGGAGAUAAGCAGCGUCAACUAAGAAGGCAUGAAAUCUCCUAAAAACAGUUAUACACUUUCCUGUUCUUUACUCAUAACAACAUACCCACCAAUGUCAAAAUGAUAAUGAGUACAUAGUUUACGGUACAUUCUGGCUAGCACUGAAUUAGAAUAACUGUAAGUUGUUUACUAAAUGGCAAUAGGUUCUAUUCAGAUCACUCUAGCUCACAGAAAUUUAACCACAAGAGCAAGGCAACGGUAGUUGUUUCAUGUAUUACAUACCAGGGGCCUGCUGAGCUGGAGAAACUGGCGACACAGAAGAAAGAACAAAUGUUGAAUCGUUUUCUGUAGGCCAGUGAACAAGGAGGCUCCGCCUACCAAAUGCAUCUCGUCCAAACCAAAGGGUCCUUGAACUUUCCUGCAAUAGAAAAGGAAAGAAGCACUACCACCAAUGACCCCACAAAGAAAGCAAACACACUACACUAAAGUUGGACACACGGAAACUUACCACUCGGAGUUACCUGCCAAUAGACGAUAGCCCAUGGUCCUUUAAUUGUACUCAGAACAUCUGUAAUAGAACCUUUCCCACAUUUAACACAGUAACCGGUCAAACAAGAACCACAUGAGCAACAACCUUCAAGUGUCUUCAUCAGAAACUCGGCAUCGUUGCAAUCACUAGCAAGUUCAAGUCCUCCAAAAAUCUCACCUAAAGAGCAAAACAAAAACAAACAAAAUUAAAAUCUAAAACAUCUUAUUGUAAAUCAUUCACACAAAGAGAUAGACAAAUUCACACAUUUCGACCCUUUUUUUGUAAACAACUUAAUUAAGCCCUUUAUCAUAUAAAUACUUAUGUAUAAGCUAUUUCUAUAACACAAGCUAAAAUAAAAUCAAGCUAUUAUCAUAUAAGCUAUAAGCUGUUUCCAUAAGCUAUUUUGGAAACCUUAUAGAAAUAAGCUUAAAACAACUUAUGGACAUAAGUUAGUUUCAUCUCAAAAAGUCUCACAAGUGCUUAUAUCGGUAGAAUGUAGAUAAGCUCAAAUAUAUCAAUCCAAACUGAAGUUAAAUAGCGCAAACAUGAAGCACUCAUGACAAACCUAUGCCCAUUGUUAAAUAUUGAUAUCGUGUUUUAACAUGGCCAAAACAAUAAAACACUAAAAAUCUAAAAUCAGAGGCAAUUGAAUUAAGCACAAACCAUUAUAAACUAGAAUGUUUCGAGAAGCAUCCACUAAGGGCUGAACAAGCGGAACAGUUCCCCUAAGCUGCAGAGUUGCGCCGAUGAAUUGAAGUUCGCCGUCAGCGUCUUUGUUUUCAGAACAUAAUAACGUAUCAUCAUCAUGGUGUUGUAUGAAGGAUGAAAUUUGGUAUUCACAUGAAACGUUGUGUUGCAGGAUAACUUUCUUGACACCUAAGCUAUCAGGACCCCUUCUCCGCAGUGCUGCUUUCAGUUCAUCUAAACAGAGCAACAACUGCACCAAAUCACAAAGUAAAAAAUAACUAAAUAAAAGAGAAAAAUGGUGUUAGUUGUAACUAAUUUGUAAGGUUGGAGUUUAUGAAAUUAGGUGGUUACAUUUUCGGAUUGGCGAUGUGAGGAUGUUGAAACGAAUGGUGUAGAUGAGAUGUGAAUUCGAAUGCCUGAGACAGUCAACGCGAUUCCACACAUCUCUCUCUCUCUCUCACUGCUUCUCAGCUUCGGGGCAGUGGCAGGGAGGGAAUGUGGUUUUCGUAGGGUUUUUUAUUUGAGAGUUUGCUCCCUGGUUAUAUUCCUUUUUAAAACUACAAUUUAAUUUCUUUCACGUAGGAGCUUCCAUAGCAUAGUGGUAGUGCGUUCGCUUCGUAAGCGAAAGGUCGCGAGUUCGAUCCUCGCUGGGAGCUUCUUUUAAUAUUUUGCACAGUUUCCACUUCUGCAAUCCUCUUUUAUGGGCCGAAAUCUAGCCUCAGUAAACUGCUACAUAUAAACCAGACAGAUGAAAAGUGACUCUAAAUUGACAGCAAUUAGCGUAAUUAUCAUGUUGCCCUCCAUAAUCACGUCAAGAAGUAACUUCGACACUUCUAGUUUUGUAUGCCACGUAAAUCAUAUCGAUAUCAACGUGACUUCUCUUUUUUACGGAAAAUAAAAAGUCUUGAAUUUGGUAUAUAAUACAAUGACGUAGAAUAAUUAACAUUUAUAAAAUUAGAAUAAAAUUAUUUCAAAACUUAAUUUUUAAUUUCAUGUUUUUUUAAUUUUUAUAAUUAAAUUAAUGGCAUAAGAAUAAUUAAUAUGUUUGGAUGAUUUUAUAUUAUAAAAUUGUAUGUCACAUCAUUUAAUAUAUCAAAUCGUCAUUUUAUAGUUUCAAAAUCAUAUAGAGAAAACUAAAGUGUGGACUUUUAAAAUAAAGAUCAAUUUCAUAAAUUGAUAAAAAUAAAUGAUCAAAAUUACAAUUAAGAACAAAAAAUUAUUUAAGUGGAUAAAAAUCAUUUGGGUACUAAAGAGGAUAAAACAAACAUAUUUGAUCCUUUAAGUUGAGAGUUUUUUCUUGUGAGAUAGUUUUAUUUUAGAUGAUCUCUUGCUUUUCUUCACUAAAGAGGAUAAGUUAUUUCUUUUUCUUUUCAUUUUGGUGUGACGUUGUUUUGAUUUUUUUGUCUUAUUGUGGUGUUCAUUUUAUUUAAAUUAAAAGAUUAAUUUUCAUCAAGUGCAUAAUAAAUGAGAGAAUCAGUAUUUUGAACAUUUCAAUGUUAUCGUAUUUGUAGAUUUGGUCAUAUUUUAUAAACAAUAUGUCGUUUUAUACUAUUAAUUUGAAUAUAAUGAGUUUAUUUGUAAAUUUAUCAUUUGUGGUUUGAGUAACUUUAACUUGUAUAAUUGUUAAUCUGUGUAAGUUUUUUAAUGAUUAAAUAUUUUUUUAGUAAAUCAAAAAUCUUAGCAUGGCACCCUAUUGCCAUUGUUCAAAAUGUAAUCCACAUAAUAAACCUGUUUGGUAAUGUGUUCGGGUAUAAAGUCUCGUUAAUGUGUUAUUAAAUAGACUUAAUUGUAGUUUUGGUCCACCUAUUUUAGCUUAAUCGUAAAAGUAGUCUUCCCAUUUUAUUUUUUUCCAGUUUUGGUCCCCCAAACAGAAUUUUGGUCCGAAAUUUUAUGAAGUUUCAUUUUUUUGCGUUUAUUCAAGUCACAUCAUAGCUCAAGAUCUCGUGGUGCAACAAUUGUAUCUAAAAUCUAUGAUUAUAAAUGGUGUGGUGUGACUUAAAAAAAAUGAAACUUUAUCAAGUUUUGGACCAAAAUUCUGUUUGAGGACCAAAACUGAGGAUAAAUGAAAUAGGGGGACUACUUUUGCAAUUCAGCUAAAAUAGGGGAUCAAAACUGCAAUUAAGCCUAUUAAAUAAUAUAGCACUAGGGGUGUACAUGCGUGCAGAUGCCAACCCGACCUUCCAACCUGAUUUUUACUUGUAUUCGGUCUGACCCAACCCAACUCAACCCGUUGAAACCCACUUAUUUUGAUUCGGGUAAUGAGUAUAACAAUUUGAACACGUAGACCUGAUCCGAUAACUAUAACUAUAUAUAUAGGCAGCCCCAACAAUCCAAUAACGUUUCAUUACUCUUCUUCUUUAAAUUUUCAGUUUAUGCACCCACCUUCUUCUAGACGUCUGGAAGUCGCAUCGUUGUCCACCUUAUUCUUUUGUUACGCAAGUGCUCAUACCUAAUUUUUAUAUGAAUGUUGAUGCAAAGUGUUCAUGUGUCUAGUCUAAAUACUUAAUUUUUCUCGCAGGUUAGCAUUUUAUUUGUUUUGUCCUUAUAAUCUCGUAAAUCUCUACUCAUACAAUUCGUAUCUAAUUUUUGAAUUGUCUAUUUCGAAAUAGCAAUUUAAUUUUUGAGUUAAAUACUAUUUAUUUAAAUGUUAUAGUUUUACAUAAUAAAGGUUGAACGAAAAGUUUAUGCAUAUGUUUAUAAUGAAUUUAGUUUAAAUUUUUUACAUUGUUAAAUACAAAUUUUUUAGUUAAAUAUUAUUCAUUUGAGUUAAAUACUAUUUAUGAAUAAAAAUGAUGCUUAUGCAAAAUUUUAUGAUAAAUUUAGUUUAAAUUUUUUACAUUUAAAUCUAUUAAACAUUUUUUUUAGUAUUGUAUUUAAAAUUUUAGAGUUGUCUAAAUUAGUUUCAAUUGAUGUUAUGGUGAAGCUUAACACAGUCACUACUACAUCUUAAGUUACUUGUUAUUGCUUUGUUUAACGCAUAUUUUACUUAUUUAUUAUUUAUUUUUCUUUAUCUCUUCACUUUUAUUAUUAAUAUUUAUUUUUGCAGAUUAUCAAUUAUUUCCAUCCAUACUUUGAGGAACUUGUUAUAAUUGAUGAAUUUUCAUAUUUUAUUUAUUUAAUAUUGUUAAAUUUAUUUAUGUAUUUGAAGAUUGUUUGAUUUUUUAUUUUUAUUUUUUUGUGAAAGGUUGAUGAAUUUUUUAAAGAAUUGAAUGAUGUGAUUGAAAUUUUAUAGUUUUUGACACAUUCAAGUGUUAAAUAUAUUUUCAUUCGAUAUAUUUUCCCGUAAAAUAAAAAACAAGUUAAUAUUUAUGUAUAACCCGUCAACCCAACUCAACUCGUUCUUGAUCGGGACGGUUCGGUUUGGGUUAAAUGAAAAAAUACAAGUUUAUAACUUAACUCAAUCCAAAGAUAAUUGAUUGGGUCGGAUAUCGAAUUUUGUCGAAAUCGGCCCAACUCAAUCCACAUACACCCCUAUAUAGCACUAUCUUAUCAAAAAAAAAAAAAAAUUAUUGCACUCUCAGAGCUUUAGGGGAAUUUAGGUAAUGGACAAGGGAUGUUUUUAAAUUAAUUGAAGUGUUUGAUAAAAUUAACGGUUCAAUUAACUUAAAAUGUAAAAUGGUAUAAAAUAACAUUUUUAAUUAAACAUAAACUUUAUCAAUUAGUGUUUAAAAUAUUUUAGGCUUAAUUGCAGUUUUUGUCCCUCUAUAUUAGCUGAAUCGCGAAAGUAGUCCCCUCAUUUUAUUUAUCCCCAGUUUUAGUCCCUAAAUCAGAAUUUUAGUCCAAAACUUGAUUAAAUUUCAUGUUUUUGCAUUUAUUUAAGUGAUAUCAUGCCUCAAGAUCUCGUUGUGCAACAAUUGUACUUGAAAUCUAUGAUCAUAAAUAGUAUACCGCGACUUUAAAAAAUAUCACGUCAUCAAGUUUUGGAUUAAAAUUAUAUUUGGGGGACUAAAAUUGGAGAGAAAUAAAAUGGGAGGACCACUUUUGUGAUUCAGCUAAAAUAGUGGGACCAAAACUUCAAUUAAACCAAUAUUUUAAAAGUGGUUAUUUAAAUUUAAUGUUUAUUUUUUAUUAAUUUAAGAUUUAUCAAUCUGAAAUAUUUUUAUUUAUUUGUGUAUCACUUUAAAUUAUGACACAUUCAAGUGUUAAAUAUAUUUUCAUUCGAUAUAUUUUCCCGUAAAAUAAAAAACAAGUUAAUAUUUAUGUAUAACCCGUCAACCCAACUCAACUCGUUCUUGAUCGGGACGGUUCGGUUUGGGUUAAAUGAAAAAAUACAAGUUUAUAACUUAACUCAAUCCAAAGAUAAUUGAUUGGGUCGGAUAUCGAAUUUUGUCGAAAUCGGCCCAACUCAAUCCACAUACACCCCUAUAUAGCACUAUCUUAUCAAAAAAAAAAAAAAAUUAUUGCACUCUCAGAGCUUUAGGGGAAUUUAGGUAAUGGACAAGGGAUGUUUUUAAAUUAAUUGAAGUGUUUGAUAAAAUUAACGGUUCAAUUAACUUAAAAUGUAAAAUGGUAUAAAAUAACAUUUUUAAUUAAACAUAAACUUUAUCAAUUAGUGUUUAAAAUAUUUUAGGCUUAAUUGCAGUUUUUGUCCCUCUAUAUUAGCUGAAUCGCGAAAGUAGUCCCCUCAUUUUAUUUAUCCCCAGUUUUAGUCCCUAAAUCAGAAUUUUAGUCCAAAACUUGAUUAAAUUUCAUGUUUUUGCAUUUAUUUAAGUGAUAUCAUGCCUCAAGAUCUCGUUGUGCAACAAUUGUACUUGAAAUCUAUGAUCAUAAAUAGUAUACCGCGACUUUAAAAAAUAUCACGUCAUCAAGUUUUGGAUUAAAAUUAUAUUUGGGGGACUAAAAUUGGAGAGAAAUAAAAUGGGAGGACCACUUUUGUGAUUCAGCUAAAAUAGUGGGACCAAAACUUCAAUUAAACCAAUAUUUUAAAAGUGGUUAUUUAAAUUUAAUGUUUAUUUUUUAUUAAUUUAAGAUUUAUCAAUCUGAAAUAUUUUUAUUUAUUUGUGUAUCACUUUAAAUUAUUAUUUACAAAAAAUGAUAUUUUGCUAUAUAUAGUGGGUGCAUAGAAAUGAUUUUUGUUUUAAAUUAUUUUUUAGAUUUUUUUAAAAAUGAUUUUUUAAUUUUUGUUUGUUUUUCUACUAUAAAAAUGAUUUUUAACGUGUUUGUAUACAAUUUUGUAAAAUUGAUUUUUUUAAUCUACAUAAUUACCAUAAAAGACACAAUAAAAAUGAAUUUUAAGACAACAUGUUUGCAAAUUUUUAAAAUUAUUUUAUUUUACUGUCAUCUCAUAUUGCAACAAUUCUUCCAUCACUCUCAUAACUCUUCACAUAUGUUUUUAAUUGUCAUUUUAAUUGAUAUUUAAGUCAGUAAUAUUUAGAGUAAAUGUGGUGAUAAUGCAUUUAGUUUGAUAGUUUAGUAAUUAGGGAAAUCUUUGAUAGGUGCCAUGAAAACCAAAAUUAUUGCAAAUAUUGUGAAAUUUACUAUAAUAGAACAAAUGAAAUUUUUCAAAUCUUAAUUGGUACUUCAAAAUUUAUUAUUAUUGUGUUAAUCUAUUUAUUAGACGCGAUUCAAAUCCUAAAAUACUCAUCAAAUUCUCGUACAAUAUAAAAAACAAUAAAUAAAACACAAGCAAAAAAAAAUUGGUAUCAACAUAUGAAUACCCCUAUAAAGAUAAAUGAUUCAAAUAGAAAACAACAACAAAAAUGAUGUGGAGAAAUCGAAAACGAGAAGUAAACUUACUUUCAUGAGAACCUAGAUCACAGUCACAUGGAAGACAAAAAAGCGAACAAGACAAAAAGACAAUGCAGGGAAUGACAUGUGAAGUUGAGUGCGUGAGGGAGAAAAGGCAGAUAAGGGCAAUUUCAUAUUUUUUAAAAGAGUAAAGGUAAUUGCUUAAUUUUCUCUCGUUAAUGAGUUAAGUUCGGUGUUUUUGAAUUUUGUGGUUUUUUUCUCUCUCAUACACCGCACUAGGUAAAUAUGACAAACUACUAUUUUUAACUUUUCAUUUUUAUUCAAAAAUUAUUUUCAAAAAAUCUGAAGCAAACAUCGUUCAAACACUAAAAAAAAUACUUUUUAGCUUGAAAAAAAUAGAUUUUUUAAUAGAAAAAUCUGAAACAAACGCACCCAGUAUAGCUCUACUAUAUAUAUGAUACAAACAUCAGACAUGACAAGGACACGGACUUUGUGGCAUGACAGUAUAAAUUUAUUUAUUUAUAUGUAAAAUUAACAUAAAAAUUCUAAGUUGAAAUUAAUAUAUAAAGUUAGCAACAUUAUACUUGAAGUAGCAAUAUCAAUCACAAUGAAUGGGUUUCAAAUUGUGAUCCUUUUUAAAAAUAUUAAUUCCUGUUUUUAAUUUAAAUUAACUUAAAUCAAUGUUGGUUACAAAUAAAAAUCUAUAACUUUCUAGGUAAGUUAAAAACAAAUAAAGCAAAUUAUUUAUAGGUGAUAUGUUAUACUGAGUGAGAAAUAAAUAAGGAUAUAGAUAAGAAUAUCACACAAUGAUGUAUUCUGGUUCACUUGAGGUGUGCUACGUCCAGUACUCACUAUGAGUUUCUCCACUAAUGUGUUUGGCACAAGAACAUUCUAGAUUUCACACUAAUUUUCUUGAUCACUUUUGAUUAGUUACAUAAUUCACCUUUCAACCUGUAAUGAAUUUUUACAAUUACCUUUCAGUUUAAAAAUGAUUUUUACAAGUUACCUUUUAAUCCUAAAGAAUUUUUACAACAUACUCAAUCUUAAAAGAUAGAUUUGAGUUUCAAAUUACCUGUAUGAUAAAAAGUUUUAGGUUCAUAAUCUGCUCAACAUUGAUUUGAGAUUGAUUGUCAGUAAUAACUCGAUAAAGAGAUCAUUGAAUAUAGUAAGAGAAAUAUGGAGUUUUUGCUUGAUUGAAGAGUUUUGCUUGCUUGAGUAUGAUUGUUUGAGUAUUGGAAUUAUUGCACUAAAAGCUCUUGACAAUGUCUUCGCCGUUAUGUUAUUCUUAUAGGCAUGGAGAAUGUUAGGAAAUACUUAUUAAGGUUGGUACUAAUCAUAAGGAAAAACGUCUAUUUAGAGUGAGAUUUAUUAGACACGCGUGAUAUUUAACCUAUAAUAUUUUUCUUUGAAACCAAAAUGUUCUUGUUAUGUGUUGUAUGGAAAACAUGAAUGAGUGAUUUAGUAGUUGUCUAGUGUAAAUCAUUUGUCUCAAAGGUCUGCUGAGCUUUCUACAAAAAGUGCAAAAAUAAUGUAUUUGUUCUACUUGCUUUGCAACUCAUCGAUCUGGAAAUUGAUUUGAUAUUAAUUUGAAGACUGUCUAGCUUAUUUGGACCAUCAAUUUGAAUUUUUGACUUGAUUAUAGUUUUGAGUAGUCUUGUUAUUAUGUUAUCUUAAGAUUUAGACUAUGAAGAAUGAUUCAUUUUACUUUUGUCCUUUAAAUGAAAUAACUAUAAUGAUCUUGAUUACCCAAAAUGAUCUUGUAAUCAAUUUCCAGUUCAAUUAAGGUAUGAUGUUAUUUGAUUUUUAUUCAGGUGAAAUUGUUGAUUGUUGUAUGAAUGUAUUUGAUCACCUAUCUUUGAAUCUCAAAAAUACAAAUUAAAUACAACACAAUCAAAAUCAUGAUUAUAAAUUAAUAAACUUAUUUGUUUAUCUUCAAAAUAUUUGAUUUGAUAUUGCCUCAACAUUACCAACAAAGCUAUGAUAGUACUAGUAAGUACGACCGUCAUAAAAAAAAAAUACUAAGAGUGAGAGUCAUCAUUUCUAUUGAAAUAUUUAUACAAAUAAUCACAAGACAAUAGAUAAUGAAUUAUAUCUUUUAUAAGAAGUAGAGAGUUAUUAUAAAUAUAGAGAGUGAGGUUGAAUUUUUGUUUAUCCCAACAAUCAUAGUCAUUUAUAUGUGUUGAAUGUUUAUGUAAUUGUGUAUUUUUGAGAUAACUAUAAUUCGUUGGUAAAAUAUGUGAAAGAAUUUACAGUUUUUUUCCUUGUAAAAAUUACACGUUGCAUAAUAAAAUAUUCGAAUGUGAGAUUGUGGUUUAGGUUAGGUAUUGAGUGUUGAAUUUGUGAGUGGUAUUUUGUUAUUAUUUAUUUAUUUUUUGUUGUAUUGUGGGUACGUUUCCGCUUGUGUGAUGACUUUUCUCUUGUUGGUUUCUCAAUAAUUGACAUUGGAGUUGAGUCUUUUAUAUAGGGAGGUAGAGAAACAAUGUGUCAUGUCAUUCAUUUGAGAAGAGAUUGGCUCUCAUCUUAUUUAUGCUUUUAAGAUAUGUACUAUGAUGUGGAAUGUUACUUUGUUAAAUGGAAAUAUGAAGUUCUCUUUAUUGCAAUGCACAAUCCUAAACUAUUUAGUCAAAUGGGUCUUUAUAGCAUUUUGGAAAGAAAAAAAACCAAAUAAAUGAAUAUUUCAUGGUGAAGUACAAUACAUAGAAAGCCGUGAUAACAAUUUGAUUAACAUUUGCUUCAUUAAUUAAAGUCAAUGUGUUGAAAGAAAUUUCUCAAAAAAAAUUGUGGGACUCAUGGAAUGGAAUUAAGUUCGCGUCAAAAUCACUAACCAAUCAAUUGAUGAUGAAAAUGAACUUGUACUUGUUGAAUAUAGGGGUUAGUUGUGUUUAACCAUAGUAAUAAGUUCAAUGAGUUGAUAUAUGUACUUUUGAAUUAAAUAAAAAUAUGAGAGACGAAGAGCAAGUGCUACUUUUGUUGGCUUUCCAAAAUUUAAAAAACACUAGUGCAAUCAAUGUUAGUUGAAAGUAGUAUAUUGCAGCUAGAUUAUGUGAUGACAACGUUAAAGGGGAGUCAACAAAUGAUAGGGGAUAAUAGUUAUUCAGUUUCAUACAUAAAUAUUUAUAGGGGAUAAUAGUUAUUCAGUUUCAUACAUAAAUAUUUUUCUAAGGCCAAUCGAUGUAUCAACGCAUGUGAACCCCCUUAUACUAUUUGGAAAAUUCACGUUCAACAAACAUUAGACACCAUAAAUAGAUAAAUGAUAUUUUGACACGCAAAUUUCACAAUAAAUAUCAGCAUUAAAAAUGGAUGAUUGAUAUAGUUUAAAAAUAUGGCUAAUUAUGUUCUUUGUAUGAUUAAUGAAUACAAUAGGAUGUCUAUUUUAGGGUGGAAUAUCUCGAAUCUUCCUUAACUAUGUGUCGUGCUUAAGAUUUGUGUUUUUUUAAAGUCAAGAUGAAUCAUAUUCACUAUUUUAAGUCAUUUUCUCUAUUUAACCUCGUGAAUGUCCCCUAUGUAUGGUGGGUUUCAAAAAAUUCCCUUUUGUAGCUCAACUAGGGUUUUCUCCAAAUCCUUUGGGUCUUACUUUCUUCUUUAGGUCUUACUCCAUAUCAGUACAACGACCUUGUUUUUAGGAUAUAUAAAAUGAACUGUGUAAAACAUAAAUGAGUCAUAUACUGGAAAUAGGUUCAAACUCAUAUAAAAGUGGAUUUUGGUGUGAGCCUCUAAUAUUAUGUUUUUACAUUUCACAUCCUUUAAAGCAUGAGACUUGUAAUGGCUAAAAUGUUUAAAACAAUAAAGAGAGAUAAUAAAAAGUUUAAUGAUUUAAUGUCGCAACUUAUUAACCAUCUAAUGAACGCAAUUAACCACAAUUUUUAGGUGUUCAAAUUAAUAUUCAUCCACUAUUUAAAAACUAUGAUUAAAUAAAUUUAUAGUCAUUAUAAAGUUUCAACAUUUUAUUUGAAAUCCUUAUUAAAAAUUCUCAUCAUUUUAAUCUUAAAUUUUUUUCUAUUUUUCAUUUUAUGUAUCUGUUUUUAAGUCAAUUCAUGCUAAAAAGGUUAUAAAUGAAUAUUACACAAAAUUCAAUUGAAAAAAUUAAAUGGUGUAAUAUUAAUAAAUAUUUUUUAAUAUAAAAUGUUAAUACUAUAAUAUAAUAUAAAUAUUUGUAUGUAUAUAUAAUAAUAACUUAAUAUUAGACUUAGAGGUGGAAGGAACCCAAGCCAAGCCUGCCCUUGCCAGCUCAUGAAUCAGUCUCCACUUUUUUUUUAAGAUCCUUUAUCGACAUAUUUAUAAUCGAAAUUUAAUUGUUAUCAACUUUUUACAUUUAAAUAGCUCAGCUAAAAAAUAUACAUAAAUCACACCAUUUUUUUCUUAAAAAGAAAAACAAAAAAGAUGUAUAUGUUUGUAUAGAUAGACUAAUAUCCGUAUAUGUUUAUAGUAAAAAAAUAAUACACAAAAAAAAGUAUCUUCUAAUGUAAUUUGUGAUCUCAUAAAAUUACACCAAUAGAAUAGACACUUAAUCAAUCCCUAAAAAAAUUAAAGGUUGCAAAAAUAUACGGUGCAAACCUUAAUUAAAUAUUUUAACUUUACGUUUAAAUUAUUAUACAAAGAAAAAUUAAAUAUUUUCAAGUACUUUACUAACGUUGAAUUCUUGUGGUCUAAGAGCAUCUUCAACGGUAGCUAAAAUGAGUUCGUCCGCCAGGUGUAAUUACGUAACCGUCAGUUUUUGGCAAGUUCACUGUUGGAGAUGUGCCAAGUUGUUGUAACACCCCGAUUUUUAACACCACGAGUGUAUUAUUAUUAUUUAAAACAAAUUCAUAAAAAUGAAGAACUAAAGAAGAAAAUACUUUUGGAUAAAUAUUUAAGUCGUAACACAACGACAAAAGUCAACAAUAUUUACAAACAGCGGAAAUAGUUUUUGAAACAAAAUCCAAAGUAUUUAAAUAGAAAAAUACAACGGGGCUAUGAGACCCAUCAGACAUAGCUCAUACCCUUGGAGUAUUCUCGGCAGACACCUGCAUAAAAGCACUACCCCAAGAAUCUCUACUUUCCCCACAUCACAUCAAAAUGUGGAACAUGGACCCAUUAAAAGAAAAAGUCAUCAGACAGUUUAAGCAUAGAUACAAUCUUCCAAAAUGAAAUAAAUACAAUCCCAAGAGAAAGACAUCUAGUCCUUAUACAACCACCUAAUCUGAUCAUGCUACAAAACUACACCACCCUGGUGAUCUCCACGCGCCCCGCAAGAUCCUCCUGACACAGCUUUGGUCAAGUAUGACUAACUACUUUCUCAUCUCCAUGGUACUAACCGGUAGGAUGAUCCUGGUUCUUAUUUGAGGGCAAAACCCAGAUUUCCACAAUAAUUGUAAAGGUCACCAACCGAAAUUAACAAACAUCACAUAACAAAAUUCUUAUAUUUUCAAAUGCUCAAAAGAACCUUUCGUCUUAGCAUACUCCUCGAAAGGAUUUUCAUAUGUCCAAAAAUGCAUAAACAAUGUUGAAAAAUGAAGUUUUGACAAACUGCAUUGUCGUGGCCGAAUACAAUUGAGAAAAGGCAGAUUUUCAAUUCUAAAAUGGCUCUGAAUCAAUCAACACUUCAAACAUUAAUGUUAUCAACUAUGAACACAUAAUUAACACCAAAUUAAUCUCCACAAAUUCACACCUCAAUCACAAAUCGAAUAUUCAUUACAUCAAUUAUGAACACAUAAAUACAUCAAAACUUGAUCAACCUAACUUCACACCUCAAAGUAAUUACGACAAAUCACAACAACAACCGAAUAUGUAUAUACAAUUAUCAAAGUAUAACAAACAUGACUCGCGUGCCAAGCACCAUAAUGCAAUGCGUAUAUGCCAAAAUGCAUCAUUUCGAAAUUCCAAACCAAAACCCUCCUCGAGGGGCGUAAAUCAUAAUUGUACAGCCUCUCACAGACUAGUACUAAUUACCGAUGUGCAAUCUCUCACGGAUCAGCACGAUUUACUAGCGUGCAGUCUCUCACAAACCAGCACGACAUACAAGAGUGCAGUCGCUCACAGACCAACACAAUUUUCUAGAGUGCAAUCGCUCACAGAUCAGCACAUUCUAGAGUGCAAUCUCUCACAGAUCAGCACGACGCGACAAUCCCCGCAAGGAUAAGAUGAACCAACAAUUCACAUGGCAUCAUCCUGUGGCCCAUCACAGUCACCACUAUCACCAUGGCCCCAUCGCGGUCACCAUGUACUAUGAAAUGCAUGAGCAUACUCUGACUUUUUUCACCACAAUCAUUAAGUAAAUGCAGUUAUUAAAAGAUUCCCCAUUUUUAAUACUCAUUUAACACUAAUGAUUUUUCAAACACCACACAGAGCAUACUCAAACAUAUUUAUUCACACCAAUUUAAAUUUCCACAACCACAUAUAAAUCACAUCUCCAAAUUUCAUCCACACCUAAAUUGAAUUAAAUUCAUUUUCCACCAAGUCACACAUAAAUUUCAUCUAAAAAAUUCAUAAUAUUAAUUAUGAACACAUCAAUUUCACCUAACAUAAAUCACCAAAAUUUCCAAACAUUAAUAACCAUAUUCAAUCUCUGAAAUUUUUAACCAUAAAUCAACACAACAACAUUAAUAUAUUAGAGUUCUCCCCACCGCUAACUCGGUGCCAACAGUCUCGAUUCCUUUUCGAGACUCAAUGAGCUAACUACAUAAACAUGAAUAUUUAUAACAACUUGUUCACAAUAAAACUAAUCCAAACACAACAAAAUUUCCAAAAUUUCCAAAAUUAAAUCUUUCUCACACACCAAAGUUUUAAAACCAAAUAAUCUAUAUUAUUUACUUAAAACUAAAUAAAACAAAUAUCGUCAAAAUUUUCCAUACACACACUCGACUAUUAAAACACCAAAAUUUUUGAGUCAAUAAAAUACUCUAAACUUUUUUUCUUUUUAAACUCAAUCCAAAAGUAAUUUAAAGAGUAACAUUUUAAACUCUAACCAUUUUUAAUUUCAAUCUAUCUUUUUGCUUAAACUAUUUAACUUAGUUAAAAUUUGAACUUUUUCACAACUUUAACAACGCUAAUUUUUUGUAAAAUUUCAAUUUCAGUUCAAACUCAUUUAUUUGAAAAUAACUAAUUACGUAACUCAAACUCAUCAAAUUUAAUUAUCGCCAAUUCACACCGACAACAAUCAAUUCAAUUCCACAACACACAUAUAACACCUCAAUCAAAUUUCAACAAUUCAAACACAACUCAAUCAAUUUCAAAACUCCACAUUUUUACACAUAAACCACCAAAUUUCAUCAAUUCAUUUUCUACAAAAUCCACAAAUAAAUCACAUCUCAAAAAUUCAUAAUAAUAAUUAUGAACAUAUAAAUCACACCAAACUUGAAUCACCACAAACCACACCUCAAAUUUAAAUUCCACUAAAAUACACAUAAUCACAUUAAAUUAAUUUUUCACAAAAUCACAACUCAAAUACAUCAAAUUUCUUUUCCACAAAAUCAAAAAUAAUGUCCUAAAUGCAAACUAAAAGUUUGGAAGGAGCCCUUACCUUAACGAUAACUCUAACGCGCGAUUACAGUACCGUAAUUAAUUCCGGUAAAAUUUAAGUUCGUGACUUCGCAUCGAAAACUAGCUCACUAGCACCGCAGCGUGGCAAUGAGCAACUUCCUCUUCUGUCACUUCUCGAAUGAAAGCUUAGAUCUAGUAAAUAAAUGGGGGUUUGUGUUUUAUGGUUUUAGUUUUGGAAAACAAAGGAAAGAAGGAGAAGAAGACCGUGAGUUUGCUUUCUCUUUGUUAAAGCAUUCUAGCCUUGCCUUGCUUUCUCUAUCAUAUAUAUAUAUAUAUAUACAUAUAUAUAUAUAUAUAUAAUAAUAAUAAUAAUAAUAAUAAUAAUAGAUCUAAACAAAUAUCUAGAUAUUUUUAUAAAAAUCAUCAUUACGCGUGUCACCUCACAUCACAUCACAAACCAUUGUUUUUCAGAAAAAUAUCUACUCUCGCCGUAAUUCAAUGGACAGAUGAAUUUUUCUGAAAAAUGUUGCAUCUCAGAAAAUUUUUUCUUCGACAAAAGAUUCACCGUAAUUAAAUAAAAUUAUUCAUCGACGAAUAAUUUUAAUCGGGUCUCUAAAAAGAUAUUUUUGGCAUUUAACAUACAAAAUACCAUAAAAUUGGCUAAAAAGCCUCAGAAAUUCAACACAAAAUUCUCCAAAAUACAUAAAUUAAAAUUUAAAAUUAAGGGUCUUACAGUUGUCAUCACCGUUCUCUCACGAAGGAACGGUACUUUGAUACGGUUACCUUUUAUUUGUAUUAAUUUAUGAAUAAUAAUAAAUAAAUAUUUUGGUAGUGGUGGACCAUUUUUAAUGAACAUAUGAGUUCACGUUGGAGUAAAAAAUGAAUAGAUUAUUUCAAUAUGAUGUGGCAUGGUGGACCCCAUUCAAUGAACCCAUAUUGAGUUCACCGUUGGAAAUGCUCUAAGUAUAACAUUAUUUCACAACUACCAUACAACAUUUAACCAACUAGAAUAACGUUAUAACGAUUCUUGCACUAAAAAACGAGGGCAUUCAAUAAAUAAAAUAUUGUACCGAAUUAUUGCAUGGCACAACCACUUAUACACAAUUGAUGUUUAACAAUAAUAAUACCUCACCGAGUCACAUUGUCCUUGGUAGACAAUAUAUUACGCAAUAUAAGUCACACAAAAAAAUCUUCACCGGUAUCAUCAUAUUCCAAAUAAUGCCAUACGAAUGAAACAUUGUGACAUCAUCAUUUCGUCUUAACAAAAUGUAAGUUUAUUUGACGAAAUAACCUCCAGUGUGGCAAUUAAACCAUGCUUAAGAAUAAGAGACAUUCUCGUGCUAGACAAUAUUAGAAGAAAAAAACUCUACAUUCCAACACCAAUUCCUCAUCCAAACGAACCAACUUUCUCCUCCACCGGUCACCAUGACACCAACCUGAAGCCUAUACAUUUCAGUUGCAAAAAACUCCUUAUCAACAACAAAUUUAUAAAGACUACUAAAACACUUACUAAUAGCACCACCCUCCAACCAAGACUUAGUCUAGAAAAGAGAGUUCCAUUUCUAAGUACCCUAUGAAAAUUUCUAUCAAACCAAUUACCAACCUCACUCCCUAUCUAUUCUUAAACAUAAGAUAAAUCUUUCUAUCUAACCGUUUUUCUACCAUACCCCUAUGAGACAUCGAAACAUCAAUCUAUAUUUAGUGGAAUAUAUUUUAAACCACAAUGCUCUAUUUCAUUCCUCACCCUCCGAUACAACUUAUCCAACAAUGCAUAUUUAAAAGUUUUAAGUUUCUAACACUUAUACCUCAUUUUUCUUUUGACAAACAAAUAUUUUCUCACGAUGCCACUUAAGCAUACAUGCAUGAAUAUUAAUUUAUUGAGCUCAUAUAAUUAAUGAAUUUCAGUUAAUAACAAAUUAUUUAGAAUAAUUCGAGUUUAAAUCAUGAUUGAAAGAAUUGUUGGUUAAACUUUUUUAUAUGUUUCCUACCAAAUUUCAUAUUACUAAUAGCUAGAGUUGUCAUAUGGCUUGAACUACUCCGACUUGCUUUGACCUAAAUGACCCGAUUACAUGAAUGAGUUGCAAUUCACGGGGACCCCCAAUUUAUUUCUCUUGAAAUAUCUUUCUUUAAUGUCUAUUUUCAUUUUUACACGCGUCUUUUUUUAGGAGCCCUACAUCCAUUAUGUGACAUUUCUAAUUCGUGGGUUAAUUCGAAAACAUUUUGCUUCAAACAUUGGAGUUACUAAGAGUAAAAUUCGGGAAAAGAACCCAUUGUAUGGGAAAUACUUCAAGAAGUUAUGCAGGAACAUCCCAUAUUGUUGAAUAAAGCGCCUACUUUGCAUAGAUUAGGCAUACAUGCAUUCAAACCCAUUUUAAUAGAAUAAUGUGCUAUUUGUUUACAUCCAUUAGUUUGUAAGGGAUUCAAUGCAAACUUUUAUGGAGAUCAAAUGGCUAUUCAUGUGCCAAGAGCCCGUAAAAGUUGUAGAUACUGUUGUACGUACAUCAACUGUUGGAUAUCUUACGCGUAGACUUGUUGAAGUGGUUUAAUACAUUGUUGUACGUCGAACAAAUUGUGGUACCAUUCACGGGAUUUAUGUAAAUACCUGGAAUGGAAUGAUGAUGCCAUAAUAAUUUUUGAUACAAAAAUUAAUUGGUCGCGUAGUAGCAGAUGAUAUAUGUAUAUAGAAAUCCGUCUUAGAUUUGUCGGUUGUGUUAUGAUCGGAGUCCUAUUCACGGGAAUUGAUAUAAGGUAUUUAGGCCAAUGGUCCAGUUCGAACAUGUUAUUCUUCCGAUAUUUUUUUUUAAUUUUAAUUAAUAAAAAUUAAAACAAAAAUAUAACACUGAAGCAUUUUCAAUCACCACUACCACAAUAGAAAUAAUAAAAUAAAUUUAUAACAUAUAACAAGUACAAAAAAAGAUAAUUAUUUAAGUUAAGUCAAUUUUGCCUCUAAUCAUUUUUAAAUAUUAUCUCCAUUUCUUAGAUAUAGAGGGUUAAUCCACUUCCCUUUAGACUGGACCGGGCCAACCAUUUUUUAAAUCGGUCAAAUGGAUCAAAUAAAAAAAACUCAUUUAUUUUUUUAUUUUAUUUUUUUCAAAACCAACUUGUACUAAACUGUACUAAAAUGUGGGUCAAAUCACCAAGACAUUGUGAAACUCAUUUUAAUAGUUAUAUUAAUACAUUACCCUAUUCCCCUCAAAAUUUGAUGGUUAAACAAAAAAAAACAUGUCUAGAAAGUCUGAAGGACUGACGUCAUGUAGAGAUCAAAUAACGCAAUCAUCAAUAAAUUAGUACAUCAAAUCUUCAUUAAAAAGAAAUUAGUAAAUAAAAUCACACCACAAAGCCAUAUAAAUGUGCGUUUUAAAUCCAAAAAAUGCACGCUGAUAUAACGGACAUUUCUUCCAGCCGGGUCCCAUACGUAGACACAGAGAAACAAGAAAGAGGAGGAAAGAAGGAACCGAACCAAGCAAGACGAGAAUAACAAAAAAAGCCAAAACAUUGGGCUUGGUCCCAGCCCGGUCCCGGUCCCAAGUGUCAACAAAGUAAACCGGGUUGUUGUGUUGGCUCAAAAUAAAAUAAAAAACCCAUUCAUUAUUAUUAUUAUUAUUAUUAAAUAAUAAAAAAUUCAUUAUUAUUAUUAUUAUUAAAUAAUAAAAAACCAGUGGUAUAAAUAUUUAAUAUUUGUUGCCCUUGCACGCAGACAGAUCGCACUCUCUACUUGCUCUAUCAGCCGCACUCAACCCAUUUCUCCUUCUUCUCUUUGAUCUCUCCAUCAAACUAUAGGAGGUACUCUCUUCUCUAUUAUUCCAGGUUUCUCUUUUUAUCGAUCAACGAUUCAACUCACUUAAUUCGUUUUUCUAUCUUUUUUUUUUUAUAAUUAAUUAUUAGGGUUUCGUUGUCAACCUGCUAUCCGAGAUUUAGGGCUUUUAAUUUUUUUUUAAAGUCAUAGUUUUUCAUUUAUUUUUAAUUGUAAAAGUUACGGAUUUUGUAAUUGAAUGGAUUUAUUGUUAUUGUUUCAAUUGGAUACAUUUGUUUUUAUCAGUAGGUUGAUGAUUGAAUUUUUGUCGUGUAUUGUUGAAUUCAGUUGUUUUGGGUUUUGAAAUGAAGGUAGUUAUUUGUAAAUAACAUAUGUUUGUUGUCGUUUCGUAGAGAUGGCUGUAUCUGAAGCACCCCAAACCCCAACCCCUCAGAUGGUUGGCAAUGCUUUUGUGGAGCAGUAUUAUUCUAUUCUGCACCAAAACCCCGAUCAGGUUCAUAGGUUUUACCACGAUUCAAGUGUCAUGAGUCGACCUGAGGAAGAUGGUACCAUGAUAACUGUCACUACCACUGCAGUAAGUUCAAACGAUCGACUUACAUCCGUAUUAACCAGGAAAUAUAUUAGUGCAGAUUUACCUCACGAUUAGCAGUUUUGAUCCUUAAUUAUCAUUUUAUCUAUGCCAUUUCUCGUGAUCUGAACAAAUCACUUAUUAUCAUCUUGGUUGGCUAUCAAUAAUUUUUGUUCUCUGUGAAGCAAAAAAGUAUUUAAAGUUAUCAUAAUUUAUAGCGUGAGUUGGUGACUGAUAUUUGUGAAUUUCAUCAUGAAUGCACUAUUCCCUUUUUACUGUUCAAGCUCGAGUUUAAUUGUGUGCACUAAUUUAAGUAUGGGCGUUCUAUUUUAAUUGCUUUUGAGUAUGAUUAUGGUGCAUUGUGACACAUUAUUUAGCAUUGUCUGACUUCAAUGAUCUUGAUUUUGAUGCAGGAAAUUGAUAAAAAGAUAAAAUCUCAUGAUUACACAAGCUUUAGAGUUGAGGUUUUGAGUGCUGAUGCUCAGCCUUCAUAUAAUAAUGGGGUAAUGGUUGUAGUGACUGGCUGCUUGACUGGAACUGACAAUGUCAAACGCAAGUUUGCUCAGUCAUUUUUCCUAGCCCCACAGGACAAGGGCUUCUAUGUUUUGAAUGAUGUGUUUAGAUAUGUUGAGGAGUAUAAGUCGGUUGAUAUUGAGUCUGUACCAUCUAAUGAUGCUGAUGAAAGUGCUCCAUCGGAAGCUUUUACUCCAGAGCCUGGUAAAUUUCCUAUCCACAUCUUAUGGUUAUAAGUAAUUAGAGAAAGAUUUUGAGGUUUUUUAGAGCAGAAAGUUUAGAAUUGCUCGAGUUAAUUGCCUUAAUAAUGUUAAUAUUUAUUAACCAGACACAAGAUUAAUAAUUACAGCUUAUAUUUACCGGAUGAUGUUUAAGGAUUCUUCAACCUGUAUGCUCGAAUCUACAGAUACAUGCAUUUAAAUAUUGAUUCCUUAUGCUAUUUACUGCUAAAUGUAUUCUUUCAAUUAAUGUAAUUGUAUUUUUUCUUCCUCUAAUAGGAGUUUUUUUUUAUUGUUGGAAGUUUGGGCUUUAAAAUUUUGCUUUUGAUUGUGACUAUAGAGCCUAAUCAUGUUCCUGAAGACAUUCCACCCAGACAAUCUGUUGUUGCUGAUACUGACACUAACAUCAGCAAAGAAGUGAGCCUACCGCUGGAGAAUGGAAAAUUAUCAGUUACUGAAAAUGUGAUUCCUGUUAAUCAUGUUAAAGAGACAAUUCAUCAGGAACAACCCUCAAGCACUGAGAAAGUUGCUUCUAAUACACAGGAGGAUACUCCAAAAAAGUCUUUUGCAUCCAUUGUGAGUUUUAUUUAUUUACCUUUCCACAUCUUUAUUUUUUAGUAUCUGACAAUAACAUUUUGGCAAUCAUUUGUUCCAGGUGAAUGCUUUGAAAGAUAACUCUAAACCCUUCCAUUUGAGGACUUCUCCUGCAAAACCUGCUGUGCAACAACCCCGUGUUAUUAGUGCGCCUGCUCCUGAAGCACCAGCCCCUAACACGGACAGUCCAUUAGAAAAGAAUAAUGAGAAUGCAGGUGAUUUUGUUUUAUCCUUUGUAUGACUCAUAUGGUUAAUUAUGUAUAUAAUUCAGUAUAAAUAGUCUCAUUCAAAUGGGAUGUUCUGUCAUAACUUCUGUAAUUUGCCUUCUCCAGGUAAGGCUCAUGCAAUUUUUGUUGCAAAUUUGCCUAUGAAUGCAACAGUAGAGCAAUUGGAUCGGGUUUUCAAGAAAUUUGGCCCCAUUAAACCCAAUGGUAUUCAAGUUAGAAGCAACAAGGUUUGUUAACAUUUACAACACCUAGUUUACUGAACCCACAAUCACAACACAUACUGAUACAACAUCUGUUCCUUUAGCAACAGGGAUCAUGUUUUGGUUUUGUGGAAUUUGAAUCUGCUGCUUCAAUGCAAAGUGCCCUAGAGGUAUAGAGUAUUUUCAUUAAUAGUCAUUAUCAGCAAGGUCAGGAAUUGAAUUUUUUUUCAAAUUUUUCAAGGGGAAAUUUCUUGCAUUUUUUUAUUAAAAUUUUAAAUGUCUAACUAUAUAUUUUCUAAAGCGUGAUAACUGUUAUGAUGCCUUUUGCUAGCAAUAUCUGAAAAAAUUUAUGUAUUAUUUCAGGCCUCUCCUCCUGUUAUGUUGGACAACCGUAGACUUUCAAUUGAAGAAAGGCGAGGCAAGUGUGCCAUAUUUAUUUCUCUUGUCAAAAUUUGAAUAUUUGAAUAUUCUUUUGGCAGAUUUUGUUGAUCCUCUCCCAUGACUGCCUUCUCUUUCACUAAUUUAAGCUCUAAAUAUGCUGUAUAAUAAUUUUCAAAACAAUAAAGGUUCAAUUGCAGUUUUUACUUUUAGUUCUUCUAUUUUCACCAAUUCGUAGAAUUAGUCCCUCCUAUUGCUAAAUACUUCAGUCUUGGUCCCUCCCUUAAAUUUUUUAACAACAAAAAGUGAUUUGUUUUAAAUGUCUUAAUUUGAUAUAAUGAUGUAUAACUAUUUAGAUGCAUUAAUUAUUUUAUGUUAUUAAUUAAAUUAUAAAUUUAAUAAUUUUAGAAGUUGAAACUGAAGUUUUUAGACUAUUUUAUUGCAAUUUUAUGAGUAUUAAUCAUUCAAAACAUUGUAGCAUAUGACACCGUUUAAAAUAUGUCACAUCACCAUUGUUUAGUUAGAAAAUCUGACAGAGGGACCUAAACUGUUGGAUUUUAAAAUAGAAGGAUUAGUUUUGUGAAUUGGUGAAAAUAGGAGAUCAAUAUUGCAAUUAAGCCAAAAAUAAAUCAAUAUAUGCAGUAUAAUCGUGUGCUCAGUUCCUGUGUGAUAUUAAGGAUAAUACUUUCUCAUGAUGCUCUUAAACAUUGCAUUAUGUAGAAGUUUGUGCUGAUAUUACUGCCACUCUAUUACUUGUAUAUUGUUCACUGCAGCUAAUAAUGAUAGGGUGCGAUAUUCAUCAGGACGGGGUGGAUUCCGAACUGACAACUUCAGGGGCCGUGGCAACUUUGGUGGCGGCCGCGGUGGUGGCUUUAACGGCAGGAACGAUUUUGAGAAGCGAGGUGAGUUCUCUGGCAGGCCUCGAGGUGGCAAUAACAAUGGCAAUAACAAUGGGCGAAGCAAUGGGGAUGCUGCACCUAGGAGUUAUCAGAAUGGUGGAAAAGUCACUCGUCAACCGGUGAAAGUUCAAUAAAGUGCUUCUUUUUGUUGGUAAUUGAGUGGCAACAGGAGAUUCUUAAUAGAUAGCGGCAUCUAGCGGUUUUUGUUUGCAAUUGGAUUAGAGUCCUUUUUUCUUUGUAGUUUCUGUGAUCUUUUUGAGUCAGAGUUCUUUGGUUAAAAGUGUUUCUUCUUACUUACAUCCUCUUUUUUCUUUAAUCUCUUCCAAUUUUGUUACCUACUGUAUCUAACUUUCUGGUAUGAUUGUUUUGGAAUUGGCCAGUUAUAUACCAUUUUUGUUAAAAUUAUAAUGUUUCUGGGCGUUUGUUUAUUAUUACAACUUACAAGCAAAUUUAUACUACGAAAAUACUAAGCUACUUGCAGCAAAUUGGAGUUGCUUAUGAAGUAUAAAAAUUCAUUCUUAGACAGUUUCAUUCACAUGUAAGCAACCGGUUCUACAAGCAACCGGUUCGUAAGAGUAAAAUAGUAUUUUGCAACAAUAAUUCAAAUGGGAAAGUAAUUAACCACAUGAAAAUUAAUCUAAAAACAUCAAUAAAAUAUUUGAUCAUAAACUAAAAAGACGGUUGGUAGAGAUCUAAACCUUUUGGUUCUAUGCGAACUGAUAUGGACCAUUUGGUACCACGUGUGAAGGGGUUAGACCUUCAUUUGAUGCCGAUAUCAACAUGCCUGGAAGGCAGCGCUUGAUGUUGACGGCAAACUAAUUCAGAUUAGAUUGUUUUCAACAUCAUGCUAGCCAUCUUACAACACGAUUAAUUGUAACGUCUGAAGUAGCAAUGUCAAUCACAAGAAAAAGGUGUUUGAAUUGUAAUUUCACAUUUUUAAAAUUUUCUGUUAAAUUUAAAUAAUUUAACUCAAGAUUAAUCUUGGUUAUAAAAAUAGAAAAUAGAGAAUGUUUUUGGUUAGUGAAAAACACACAAUUUAAUUUAUCUAUUUAAUUUGAUAAUAAAAAAAUUAGAAAUAAAUAGAGAUAAGGGAAGAGAUAUCACACAAAGAUAUAUCUUGUUUCAUCCAACUUGGGUUAUCUCAAGUCCUCACAACUGUGAGAUUUUCAAAAUGGAGAACGUUCUUUUGUUUUUACACCACUAGUCCAGAUCAACCUUAAUCUAUUACAAUCUUCACUUUUCAACAUAGAAUGAUUUUUACAAUCACCUUUCAGUCUUGAAAUAAUUUUUACAAACACUCUCAAUCUAACAUAAAAGAAGACUUGAGUUACAAAUAAUGUGUAUGACAAAAGUGUUUGGGAUCUUGAAACUUCUCAACACUUGUUUGAGAUAAAUGAAAGACAAACUCAGUAAAUAAUGAUCCAAAUAUAUAGUGAAUAGAGUUGGAGUUUGUUUAAAGAGUUUUUUGACUUGUUACUUGAACAAGUGUUGGUAGAUUUGUAAAUUGAACUUUUGCCUUCAUCUUCCAAUUGAUCUUCAAUUUAUAUAUGUUAAAAGAAUUUGAAUAUUCAUUUUAAAAUGUAUAUUCGUUGGACACACUUCCCAAGUGUUAGAUAUAUUUUAAAGCAAUUAAACAUGUGUUUAUUGGCUGUCUAGAACGUUCUUGACAAACUGAGAACAUUCUUGCUUUUGGGUCUCAUGGAAAACGUAAAUGAGUGAGUGAAUGAGUUGUCACAUGUUAGUUGACAUUGUUUUGAGUUAGGUUUAUGUAGAACUUUGUACAGAAUAUUGUAAGUACAAUGUACUUGUGUCCUUGCUCACAACUCAUCAAUUUUGGAGAUCAAUCUUGAGGUUGUUUUCCACCUUUGAUAAUUGAUCUCGAGUUCUUGACUUCACCAAUGAUUUGAGCAGUCUUGAUACUCUUUAAUAUGUGGUUUAUACUGUGGAAAAUUAUCAGUUUUCAUUUUGUCUUUAAAAGAGAAUUAAAACCUGAAUUUUCUUUUGUAAAACAAGAACAUUCUUCGUUUUCUAUUUUGUAUGAGUGUUGGAUUUUGGCAACUGUUGUGUAUCAGUCAUUUGUCUCAGAAACAUAAUGUGCUUUCUCCAAAAAGGCCCAACAAGAGUGUAUUUGCUAUCAUGGUUGUCCUUUCUCAUAACUCAUCAAUUUAGAGAUUGAUCUUGAUUUUUUGCUUUGCCUUUGUUGAUCUUCUUUGAUCAAAUCUAUCUAAAACAAUCUUGUGUAGAUAAUUAUAUUCACCUGUGAUGAAUACUGAUGUUUUGUAGUGUAGAUAGAUGUAUUUUUGUAGUCCACAUCGAUUUUAAAUUACAACAUAUUUUGCUCAUUGCAAACCAGAACCUUCUUGGAUUAAAGCUGUGAAAACGAAGAACGUUCUUCCUUUCUUUUUUGAGUGAUUGCUGGAUUUUGACAAUUAUGAUAGCUAUUGCAUGCCUAACUUUUCUGUUUUGUACGUGUGUCAGUGAUGCAAUGACUUUAUCAUUUAUGUCCAGUUUGUACUUGCUUACUUUAAUCAUCAAUUUUGGGGAUUAGUCUUGCUUUUUAUUCUUGAUGCAUUGCUUUGAUCUUAUGAAAAAAAUUGUCCAAAAUGAUCUUGAGAAUAUAAUUAUGUUCCUGUGUAACGAAUACUGGUGAUUUGCAAUGUAGAUUGUUAUAUUUUUGUAGCCCAAAUCAAUCUUGAUUUAAAGAAGACCUUGUUCUUUGUAAACAAGAAUGUUCUUGGAUUUUCAGAAUGCUGUCAUGAAUAAUCUUUGUUUUUCAGAAUGUUGUUAAGAAUGUUCUUCGUUUCUCAUACUUGAUCUUGCUUCUUUCAAAUGAUCUUGCUUCCGAUUUAUAGUAUAAUUUAUGAUCAUUAUUGUUGUAUGAAUGUACUUGACCAUCUUCUUCAUGAAGAUGUUAUCUUGAAGAUGUAAUAAUCAUUCUCUUGAAUGAUUGAUAUAUGGUACAUUCCUUUUAAGAUUAUUUCAUUGUUGAUUGAAUACUUAUGCACUUUGAUGAAAUGAAUGGCUUCUUGCUUGUUCACUUAUGCAAUUCAUGUUCCUUAAACAAAAUUCAAAUGCAAUCAUUAGUAGACUACUAUUUAUAAAACUUAAUCAUUUAUUCCAUAAGGUUUGUUGUUAUUAAAGCAUACUUCAGAAAUGUUUUUACCUCAACAACGUUGUUCCUAACAAACAAAAGGUAACAAAAUGCCAAUGUCUUUUUGUGAGUCAAUAUGCUAGGGUUGAAGACUUGAAACUACUUCAAGAUAAUGAAAUACUAUUUACGUCUUAUAUUAAGUAGUAUUAUAUAUCAUCAAAAGAAAAACGCUUUAAAACAUGUAUCGCUUUAUGUUUUUAAUAUAAUGAUAACUAUUUUGUUCUAAUUCUAUAUUCAAAUUAGUAACAUGCACAUCACUUCUAAAUCCACAUCCAUUGUACUCUAUUAUGCUUUUUUAUUACUUUUUUUUAAUAAGAAACUGAAAAAUAUUUUCAUUACUCUUUUGGUUAGAUAUUGUUAGGAGUUCAUCAAUAUUGACUAUAAGUUAAUUAAGAUUUGUUAGUUUAAUUAAUAUUUAUAGUGUAUCAUACAUUCAAUGUAAUCAAUUUUUUUCUAUUAAAUCAAUUUUAGUUAAUUCAAUUAUUCUCUCCUUUUUCUUAUUGGGUUUAUGAUUCUAUCAUAUUUUUCAACACGAUAAAUUAAUUACAAUUUGUCUGAAUAUGUGUAACAAAAAUCAAAUGAUAACAUAUUAAUAUGGAACAAAAUCUCAAAUGGUUAUGAAGAGACACUUAGAGGAGUUUGAGAAAGAGGUUUGAGGUUCAAACCCUAACUACUAAUAUAACAUAUAAGGGCAUCUCUAAUGGGGUUGCAACACUUAUUAGGUAUCUUAUAGGAGUCUUUAAAAAUGGGUAGCUAUUAGGAGCAGUUCAGCUAACAUUCUAUCUUAAUAAAUAAAUAAACAAUUGUUAUUAAAAUACAAUGAUAUAAAUUUUUUGAUAGGAUCAUUUAGUAAAUGAUUAAGAUACUAAGUCGAAGAGUUGAAUAUAAUUAAGUAUUAAUAUUAAAAUUUAUAAAUGAGUGACGUAUAAUGAUAGAACUCGUUCGAAUACUUAAAUGAAAAAUUUAUUAUUGUAGAUGCUUUAACAUCUAACAAUUUUUUUAUAAAAAAUAAUAAAAUAGAAUUGUAGCCUAAUUUGAGAAAAUCACAAAUAAUUACUCUUGUGAGUCUUAUUUGUGUAUGAUAGUUUGGUUGGUGAGCAUGGACACCGAAGAAGUUUUAAAGAGAUCUCUAAUUCAAAUUUAAAAAAUUAAUGUACCUAUUGAAAAGAAAAUAUUAUUAUGUAAAUAAAUAGAAUAUCGGUAAGUAUCCUUAUUGUUAUAUGUAUUUCUAUUACUCAUAAUCUAUAUAAAGAAGUGUAGUUGAAUUAUAUGAGUUAUUCAACAUGUCUCUUCUCAUUCAACCACUAAUUUAUUGAUAUUUGUCUGAAAAAAUUAUGCUCAUUUUAUCAAGUACUAGUAGUUAUGUCAAAGAUAAAUAUCAUUUUUUUGAAAUAAAAUAUUGAAUUAAAUAUAUUUUUAAUCUUUUUAAAUAUAUCUAUUUUUAUUUUUAGUCAUUCUAAUUCUUUUUUUCGAAACUUGGUCCUUCUAAAUAUUCGGUUACCAAUUUUAGGGUAGUGUAUUAGAAUUGAGAUUUUAAAAGACUAUUUUGAGAGGAAAAAUCUUGAAGAUUUUAAAAGAUUUUGUAGAAAUAUGUAGAUUUUAAAAGACUCUUUAUAAGAUUUUAAAAACUCUUUAAUAGAUUUAUACCACAAGAUUUUGAAAUAUUUUAUAAAUUUAUAAUAAUGAAUGACAAAAUAUAAUAAAUAUAUUAUAAAUGUUGAAUAAGUAAAAACAAAAUUAAUACAGUUUUUAAAAUCUUUCAACAACAAAAUAGUUUCGGAAUUUCCUUGUUGUAAAUCUCUCAUUUGAUCAUUAAUACAAUAAUAAUAAUAAUAAUAAUAAUAAUAAUAAUAAUAAUAAUAAUAAUAAUAAUAAUAAUAAUAAUAACUAUUUAAUAAUAAAAAUAACAAAAACCUACUACUACUAAUAAAUUAUAAUAAGGGUUGAAUAUUUUUUUUUACUAAGUUAAAUAAACUUUUAGUCCCUAUAAAAUUUUAAAAUAUUAUUUUUAACCCCUAAAAAAAUUCUCUAACAUUUUAAUUCCUAAAUAAUUUUUCAUUUAGUUUUAGUGUUUAUUUUAAAAUAAAAAUUGUAAAAAAAUUAAUAUUUUUAGUCCUAAUAAAAUCAAAAUAAUAACCUCAAACUCUAAACCUUAAAUCCUCAAAACAAAUUAAUUUUUUUAUUUAAAUUAUAACACAAGACAACUGCAUACUUAACAAAACAAAUCAAUUCUUUUUUCUUUUAAAACAAGUCAAAACAUAAAAAGUAUAUUAAUUAGGAGGAAUACUGAUGUGACAGGAUAAAGAACUCAAAUCAAUUUUUUUAUUCAACAAAAAAGAUAUUAACUUAAAGUCAACAAAAAUCAAUAAUAACAUGAAUAAUCAACAAAAACGUAUUAAUGUGAGAUGAAGAAACAACAAAAAAAAAAUAAUAAUAAAAACCUACAAAAACAACAUAAAAGAAAUUGAUGAAGAACAAAAAUCUAAAUAAUCAAAACGUAAAAACAACCAACAAGAUGCAAAAGCAACGUAAGGGUGAGAAAGAAAAAUAAAAACCUUACAUAUGAAGUAAGAGAUUCAAAAAAUGGUGGAAAGCAAGAGAAGGAUUGUUGAAAGAAUCUCAAAAUUUUGGUGAGAUCGUUGAAUAGGAAUUGUAUAUAUAUUAUCAACUAAAAAAUCUCACAAAUCCAUUCUAGUAAAGUAAAGGAUCCAUAAAAAAUAUACUGAAUUUGAUUUGUUUUUUGCAAAACAAAAAACAAAUAAUUUUGUUUUUUACAAAAUAAAAACACAACUUCCGAAUGAACUUUAUUUAUAGGGAGGCCUUGACAAUAUAUAAAUAAAACACACAACUUCUGUCAAAUGCAUGACCUCAAAUUUCUCAAUCUGAACACAACUUCUGUAAUUCAUACCUAAAAAUACUUAGUACAACUUGACACACCAGCACAUAAAGAUGACAAAAUGUAACAACGACUUGAGAAUGAGAACUUGAUACAAUCUUCCUAUAUGCCCAUUUUUUUAGUUUCCACUUUAUCAAAAAGGCCCACCUAUUAUCUACUUGCCUCCACAUUAAAAAACAAUGUUCCUAAAACAAAUGGCAUCCUUCUUUUCAUUGUAUUCUGUAGAAGAAAACUAUGAGAGAGCCCACUGAUAGAGUUUAUAUAUCUGCUUUCAUUUUUGUACCGGCCCCUCUUGAAACUUCUUCUGCAAGGAAGUUUCCGAGCAGCCUUUGGUCCAAAAUCAUAUUUGGAAUCUGCAAAACAGACCCAGAAGAUCAAACUUAUGCACAAGGACAUGCGAAAAUAGAAAAUAGCUGGGAUGAGAGGAAUACCUUGUCUCCAAAGAAAAUCUUUGUAUUAUUAGCGAUGGAUUCGAUAAAUUUUAGCUCAAGAAACUCAGGGGUAAGCUUCAACUUGUUUGCUUCAGCUUCCCUUAUUACACUGAAAAUUGUAGAAACAAUAAAUUGAUCAUUUCUUUUUUCAAAUACCCUAAAUUGAAAUAUCAUAUUCUUAACAUUCAUCGAAGGAAUUAAUGAUAGGGAAAUCUCACCGGUAGAAAUCUGCAUCUGCCAGGCUCUUUUCACGUGCUAGAUACAUUUCAUUUUCAAUUUCUUCCUGUUUUCUAGCACUAUCCUUUUCCAACAACUUCUGUUCCAUAACGAUCUUGCUAACAUUGGCGUUCUUCUCAGCCUCACUAAUAGCCAUCUUCUUCAUAGUCUCUGCCUCCUUCUCAGCAACUUUCUGUUUCUCAAUGGCAAUUAAGACCUAUCCAAUAGCAUCGAAAGCACAGUGUUUAUCAAUAUUUAGAAGAGAGAAAAUUCAAACUGAAAUAGAACGGUGGAGAGUCCAGUUUAUAAAAACCUGCUAGAAGCAUUUACAAGACAUGUAUCUCAGAUAAUGACAGUAUGAAUCAAUCAUAAGGUUAAAUAACGCGAGCUUUGCACAUGUUUAACCCUGUUUUCUUUUAAUGAGAUUGUCAACUCAGCAUUGCAUCUGUCUAGCUUCAGGCAUACUUACAGGAAAAUGACAGGCUCUUUUUAGUAAAAUAUACCUUAGUACGCUCUUCUUCCAUUUGUUCAAAGUUGCGUCUUAUGCUUUCUGGAAUAUUUGGCUUUGUGACACGGACACCAAUGAUCUCAAUGCCCGGAGCAUAGCGGGUACAGUCAACUUGAAGGGCAUCCUUCAUUUUUUCGUCAAUCUAAAAGUGCCCCAAUGAAUUGCCUUGUUAACAUAUUUAGAUGAGAUAACAAGAAAGGAGAAAAGCCAGAAGAAAACAAAUACAUUUUGGUUUAACUCAUCUGAUACAAUGGAGCAAAAGAGUCACAAGUUUUUGGUGGAAAAAACAUAUUUUAGGAACCCAAGAAUUGGACUCCACAAAUUUAGAGGAAAAACACUAAUAUUUAGAAAGAAAGAAAAAAAGAAAUAAUAGGAGAGAAUCUCUCUAAAAACGAGAUACACAAGAGCAAAUACGUUCCUCAAGGGCAAAUGCACCCUUCAACUAGAAUAUCAGUUAAGGAAACUCUGAUUUGCCAAAAGAUCCUUUCAAAGGGCACGAAACCUUUAUUUAUAGGUUCCAUGUACACUUAGGAUAAGACGAGCAAAGGAUCAAAGGCAACUAACCCAUUAUAAAAAGAAAACAGAAUUACUAAUCACCUAACUAACAAAACAGAAUAGCCUAACUAAUAACUAGUUAUCCUUAUAACAACCUCAACCAAUUAACUAACUGGUUCUCCUAUAUCUAUAUCCUAACAACAUAUGACUUGCAUCAACUACUUUUAAGUGGAGGACAACAAAAGCUACAACUUACAAAAAUACAUCAAAGAUCAAACUAUUUUCUAUUAUGUCAACCCUUCAUAUUCUGCUAGUUUGAUUAACUAUAUACAAUAUAAAUGGAAGUUACCAGCAUAAAAUAAACCAUGGAUGUAAAAUUAUACUUCUAAAACAUCACAUUACCUGAUCAAACACAUCGAUAUAUACUUGUUGAAGACUAUGAGAGCUGCAAAACUGAUUAAUUUCAUGAUGAAUCUUGUCAUAUAUCCAUGUCUUGUCAUAAUGUACACCAUAGUUGAGCAAUGUCUCAUAGACAGAUUCCUUACGCAGUCUGUUAACAACCUAAAAGAAGAACAUUACUGCAUAUACAAUUAAAGGUGUAAAAGAGUAGAAACUUAUAAACCAGUUAUUACUUAAGAAAUAUAUUUUCUAUUACCUCAAUCUUCCCAAAACUGAUCAUAACACCUCCUUUAGUACCACACGGUAUAUCUGUCACCUGAAAUUGUCACCAUGAAUCAAAAUUCAAAUUAUAGAGUCAACAGAAACCCUAAUUCCGAAUACUGUUCUAAGGAAUUUACCUCAUCUGUUUGAAGUGUCACUUGAACAGGCUCAAAUUGAGUUAAGAAUGGCAUCUUCAUAUGGAAACCUGGAAGAAUUAAUAUUAAGAACACAAACCAAAACUUUGUGCAAGCAACCAUUGAAGAACAGCAUUGAAAAAAUGAAGAAGCGUUUAGCACCUGGCUCUGUAAUUGUUUUCAGAAGCGCACCUCCUAUCCAAUAUACCCCCACAUGGCCUUCAGGGACUUGGUGAAUAAUUGACAGCGUAUUUUUGAAGGACGGUGAUGCUGAAGGAACCAAAACCUGUAGACAGUAAGGCAUAUUUAAGCAUUAGAUGUUGAGUUGAAUCAAUUUCCAAUUGAUGUAAAUACUUAGUAGUAGUACAACAACAACCAAAUCUUAUCCCUGGGUCGGUGAUUCAACUACAUCCACAGAUCAAAUAAACAAUUAUGCAUUAUUAUCAAAAUCAAAGCAAGCGAGGAUUAAUUAAUGUCAAAACAACAAACAAUUAAGACAACGUAUUCCAUUGCCAAUUCGUUAUCAUCGUCUAAUGUUUAGUAAUUUAAAAUUAUUUUGAUUUCCUCUAUCUAAAAAGUGCACAUGUAGGCAACAAAUCUAUAGCAAAAUACUUCUGAUCGAAGAAGAUGUGUCCAAUCACUCAAGCUUUUGACACUAACACAACACCGACAUAUGAUAUUGAAGUAAUUCAUUUUCUCAAAUUAUUAUUAUGGUUUCGACAUGUUAGUGUGUGUAAGGUGUUCCUGUUUGUGUAAAUGCUUCAUAGAAAAAGAUUAAGUUGAAUGUUGAUAUUCCAAUCCAAGCAUUAAUCGAUUCUCAUAUCAUAUUUGGUUCAAAAGAAAGUUUAUAUCAUCCAUGCAGGUGUUACACACACGAGUGCCCUAAGGAGUGUAUUGCAUUUCCAAAUUUCAUGAUUAGUACUAUUUCACUACUUUCCGAUGCUUGAUUGUUUUACUUCCAAUGUAGUUAAUAAAGUUUUUCGUUGUGCAACUGCUAAACAUGGAUAUUUUAAUGGCGAUUAUAGACAACAGAAAAACAAAAACAGGAUUGGAAAGGUUCAUAAAUGCAUUUGUGGAAAGAAAAAGACAGAGUUACCAAAGCGGCAAUGGCGAUGAAAGAGAGGAAGGGAAUUGCAAUGGAAGUUGAAGAAUUGGAAUCACGGGGUUGUUGCGAUGCUCGAGUUUGUUGCUGCGAAUCCAUGGCGGUAGAACAAAACUUUUGUGUGUGUUGAUUCUGAGUUUGGGUUUGGUAUAAAACAACUUCACCUUGUUUCCUUAUUUAUUUCUUUGAUCAUGCGGUACUAUAGAAUAUUGAUUUUUAAUUAAUUCAUUCGUUCGUUGUGUAAAAUUAAAGUUAAUAUAAAGUAAUUUAUAUUUAAUUACAUUUCUAAUUUAAACCAUGUUUCAAAGUAAAGAUUUCAAAUUUUAGAUUAAAAUUAUAAUGGAUUUAAAAAUUAAAAUUAACUCUAUUAAAACUAGUGUCUCCGUCUGUCAAUUUUCUAUUUGCCCUAAUGCACAUUAAUCAUAAAUAAUAAUAUUGUUUAAUUUAUAUUUAUAUUUUAAAUAAAAUGAUUGAAUUAACUAAAUAUAAUUAUGAUUGCACUUCUAAAAGCAAUAAGAAAAUAAAAUAAAAUUAAAAAAGAAGAAGAAUAAACUACCGUGCUGUCAAUGUUUGAGUUGUGCAAUAAAAUAAUAAUAGUGAAAUAGUAAAGAGUGUAUUUAGAAACUAUUGCAUUAAUUAUAAGUAUAGAAUAUAUAGUCAAAUAUAUUACAUUCGAUUAUAUAUUUUUAGAAUUAUAUUGAUCUAAUCCAAAAUAAAUCCAAGAGCCACUCAACCUCAUUUAAAUAUUGAGUUGUUAUGUCCGAAAUUGCAGGGAUGGAAAGCAUACAUAUAAAAAUAAUUAAUUCCCUUGUUUAGUGAAAAUAACUUAUUCUCAUGGGGAAUUAUAUGAUAUAACUUUUCUCCCCAUUUUGGGAGAAAAUAAGAGGAAAAGAACUCCAAUAAGUGGUACCAAAUACCAAUGGAAACUAUAUGGUAACAGAAACUCAAUUGUCAGGAAAGUUAAUCAAUAAAUUAUCUUUUUAUUAGUUCUCGGCGCUUAUUAUUUAUUUUUCUGCAUCUGAACAUUAUAAAUUGAAAUGUUAUAUUGCCUACAAAUUUCAAUUUCAAAUAUGUCUACAACUAACCUACGUCAACAAUUUGAGAAAUCAUCCUUAUUAAGGAUAUAUUUAAAAAUUAUCACAACAAUAUUCUAUUAUCCGCUAAAUCUUUACUUUUAGCACAUAUUCUACAAGUUACCCGCUUUACUAAAAUCACGUAUCUAUUAUAUUAAAUAGAAGCUUUUAAAUGUCAACAUAUCGACACAAUAAAAAAAAUAAAGUUUUUUUUUUCUUAAUAAAAUUUAAGUGGGAGAAUGAUGUUCCAAAUUCAUUAAAGAAACAUCUUAUGACUCAUAUAUUUGUUUUUUUUAAUAACAAUCACAUGUCAUUUUACCAAAAAGAUGAAAUUGCCAAUGUGUAGAUUAAUUAUAUAAUAUAAUUUAUUAUUAUAAAAAUCAUAUAGGAGAUAAAUAUUUAUUCCUAAAAAUAAUUAAAAUUAAUGUUUUUUUUAAUAUUAUCAACAUAAAAUUAAUAUAAUUAUAAUACUUAACCAUGACUUUUAUGAUCACGUACAAGUUUUUAUGCUGUUUUCUAAAAAUUAAUCAUUCAAAAAUUGUUGCAGCGUAUAAUUUAUUUAUAGACAAAUUUUAUCACUGAUCAAUUAAUUAAAUUUAUUAAUUUUGAUAUAUCUUCUAUAAUAUAAGAAUAGCAAUAAUAUAAUAAUUAUAAUUUAUCGUAAAAAUAUACACCAGAUAAAUAUUUGUAUAUCAGCCUAAUUAAUUAAAUAUAAUUUUUUAUAUUAUAAAAAAAUUUAUAAUAUAUUAAGAAUAAUUUUUUUACACACCAAUUUAUUUAGAUUAUUUUUCUGAAAAUAAGCCACUAAAAAAACUAUUGGAGCGUAAAAUACGCACAAUACAAAUGUUUUUAGCUAUGUAAUUACUUGAAUUUCUUAUUUUAUUGAUAUCUUUAAAAUAAAAAUAUGAAUAAUUAUGAUAUACUAAUUAUAAUUUAUUUUAGAAAAAAUAUAUAUUAAACAAAUGUUUAUAUAUCACCCUAAUUAGGUAACGUUAUUUUAUUUAAAUAUUAUUGACAUAAAUACGAGAACAAAUAUAUAUAAUAUACUAACAAUCAUUUUUUCAUACUUCAAUUAUUUUACAUUUUUUUUAUAAAUAAAUCACUAAAAAAAUUAUUAGAACGUAGUAUUCAUAUAUAAGAUAUAUUUUUGUUAGAUUGGACAUCAACCGCUACACGAGUUUGAAAUUGAUAUUCGCAUGUGAAUUUUCAUAUUGUGUUUGUCACUUCAUCUAUAAAUCUAAAAAUUGUACUUUUUUUUAUAUCUUCUAAAAACAUGAGAAUAAUUAUGAUAUACUAAUAUAAUUUAUUAUAAAUAGGUAAAUAUAGUGAUUUUAAUUCACGAGACAAAUAUAUAUUAUAUAUAUAUACCAAAACCAAAAUAGGUAAGUAUAGUGAUUUUUUUUCAAUAUCGUCAACAUACAAAUAAGAAUAAUUAUAAUACAUCGACAAUAAAUUUUUGAUAAAUAUUAAAAAAUAUAGGACAAAUAUUAAUCAUCGAUACAUUAAAAAUACAAGAUAUAAAUUUUUACUGAUAAAUAUAUAUAAAAAAAUACGAGAUAUAUAUUUAUCACUGAUAAAUAUAAAAAAAUGAGACAAAUAUAAGAUAUUGGUACAUAAAAAAUCAUGGAACACACAUUUGUCAUUGAUAAAUAUAAAAAACAUUGGAUAAAAUUCAUCGCUUAUAGAUAUAAAAAAACACUUGACAAAUAUUUUUUUAUCGAUACAUACCAAAAAUACGGAACACAUAUCUGUUACUGAUAAAUAUAAAAAAUAUACUGAAAAAAAUAUUUAUUAUUGAUACAUAAAAAUAACACUUGAUAAAUAUCUUUCACUGAUAAAUAUAAAAAAACACAGAAUAAAUAUUUAUCAUCUAUAAAAUAUAAAAAAUAAUGAGACAAAUAUUUAUCAUAAUAUGAUAUUUUGAUUAUAUCAAUUAUAAGCUAUUAACAUUACACAUUUAUAUUCUUAAAAAAAUAGAGGUUUAUAAUUUAUUUUAAUAUUUAUAUAAAAUACUUAAACAAAAAAGUAAUAUUUUAUAUAAUUAUUUAGUUCAAAAACUAUUUAAAAUAGCAAAUCAUAAUCAUAAUUAUUCAUAUAUAUAUAUAUAUAUAUAUAUAUAUUUCUAAAUAUCCAAUAUUAAUAGUUAAUUGUUAGUUAAUUUUUUUUUGUUAGAGAGAAAGUUGAACCUACUAAACUACUGCUUUCUUAUCACUUCAAUCUAUGAAUUUAUUCUCAAACCACUUUAUCACUCUAAAUUGUUCAUUUGAUAUUUAAUAAUUAUUUUAUUCACUAAAAACAACUCGAAAUAAAAAAUGAAACUGCAGAUAUGCACAAAUAUCUUAUUAAUUUGUCAAUAAGAGAUAUUAUUAAUUUGUCAAUAAGAGAUUAACAAAUUAAUAAGACAAAUAUUUAUCAUCUCUUAUUAAUUUGGUAAAUAUUUUUUACUGAUAAAUAUAAAAAAUACAGAAAAAUAUUUAUCAUAUAUAAAAUAUAAAAAAUAAUAAGACAAAUAUUUAUUAUAAUAUGAUGUUUUGAUUAUAUCAAUUAUAAGUUAUUAACAAUACACAUUUAUAUUCUUAAAAAAAAUACACAUUUAUAAUUUAUUUUAAUAUUUAUAUAAAAUACUUAAACAAAAAUAAUAAUAUUUUAUGUAAUUAUUUAAUUCAACCAAUUAUUUUAAAUAACAAAUCAUAAUCAUAAUUCUUCAUAUAUAUAUAUAUAUAUAUAUAUAUAUAUAUAUAUAUAUAUAUAUAAAUGUCUAAAUAUCUAAUAUUAAUAGUUAAUUGUUAGUUUUUUUUUUGUUAGAGAGAAAGUUGAACCUACUAAACUACUCCUUUCUUAUCAUUUCAAUCUAUGAAUUUAUUCUCAAAUCACUUUAUGAUUCUAAAUUGUUCAUUUGAUAUUUAAUAAUCAUUUUAUUCACUAAAAAUAACUCGAAAUAAAAAAUGGAACUGCAGAGAUGCACAAAUCUCUUAUUAAUUUGGUCCACGUACUAUCUAUAAAUUUAAUUUUUUUUUGAAUUUUAUAUAAAUUCAGUUCAUUAAUGUACAUGAAAUUAACUCACAAAAUAUACAUCAAAUAAAUUAUAGAAACUAAAUUCACGUCUACUAUAAUUUAAAGUUUCCAUUCGAAAUCAAUCUACCUAAGUCAUAUGAAUUCAAUUCAUCUAAGUUUAUCAAUUUCAUAUUUUGAUGAUAUUACUUAAAGUAAUGUUAACGUGUAGUAAAUGGAUAUGGACUUCAAGCAAAAAAAUUUUGAUGCAAUGAACGGCAAUGUGAAUCCCGAUUCCCGAAUGUACAAAACUAAUGGAUUCAACGUUUAAAUUUAGUACUGACAAUUUAAUAAAUUUUAUUUAUUAUUGUGUUUUCCAAACUAUGAACAUGCAAAUAAUAAUAUCUCAUCUUUACAAGUUUUUCAUUUUUGUUUCGUCAAUAAUGUUUGUUAUGUGAAAUGAUUUUUUGAGAUGAAAUAGAAAAAUAGAUAUGAAAAUAAAACAUUUUUAGAAGGUGACAAAUAUAAAUCUUGAAAAAUGACAAAUGAUAAAAUAUGCGUGAAGCAUUUGAUUGCUAAGUUGGUUAAAAUAGCGACUAGUCAUUCUAUUUCUUUUGCAACAUCAAUGAAAACAAUUAAUAUUAUUAAUUUUUAUUGAGUGUAAAAUUGAACGUACAAUGUCAUCAUCUACUCCUUCCUAAUUCUUAAAUCUCAACUUCUAAAUUAACUAUUGAUACUAAUUGUAUAUUAGAUAGAAUGCAGUUAUUAUUUAAGUAUAAAAAAGAUAGAUUGUAGUAAUUAUUUAAUUUCAAAUUAUCUUUUUAUAAUAAAUCCUUAAAAAAUAAAAUAAAAUAAAAUAACAUGAGUUAAAUUUGCAAAGGAAGCGUGUGAAGCUCACGCGACGAAAGUCGCGCGAGGGGAGCUGGUGAAAGUGAGGAUGAAGAUUGAGUGGCAGUUAUUUGCGUCGCUUGAGUUCCAGUUCUUUCCGUUGCUAUUAGCACCUUAGUUUCCUCUUCAAAAAAAAAAAAAAAAUGGUUGCUUUGUUUUCCCUGGCAUUGCCGAAAUUCAAGGUCGUCGCUGAAGCUGACGCAUUUCCUUCCUUUCUUCCCAAAGACGUCAACAGAAUCAAAGACCCAUUUGCUCGAAGCCUCGCUACGCGGAUUCAGAGACUUCCCGUAUCCGUAAGUAAUUUCUGCAUUUUCUUCUCAACUCUUUUUUACUCAUAAACAUCUUCUCCCUUUCUUCUAUGCAACGCGUUGUGUAAGGUACCUUUAAUUAGGUGGAAAGGGAUAGUUACGAAUUAAUCAAAUGCUAUUACUUUAUUUUUAUUAUUUAUAAUUAUAAUUUUAUAUGAUGCAAACUGUGGUGUCUAUUUCUUUUCAUUUCAUCCAGUGUUUCUAAUUUUCUUCCUCCUAAUUUGGAGUUUAUGGGAUACAACUCACAUAUUGUUUACUAAUGUGUACAGAAAUGGUUCUCUAUUUUUGUGUGUGUGUGUGUGUGUGGAUUUUUAAACAUAUAAUUCUCUCAAAUUCUUGACCAAACUGUAAGGGUUUUGUGUCAUUCGAGCUGGUUAACUUAAGAAAAUUGUUCAAUAUGUACCCGUAUUUGCUGGUAAGUGACUAGACGCUAGAGAGUAUUGUAGCGAAAGACACUCUCCUUUUGGAGACAAAGGUGCAAUUGGCUGAACUUUGUAAUCAAUUGUUGGGUUCUUGUGUGCUUAUCUUCUUACUUUAGAAUCGGAUUUGCUAUUCUAUCAGGUUGUUAUUGUAUUUGAGAAAUAUAAUGUUGAUCCUGUAGGCUUUGAUUAAGGUCACUCAGCAGUACCUCGUAAAUACUCAAUCUGUAACUCUUGUUUAAUUGCUCAUGAAGUAUUGAUCAGUUUCAUAUUUUCAUAUGAUUUGAUUCAAUCAGGUUAAGUUCUCUGAAAAUCCCAUCAUGAGUAGUUGUGUGAAGCCACUGAUGCAGAACAAGGCAAAUCCAGUUGUCCUUUUACAUGGUUUUGACAGGUGCACAAAAUAUGCAGGAGACGGUAUUCGUUUGUGCAUUUUCUUUCUCGAGUAACCCCUGGAUUCACUCCUCCUUAUUGUUCAGCUCAUGCUUAGAAUGGAGAUACACGUAUCCAUUGCUUGAGGAAGCUGGUCUUGAGACAUGGGCCAUUGACAUUCUUGGUUGGGGUUUCUCUGAUCUAGGUUUGUAUCAGUACAUUUCCUGUGUUAUUUGUGUUCCUUUCUCUCUUCAUUUUAGUCAUGCUUUCUUCUAUCCAUCAGCGAAGCUUCCUUCAUGUGAUGUGGUAUCAAAGCGUGAACACUUUUAUCAGGUACUUGUGUGUUAUUUAAUACAUCUCUUGGAUCAUGAAUUUUGUAACGAAACAUUGAAAGCUUUGUUGUUGCAGUGUCCAUUAUUAAGUUGUAUACAAAUUAUAAUUCUGAAAAAGUAUACUUAUGAGUUUCUUAGCCCUUUUCAUUCAAUUAUGUGGAAUGCAGUAAGAAAUCAUAUAUAUUACAGGCCAUUAAGCUUUAACUUGUUCAUUAGCCUUCUGAAGAAAUGUUUAGUGCUUUUCUUCACAGAUUGACCAAUUUCUUUCAGCACCUAUUUAUUUUACUUUCAUUUGUUUCACUCUGUGUUGAGAGUGAAUUGGUUUCUCUGCUAGUUUUGGAAGUCCUACAUCAAAAGGGCGAUGAUAUUGGUUGGUCCAAGCCUUGGUUCUGCUGUUGCCAUCGACUUUGCAGUCAAUUAUCCAGAAGCUGUAUGUGUAUCAAAAAAUUAAACUUUUAAAUAUUUACAAUGACCAAAUUCUUGAGGAAAUUCUUUAUUAAAAGAAACUUUUAUCAAGUGACUCCGGCAUUAUCUGGUCCUUUUUCAGGUGGAAAAGCUUGUUUUGAUUGAUGCUAGUGUAUAUGCUGAAGGAACAGGAAACCUAGCAACCUUACCAAGAGCGAUAGCCUAUGCUGGGGUGAGUAUAUCUCCAAAUUAAAAAAGUCUUGAUCCCUCAGCCACACAUCACUGGCAAUUAUCUAGAAAGUUAUAUCAUACGCUGUCUAUAUCUAUGGCAACGUUUCCUAGGUGGAGCUGGAUUGAUUCCUCUACUAAAAUGAUUUUUUUCUUCAUUAUUUUGGGUCUGCCCUCUUCAUGAUACCUUUAAGAAACUACAUUCUCAAUAAAUAUUUUGGAAAGCACAUCUGUUUCUUUGACAUCAGUUAGUCUUUUCCUGGAAGUCUUACAUAAUAUAUAAUGAAUUUAUCUUGGAUGGCUCAUGGCCUCUUGGAAUGAGCAAUUACUUACUGAUUCCUAGCUCAUAAUCAUUUGCAUAUGGGCCAUAUUGAAGCCGUAAUUUGCAAGGUUUUUAGGUCUCCUAGAUUCAACUGUGAAGUUGUUCUUUGAACUUUCACAAUAUAAAGCUUCAAAGUUUGUUGUUUUUAUAUGAUUUUGGUGAAGAUUGAGUCCUUCGGUGCAUUAUUUCAUACCAAGGAAUCACCGCCAUGUACCUUUCUAGUGAUGUCUAUCCUCCUUGGCCAUGCAUUGUUCCAACCAGCUCUUCUGUCUGAGUAUUUUCAGCAGUUUUGUUGAAUUUUUAUUUUAUAACAGUGCAGCUAGAACUUAUCUUGUGUAUGCCAUUCCUUUUCCUACCUAGACCCUAUACCUGCAAUAAUCUUAUUCAGUAAUGCAUGAUUAAUCUCUUCACUAGAAUUUUUACAUUCAUAGGGAGAGAUGAGAAUGAGAUGAUGAGUAUGUUAAUGUUUUGAAUGUGCAAGUUAUACUCACCACUGGCUCUGUUUUGAAUCAGGUAUAUUUAUUAAAGAGCAUCCCUAUACGCAUAUAUGCAAACUAUUUGUCAUUCACUAACAUAUCUUUCAGCACCAGCCUUGAUUGGACAAAUGUAAGUUGCAUGAUCCUAAAACUACCACGUUGUUAAGAUGAUAUGAUGUACAUAUAUUGUAUAUAUUUUCUAGUUCAUAGUGAACCAUUUGGCACAUCCAUACUUUGAAGUUUGAAACAUGCACACUUUGAGACCUCAACACUACAGGUUGAAGCAUUGUCUGCUUAUUUAUGAUAGCCAAGUAUCCAAACAUCCUUCCUAAGCAUCUAAUUUCUGACAAAGGAUUCACCUAAGCAACAUGAUACUAAUUGACAUUUGACACUUUUAUUAUUUUAUACUUUGUCAUCUUUUUGUUUUACAAAACAAAUUUAGAUAACAUGGUAUUUGUAUAUAAUCUUAUAUAGAUUGGCCGCUUGCAUUGUUUAUUGCCUUGGUGGGAGGAUGCCGCGGUUAAUUUUAUGAUUAGUGGUGGCUACAAUGUUGCUUCCCAGAUAAAAAUGGUAUUUCCCAGCAUUACAAGUUUAUCAUUGUUACUUGUUAUAUUCUAUUUUUGUUUGAAGUAAUGGUUGAAAAAGAUCCUCAAAUCAGUACAAAAUUAUUCAUAGUUUCUUAUUCUUGAAUGAAGCAAUUAUCUUAUUUCCAGAAGCUUGACUUCAUACUCACUAAAAAGAUGUGGCAUUCAAAUUUGUUUAACAGGUAAAGCAGAAAACACUCAUAAUUUGGGGGGAGAAUGACCAAAUAAUCAGCAAUAAGCUUGCAGUGGUAAGUUAGUACACCUCUAUAUUAUAUGACAAGCUGGAAAAUCACGGUCUUGAUAUAUAAUAUAGACACCUCGAUAUAUUAACACCUUUAAAUUUUGUUUCAGUUAGUUUCACUGCUAGGAGAUGAUAUUCCCUGCCAAUACUAUUGCUCUAAUUAACUUUUGAUUUUUACUCUUCAGCGACUGCACUGUGAAUUACCUGAGUCAAUUAUACGCCAAAUACCCGAUUGUGGUCAUCUUCCUCAUGUUGAAAGACCGGAUUCCGUUGUCAAAUUGAUUGAAGAAUUUGUUCAAAAGGAUACCAAGACAGUAAAUCAAUGUGUUCCAUCAUUAUGAAGGUUGAAUACCAUUUUGCCUUUCUAACAGAGAAAGAAACAGAACAUUUGACAUUUAAAAAAAAAAAAAAAAAGAAGCCAGUAGGGAUUGAAAAAAUAAUAUAGACACCUCGAUAUAUUAACACCUUUAAAUUUUGUUUCAGUUAGUUUCACUGCUAGGAGAUGAUAUUCCCUGCCAAUACUAUUGCUCUAAUUAACUUUUGAUUUUUACUCUUCAGCGACUGCACUGUGAAUUACCUGAGUCAAUUAUACGCCAAAUACCCGAUUGUGGUCAUCUUCCUCAUGUUGAAAGACCGGAUUCCGUUGUCAAAUUGAUUGAAGAAUUUGUUCAAAAGGAUACCAAGACAGUAAAUCAAUGUGUUCCAUCAUUAUGAAGGUUGAAUACCAUUUUGCCUUUCUAACAGAGAAAGAAACAGAACAUUUGACAUUUAAAAAAAAAAAAAAAAAGGAGCCAGUAGUGAUUGAUAGAGUUCUUAAUGGUUAUAAAUUUAUUGGGGCUGCUGUUCACCUACGUGGAAUCAUUGAGUAUAUAAUAUAUAGUACAAGAUAAAAAAAUAAAUUUGUGAAAAUUCAUUUUUAAACAUACUAAAAAAAUCCACAUCAUAUAUUUUAAAUUCAUAUUCUUUUUAAUUGACAUUCGCAAGCUUACUUUUUUAAUUGAUUUUAAUAUAGAACAUCAGUUAUAAUUAUUUAUCAGUUAAUGAGAACAAGGAAUCACUAGACCCAAUUAUGCUGGCAUUUAUUAACAGCUUUGUAAGUGAAGUUAUAGAAGAUGAUGAUAGCCUAAUAAAGUUAGUUGAAUGCCCAAUCCUCUGUCGUUUAUCCAUUGGUCCUUUCCUUUGAAUGUUACGAAAAUCUUAGUUUGUCAUAUUGAACAUCAAUUUUCAGUUCAUAGAUAUAUGUAUUGUUUAGUGAUUUUGUUAGUAGCGUCAUCAAGAUUUUGUUGUGGACGAAACUUCCACGUUUUAUGCAAUUUGAAAGCAAUGCAUCAUUGAUAAUGUUUGUGAUGUUGUCAAUUAUGAGUAUUGAUUAGUGAUGGUUUUAAAAAAUAAUAAUCGCUGCAAGCCUGCAAUGCAAGACAGGCUUGAUGUCAUGCAUUUAUUUUUCUUCUUGUUCUUUCUUAGACAAAGUGAUAAGUACAAUUGAAAAUUCACACCCGUAGAUGAAGUGACAAGUAUUGAAAACUUAUAAAUACAACUGCAAAUUUUUGAAUUUAUAUUUGAUUGAAGAUGUUGAAUUUAAUAAUUUUAACAUUUGUCAACUAAAUUAAAUCUUAUGGACUUGUCAUGUUGAAAAUUUGAAGGAAUUGUGCACACAUCCUUUGGGGGAAAAAGUAUAUUUUUUAAAUGUUCUCUCCAUUAGAGUUAAUGUUAUUUGAGGUCCAUCAUUAGAGGUAAAUAAUUCUCUUAACUGAAAUUUAAAAUCAAGAUUUAAGUCUAACCCUUUCACCAAAUCCAAAUAUAUCUCCCAAUAAGUUUUUUUUAAAAUUCCAGAUUUUUUAAUUUUCUGUAGUAUAAAUAUUAUUUCAGAAAAAAAAUAAACUAAAACUUGAGCUUUAUAAAACACAUUUUGCCCAAAAAGCUUAUAUCAUGAGUUUUCUAAGAUUUCUUUUUUCUCUCGAGAAUCUCAUUUUUUUAGUUUUUCGAAUCUUUUUAAAGAAAACUAGUACAUUAAAACUCAAAUUGUCUUCUAGUAAAAACAACUCAAACUGUCUUUUCUAAACUAAUUUAAUAGAAUUUAAUCUCUAAACUAACAUUCUUUCACUAAUUUAGUUUUUAAAUUAUUAAAACUAAUAAACAUAUUCCUAAAAUUAUUUCUCUAUCCAUUAAGUUAAUUCAUUUGUUAGGUGACCGUAUGAGUCCUUAAACUAUAAAAAUAUCUUAAAACAGUCUCCAAAUUAUUAUAAAACAACAACAAUUUAACUCAUCAAAAUUCAAUUUAACCACUUCACUGAUACAAUUAACUGGUGAACUAAUUUGACGGAUUAAGUUGAGAAAAUAAUUUUGUAUAUCACAAAACUCAAUUUUGGCUGUUUUCAACUACGAAAGUGCUGGUGAAAAGCAUCUACUAUUACUAUUUAUUUAAGAUUUGUUUGGCUAUGCUGUCAUGAUGUCAAAUAAAUAUUUAUUCACAAAAUUAUGUCAAACAAAAUUAUUCAGGGUCGUUAUUGACAUCUAGGAGCAAUUACGUCCAAGAGAAAAAUUGUUCCAAUGGCAUGAAAGUAACACCAAAACAGAAAGAAAAUUCACAAAUGCUCUCGUCUUGUAUUGCGUCCAAGAGACCUUUCAACAACUUUUACUUUUCAUUUACUAUUCAUUAAUAGCAUGCUCUGCCUCUAGUGCUAUAUUUUCAACCAAUUUUAAAAAGAGUAUCUUAAUUCACUUCUCCUAUUUUUUUUCUUCCAGAUUAUUACAGUUUCAUAACAAUUUUCAAGAAAAGUAGAAUAGAAAGAAAAAACCACGCAAUUAUUUUUUAAAAAUAAAAUUAAAUAAGCUUUUUUUUUCUCUCUAUAAAAUCCUACUAUUUUGAUUUUAGUUUUUAUAAAAAAUCUAGUUAAUUUUUAAUCUCUAAUUUUUAAAUUUUUUUUUAUCCCAGAUUUUAAAUCAAUUAUCGUGUAUCAUUUAAAUUUUUAAAUAAUUUUUUACAGUAAUAUUUAUGACAUAUUUAACAAAUUUUUUUCCAAAAAUUUAGAAUUUUUAAUAAGAAAAUGAAUUAAAUAUAAAUUUUCAAACUUUGACGCUUAAAAUUCAUAUUUAAUUUAUCGUUUGUGAAAAAAAAUUAAAUUUUUUUGAGAGAAAUAUAUGAUAAUAUCCUAAAGCAAAAAAUCAUUCAAAAAUUCUUAAACACACGAGAUGAUUUAAAAUCAGGGACAAAAAAUAAAAUGAAAAAUAAAAAGACUAAAAGUUGACAAUUAUUUUUAUAGAAACAAAUCUUAUUUAACCCAAGAAAAUAUAAAAAGCUCAAAUUAUGAAAUGAAUAAUAUCUAAAUAGAUUUAAUGGAUCUAUUAAGGUUUAAUAGAUUUAAUUUAGUUAACCCAUUUUUAAGUAAUUAUUUUGAGAUUGCAUCAAUCACCUAUGAAUUUCCAAGGAAUGUCAAAGACAAACCGAGGAAUAAAACGGUUCAAGAAAGACAGAGCAGCCAGCUAGCAUGAAAUUGAAUUAUAAUAAUAAAUUAAUGGGGCAGCAAGAUUCCAUUAAGUUAAUUAAAAAAAAUAGUACCAGUCAUACUCUUAAAUAUACAAAUAAGAAAGAAAAAGAAAGCUAAAAGAAAACCGAUGAAGUUAUACUUGUACCCCAUAUAAACAAAGAACCAAAUUCUCUACUUUUAAUUUUCCACUUGGGAGGAAGAAAACAAAAUUUGGGUUUGGUUGUGGAUGAUUCUCAUAAAGUGAAAUUAACAUUAUGAUAAAAUCUCAUCCACAAAUCAAACCCUCCAAGUAGUAGCAUUGUUGUACCUUAUAGUUUAGACCAUGAAGGCUAAACACAUGGUAAGAACAAGGGACAAUAGCAAUAUAGUGUUGGUGCUUUUCAUAUUAGCUGAAGAAGGAUCACCAUUUCCACCAAUUGUAGAUGUUGGACUCAUUCCAAAUACAUUAGGACUACCCGCAGUUGUUCCUGUGCCGGUGCCGGUUCCGGUUCCUGGAGUUGAACCUGGUGAACCGGUGGAUGGUGUUGUUCCAGCACUGCUGCAAAAGAGCCAAGAUAAAUAUAUCAGCAUAGAUCUUAAAGUGAUAUAAGAUGCAUAAUAAUCAACAUAUUUCAUUGUUUUUCCGUUCCUAGGGAAAGGGGUCCUGAUAUGAAGAUUGUUCGAGCUAAAAUUCAAAUUUGGGUUCUUCCAAAUGAUUUACCUUUAACUAGACUUUUAUUAACUAGCUUAAUUAUUAUACGUUUCACUUGGUUAUAAACCUUGGAAAUAAUUGUCAAACUUUGAUAGCAUGCUAGUUCUUAUUUCAAGAAAAAAGAUGACAUGGAUGGUAAAGAUAACUUAUUUGCAAGAAUGUAGUUCAGAAUUCUGAUUUAUGAAGGUGAAUGCAUGAACCCAAAAAAGGGCUUUUGGCUAAUGUGCAAAGUAAACUAAUUCCAGAGCUACAUUUGACUAUAGUAUUAAAAUAUAUUUAAGAAAACCAAGUUUAUAGCAAUGCAUUUUUAGAGUAUACUAAUUGAAAAUUGAGAUGAAGCAAAUAAAUAGACCGUCAUGGUAAAACUAAUCAAUGCUUCCAAUCACCCUAACAAAAACUUCAAGAAUAGAAAAACUGGGUGAAAUCACCUUUACAUCUAUCUAUAAAAUGCUUAUGAGAAAUAGUAAUUUUCUACAACAUUCUCAUUUCACACUCAAAAGACACAAAAUUAAUUGAAUUGCAAAAUAACUCACUCAAUUCAUUGGAUGCAUAAAAAAUAAAACAACAUUAACAUAAAAUUCUAUAACAAAAUUCAUUGUCAAGAAACAUACCCCGGAAUUGAAGGGUAAACACAUCCAGAUGAUGUAGCUGUAGAAAAAAAAAAUUAAAAAUUAAAUAAAUUGGAAGAGUGAAAAAAAGCCUACAAAAAAUGUGUGAUGGAUAUAGAGAAGAGAAUAGUUACUAGGUGGUGUUUGAGAAGGUGCUGCAGCUCCAGCAAAAUCACAACUUCCUUGAACAUUACCCUUUCUUUGGUAAUAGCUAUUAACAGCAUAGUUACAGUGAUCUUUCACAGUGUUUGGUUGAAAACAAGGUCCAUUUUGAAGAAUAGGUGUACAAUCAGCUCCAGUUCCACAAGCAUAAUCUAUUGCCUUCUGAAGGAUUUGAUCACUCACACCAUCUUUGCAUACACAGUAAAGACCACCUAUUUCACAAACAAUUUUUUUUUUUGUCAAAAAUAGUAACACAGUAAACAAAAAAUCUCACCUUUUUUGUAGAAUAAUAUUAAUCAGAUGCAUGCAAAUGCAAUCUUCACUAUUUUUUCUGCUUUCUGAAGAAAAAAAAAGAGGGGCUAAUUUUUUAUUUGGUUUAGGCAGAACAGAACAAAAAACCAGAAUUAAAACAAAAAAAAUCUUUGAUAUAAAAAACCCAGAAUUAAAACAACAACAAAAAUUUCAACUGAUCAUAGGAACCAACGUCAGGGAAAAUAUAUAACUAUAACGAUGAGUUAUCAGAGUUAAAAAAAAAAAAAUUGAAACUUGAAACACAAACAAAAAAAUAGUCUUUUUGUGCUUACUUGAAUGACCAGUGAGGGACAGGAAAAGCAGAAAAAAGACGAGAAAGGCCAUAACAAGAGAAAGUGAUUAUUUUGAUGUGAAUGAGUUGAGAAAGAAAGAGAGAUGAAUGUAAUGAUGAAGAGAAAAAGGAGCGGUUGUUUUUGUGCCUCUCUGUUAUAAGCGUUUUUUUAUUUAAAACGCGCUUAUAUGGCUUUUCACAUUCUUCUCAGUAGUUAGUCCUAUUUGAUUAUAAGUGCGGUAAGAGUUUAUAAAAAACAGGCAGUAGAAUAAUCAAAUCUUCAUUUUACCGUCUUGAUUGAUUAUAGAGGAACGUAAAUGUUUAGGAGUGUUAAAAUCUAAUUAAUUUUGAUUCAUUUAUCGUCUUGAUUGGUAAUAAGAGUGUAAAAUCUAAAUUAAUUUAUUUUUUAACUAUAGAAGAUUAAAUUAUAGGAAACAUGUUAUACAAGGUCAAAACAGUCUUUAAUUUUAGUAAAGAAUAUAACAAAAGUUAUGUUUAAAAUAUAAAUAAAUCCUAAUUAUCACAUUUAUUUAUUUUUGUCUUAAAUUUGAUAGUAAAAAUAUUGGUAGUUUAAAGUUCAGCUUAAGAUAAACUCAAAUCUAGUCAAAGUUUAUUUCAAUUUGAAUUUGAGUAAUUUUAAAUAAUUUGUCUUUUACUAUAGUAUUAUAGACUUUAUUUGAUUAAUGAUAUACUUUUUUCUUUAAUUAAUAUAGAUUUUUUUUAUUAGCAUUUUCAUUUAAAGACCAAGUUUUUAUGAAAGAUGAUAUUUUGAUUGUGUUAAUAAAAUUCAUUAAAAUUUUAAUUAACAUAAAUUUAUUUAUAGAGUUUAUUGGUUAUACAUUGUGUAAAUUCAAGUAUAUGCAAAAAUAACGUGAUGGGAUAAAAUAGAUCGGUUUAAAUAUGUACUUAAUAAUGUAAAUAUAAGAAAUUAAAUUUUAAUUUUUAUAAAAUAAUUAUUUUAGUUUAAAUCCUUGCAAAACAUAAAUAUUUUUAUUUUAGUCAUAAUGUUAUGUUAAUUUAUUAACGACUGAGUAAUUAAUAAUUUUAAAUUUAGCAAAUAAUUUGAUUUUAGUCUCUACAUACAAAUGAAAACAAAAAAUGAAUUUUUUUUAUUACAAAAAUCAUAAAAUUUACAUAUUUUUAGCUCAAAAAAAUUAAUUAAAAUUAAUAUUUUAUUAAUAUCGUCAAUAUAAAAAUAAAAAUGUGAACUAUUAUAAAAUAAUAAUUAUAAUUUGUUUACACUUCAGUUUUUCACAUUUUUCUUCUUUUUCUUAAAUAGUCGUAAAAUAAGUUGUUGCAAUAUAAAAUUAAUACAAGAAACACGUGUUUGUCUAUAUUUAAUUAGUUAAAUUUAUUAUUUUUGUGUUUCUUCUAUAUAAAAAUGAGAAUAAUUUUGUUAUACUAAUUAAAAAUAUAUUAUAAAAAUCAUGUUCGAAUGUAUAUUAGUCAAUAAAAAAAUUAGUUAAAAUUGGUGUUUUUUUAAUAUCGUGAACGUAAAAAUAAAAAAUAAGAACAAUUAUAAUAUAUUAAUUAUAAUUUUUUUUUUAUUGUUUGUUUGAAAACGAGUCAGCUAAAUAGGCUGGUGGAAGAUAUAAUCAUGUAUAAAAUAAAUAUUUAUCACUAAUCAAUUAGUCAAAUUUAAUUUUUUUUAUAUCAUUUAUAUAAAAAUAAUAAUAAUUAUAAUACACUGAUUAUAAUUUAUUAAAAAAAUCGUACACAGGAGUAAACACAAUUUUGUUUUUAUUAUAUAAGAAUUAAAAUCAAUUUUGUUUGCAUUUUACAAGAAUUGAAAAAAUUGUUUUAUUUUGUAGGACUAAAAUACUAAAUUUUACAAGAAUUAAACUUAAAAUUAUUAAUUAUUCAACCGUUAAAAAAUUAGCAGUGUUAAAUAUUAGAAGAUUAAUGGAAACAUUUUUAAUUUUUAUAGACUUAAACUAAAAUUUCAUUUUGCAAAGAUUAAAUACAUUUUAGUUUCUUAUUUAUAUUCAGAUAAAAUGAAUGAUAUUAUAAUUAUGUGUGAUAAAAAUAUUAUAUUUAAGAUAAACACUUAUUAAAAAAUUAAAUAUAAUAAUUUAAUAUUGAAAAGAUGAAAAUUUAUAUUUUUAAAAAGUUCAAUACAUAAUUUUUAACAUAUUUUUAAUAUAAAUUUUCUAUAUUUAUAUGAACAGAUACCCAAAAACAUUUGUUUGGAUUUAUCUUAUUAUAUAUUAAAACAGAAUAUGUACAGCAUAAACAUGGGGCGUGUGUGUGUUUAUGGGGAAUUAUAAUGCUACUUUUUCCUGGUCUUUGUCAUAUACAACUCAAUUGGAAUGGUUAUGUACACGUGUGAUGGAACGUAAACUCGANNNNNNNNNNNNNNNNNNNNNNNNNNNNNNNNNNNNNNNNNNNNNNNNNNNNNNNNNNNNNNNNNNNNNNNNNNNNNNNNNNNNNNNNNNNNNNNNNNNNNNNNNNNNNNNNNNNNNNNNNNNNNNNNNNNNNNNNNNNNNNNNNNNNNNNNNNNNNNNNNNNNNNNNNNNNNNNNNNNNNNNNNNNNNNNNNNNNNNNNNNNNNNNNNNNNNNNNNNNNNNNNNNNNNNNNNNNNNNNNNNNNNNNNNNNNNNNNNNNNNNNNNNNNNNNNNNNNNNNNNNNNNNNNNNNNNNNNNNNNNNNNNNNNNNNNNNNNNNNNNNNNNNNNNNNNNNNNNNNNNNNNNNNNNNNNNNNNNNNNNNNNNNNNNNNNNNNNNNNNNNNNNNNNNNNNNNNNNNNNNNNNNNNNNNNNNNNNNNNNNNNNNNNNNNNNNNNNNNNNNNNNNNNNNNNNNNNNNNNNNNNNNNNNNNNNNNNNNNNNNNNNNNNNNNNNNNNNNNNNNNNNNNNNNNNNNNNNNNNNNNNNNNNNNNNNNNNNNNNNNNNNNNNNNNNNNNNNNNNNNNNNNNNNNNNNNNNNNNNNNNNNNNNNNNNNNNNNNNNNNNNNNNNNNNNNNNNNNNNNNNNNNNNNNNNNNNNNNNNNNNNNNNNNNNNNNNNNNNNNNNNNNNNNNNNNNNNNNNNNNNNNNNNNNNNNNNNNNNNNNNNNNNNNNNNNNNNNNNNNNNNNNNNNNNNNNNNNNNNNNNNNNNNNNNNNNNNNNNNNNNNNNNNNNNNNNNNNNNNNNNNNNNNNNNNNNNNNNNNNNNNNNNNNNNNNNNNNNNNNNNNNNNNNNNNNNNNNNNNNNNNNNNNNNNNNNNNNNNNNNNNNNNNNNNNNNNNNNNNNNNNNNNNNNNNNNNNNNNNNNNNNNNNNNNNNNNNNNNNNNNNNNNNNNNNNNNNUCGUGUAGGACUUUGGCAUGAUGCAUGGUCAAGGUUCCAUAAUUCCACCAUUCAUGCUAUAAGCCAUAGAUUCUUCCUUUAACUUGCGCCUUGCCUUCGAAGUACCACUUUUUACGACCUAAAAAACCGAGUUUAUAAGUUUUGCUUGAUAACAGUUAUUUAUAAAUUUAUGAUUUAUAGUAUUUUUUAUAAAUUAAUUUAAAUAAUUUAUAAUUUAUUAUUAUUUUUAAUUUUAUUUUAUUAUUGUAACAAUUUUUUUAUAAUUUAUUUAUUUUAAUUUAAAAUAAAUAAUUUUAAAAAAUUAAAAAAAUAAUUUAUUUAUACAAAAUUUAUAUAAUUUUAAUUAAUUUGAAUAAAUAAUCAUUUAAAGUAAAUGAUUUAUUUAUUGUAAUUUUAAAUUAUUUAAAAAUAAUUUAAAUAUUAAAAUAUUAAUAGUUUUAUAGUAAAUAAUUUAUUUAUUUUUAUUUUAUUUAAAAUAAAUAAAAAAAUAUGAUAAAAAUUAAAUUAAUAAAAAAUUAAAUUAUUAUUUUUAAAAUAUUUUAAACAUUAAUUAAUAAAAUUUAUUGUAAUUAAGAAUUUAUUUUUAUAUUAUUCUAUGUUUUAAGUUAAUUAAACUGUUAAUUUUAUAGUAAUUAACUUAACAAUUAUUAGCUAUAAUGUAACACCCCAAAAAUUGUAUAUUGCAUUUUUUAUUUAUUUAUACUAAUAAUUCUAUUAUUUAAAUUUUAUUGUCGUAAUUCAUAUAUUUAUACAAAUAUCUUAGAUCUUAUUUAAUCAUAAAAUGAUUGUUAGUUAAUCAAGUGAAGUUUAGUUUAGGAAGUUCAUAUUAAUGUAUUUUUUAUAGUUGGAGAAUAGAUUAGAAAUAAACCCAAUAGAAAUCUCAAAUUCAACUUCUAGUAGCCCAUUUUGUAGUCAAAACAAAAUUUGUCAUUUGUAAGGAUUUGGAGGGGUGUAAUUGACAAUUCACAUCACACUCCCCUUUACUUAAAACCCAAUUGUUAAAAAUAAUAAUAAUAAUAAUAAUAAUAAUAAUAAUAAUAAAUAAAUAAAUAAAUAAAUAAUAAAAGAAAGAAAGAGGAAGGGAUGACUGAACCGUAACAUAUUAGGGAAAAUGAAGAGAGAAAAAAAAGAGACAGAAAAGAUGGAAGAAGGGAAAAGAGGAAAGAAGAAGAGAUGAGGAAAAAAAAACAAGAGAGAACACACUAACUUCAUUGCAUGUCAUUCUCAAACUCCUUCAUUUCAUCAUCUCAUCAUAGAAACACCCUCACACCUAUAUUAGAGUAAAAGAGGACCAAGAGAUAGAGUGAAAUGAGGAAUUAUGAGAAAGAAGAAAAGAAAAGUUAAGGUUUCAAUAUAGGAGAAGAAGUUUUAAAAUGUCUUGCAUGUUGAGAAGGAAGAUGAAAACGUGAAGAUGAGUUAAAGUUUCACUUGUAGAAGAAGGAAUUAGAAUCAAACUUUGGAGAUCUCAAAUCUCUUCUUAAGGUAACAUAGAAAACCUCUCUUAGGUGUGUUUAGAGAUCAUGUUUUGCAUGUUUGGGUAUUAAGAUAAUCUUAUUUAAUUUUGUAUUAUUGAUUAUUAAUAAUCCAUGUUAGGUGUUUAUAUUAAUUACUAUGAAGAGUUGUUGUUUUAUUAUUGUUGUUGAAUGUUGUGGUUGGGUUUGUGAUAAGAUGACAACUAUUUAGUAUUGGUACUUACUUGAUAUUAUGCUGAAUUUUGAAUGUAUUUUACUUAGUUGAUCAUAUUAACUUGAAAAUAUAAAGUUUGAAGUGAAAAUAGUAUGGUGUUGUCUUCGAACCCGUAUAGGUAUAUCUUUGGUAUUUUGUUCAAAACUUUCACCAUAGAUAGUGUUUUGAGUUGAUUUCUAUCCCAUUAGAAAAUAGACUUAAUUACUUACGAAAUAGGCACUGGUUUCACCAAAUUUCAUUGAGAAUUGGUAGAGAAAAUUGAGUUACAAGUUGGAAAAUAAUCUAUUGUUAUGUUUUUGUAUAUGUAUACUUUAUUUUAUUAAACUGUACUAAUUGAAUGUUUGCAUAAUAAGCAUUAUAUUUAUAAACUAGACAUCUUAUGCUUUCUAAAAUGUUAUCCUUUAUUCAAAUCGAAUAUCGUUUGAUAUUUUAAUUAAAUUACCAAAGUUAUAGUGUUUGUGCAGAAAAAGAUUAUGACGUAACUAAGUUAAGAUGAGUAUCACAGAAGCAAUAUGAAUCGGUUUUGAGUUAAAUCAAUUGGACUGGAAAGUUUAUUCCUAUUAUGUUGUUAUUGUAAACUUUUAUAAGUUUAUAUUAAAUUUACAAAUCUUCGUGAUUUUAUGAAGUAGAUUGUUCUGUAUUAUGAGUUUUUGUGCAUUAGUCAUCUUGAAAUAUCUAUAUCUUAAGCUAGGAAAUUCAUUUUUGAGUGGAACCAGUUGCAUUUAAAAGCUUAAAUAUAACACUCUUUUAUGGAGGUUUGAUAUGUUAAGCGCAUGUUCUAUGAUGUGAAUGGAGAUUACUUAUAUGUUAUGAUUAUAUAUAUAUAUAUAAGGUUCAUUCUAGCUAGAUGAACUCUCCGUCUAUAUACGACAGAAGCGAGGGUAAGUGGAACACCACUUACGGACUUAAUUAUGUCCAAUCUAAUCAAAAGAGGUUAUUCAAGUAGAGGACAUUGGGUGAAACCAAUGUAGUCUUUUACUCAACAGAGGUUAUUCAUUGCAUGUCAUGAUCUCUAAGCACACCUAAGAGAGGUUUUCUAUGUUACAUUAAGAAGAGAUUUGAGAUCUCCAAAGUUUGAUUCUAAUUCCUUCUUCUACAAGUGAAACUUUAACUCCUCUUCACGUUUUCAUCUUCCUUCUCAACAUGCAAGACAUUUUAAAACUUCUUCUCCUAUAUUGAAACCUUAACUUUUCUUUUCUUCUUUUUCAUAAUUCCUCAUUUCACUCUAUCUCUUGGUCCUUUUUUACUCUAAUAUAGGUGUGAGGUUGUUUCUAUGAUGAGAUGAUGAAAUGAGGGAGUUUAAGAGUGACAUGCAAUGAAGUUAGUGUGUUCUCUCUUGUUUUUUUUUUCCUCCUCUCUUCUUCUUUCCUCUUUUCCCUUCUUCCAUAUUUUCUGUCUCUUUUUUUCUUUCUUCAUUUUCCCUAAUAUGUUACGGUUCUGUCAUCCCUCCCUCUUUCUUUCUUUUAUUAUUUAUUUAUUAUUAUUAUUUUUAACAAUUGGGUUUUAAGUAAACGAGAGUGUGAUAUGAAUUGUCAAUUACACCCCUCCAAAUCCUUACAAAUGACAAAUUUUGUUUUGACUACAAAAUGGGCUACUAGAAGUUGAAUUUGAGAUUUCUAUUGGGUUUAUUUAUAAUUUAUUCUCCAACUAUAAAAAAUACAUUAAUAUGAACUUCCUAAACUAAACUUCACUUGAUUAACUAACAAUCAUUUUAUGAUUAAAUAAGAUCUAAGAGAUUUGUAUAAAUAUAUGAAUUACGACAAUAAAAUUUAAAUAAUAGAAUUAUUAGUAUAAAAAAAAAUGCAAUAUACAAUUUUUGGGGUGUUACAUUAUAAACUAGACAUCUUAGGCUUUUUAAAAUGUUAUCCUUUAUUCAAAUCGAAUAUCGUUUGAUAUUUUAAUUAAAUUACCAAAGUUAUAGUGUUUAUGCAGAAAAAGAUUAUGACGUAACUAAGUUAAGAUGAGUAUCACAGAAGCAAUAUGAAUCGGUUUUGAGUUAAAUCAAUUGGACUGGAAAGUUUAUUCCUAUUAUGUUGUUAUUGUAAACUUUUAUAAGUUUAUAUUAAAUUUACAAAUUUUCGUGAUUUUAUGAAGUAAAUUGUUCUGUAUUAUGAGUUUUUGUGCAUUGGUCAUCUUGAAAUAUCUAUAUCUUAAGCUAGAAAAUUCAUUUUUGAGUGGAACUAAUUGCAUUUAAAAGCUUAAAUAUAACACUCUUUUAUGGAAGUUUGAUAUGUUAAGCGCAUGUUCUAUGAUGUGAAUGGAGAUUACUUAUAUGUUAUGAUUAGAUAUAUAUAUAUAUAUAUAUAUAUAUAUAUAUAAGGUUCAUUUUAGCUAGAUGAACUCUCUGUCUAUAUACAACAAAAGCGAGGGUAAGUGGGGCACCACUUACGAACUUAAUUAUGUCCAAUCUAAUCAAAAGAGGUUAUUCAAGUAGAGGACAUUGGGUGAAACCAAUGUAGUCUUUAUGACUUACUUGAUAUAUUGAGUUUAAGUCAUUAGAUUACUCAUGUCUAAUGGCUUAAAGUGUUGGAAAGAUUUGAGACCAGAGGUAGAAGAGGUAUUUGAAUAAAGCUUACGAAGAAAUAAUAUUAUAUUAAUUUAAAGUAUAGUUUACCGAGAAGAUUUUCCAUGCUUAGCACACCAGCAUGACUGAGAAACAUCAAUAAUUGUUUUUAUUAAAUCUAUGUUACUGAGUUUUAUGCUCACUAUGUUGAGGGUAAUGUUUUUCGGGUAACAGAUAAAUAUUGAAAGUCUGAGGAGUAUCCGGAUUUGCUCACAUGUCCUUCAAUGUCAUGAGUCAGAAUUGAAUUACGUACGUCUUGAAUCUAGAUUAUUGAGUCUAGAUUAGAGUCAUAGUUUAAUUAAGUCUCACUUGAAAGUUGUUUUAAAUUUAUAAGUAUUUAUAUAUUUAUGAAUUAAAGAUUUCAGUUUCAUUUACAUUGUGUAUAUUUUUGUUUCAUUGAUGUUAAAAAAAUUAGGCUUUACAUAUAAACUAUCAACUAUCAAUUAUAAGUUAAUUUUACCAAAUAAAAGUGGACUAGUCGGUUCUAUGAUUAAUCUAUUAUAAAAAUAAAAUAAAAUAAAAGUAAUUCAAUUUAAAUUAUCAAAUAAAUAUUAUUUUUUACAAUUUACAAAAAUAAAUAAUAUUGACAAUUAAAAUCAAUCACAAUCAUAAUAUAUAUAUAUAUAUAUAUAUAUAUAUAUAUAUAUAUAUAUAUUUAACCUUAAAAAAAAUAUACUCCGACAUAUAUAUUCCAAUAACAAAAUCAACAGCCAAAAUUAAGGGCAAAACAAAGCCGCCCCUGAAUUCCUAAUACAUAUAGCAUAGCUAUAAGUUAUUAAUUAAUGAGCUCAAUUAAUUCUUUACUUUUGUUAGGUUACAAUUAAAAGAUUAGAGAAAAAUAAACGCAACAAAAAUAGAAAAUAGAAACGAUAGCUUUUUAUUUUAUUUUAUCAGUUUGUCUCGUCCCAUGCUCACCUAAAAUAGCGUAUUAAACGGACCAGUCCGACAGAUUCAUUCAGUUUUGAUACUCUCACUUGUGUCACCUAUAUUUGUUUUAUAAAAAAAAAAAACACCAAAUAAACAAAGAAAAAAUAUUAAUUUUAUUUGUUAAUAAAAAUAAAAGAUUUUUUAAUAUAUAAUUAUCUAUAUUUUUAAAAGUAAUGAAAAUAUUAAAAAUUGUUUUUAUUAAUUCUAAAAUUACAUUUUUAUUAAUUAAAAUUUUAUUUUAUUUUAUAAAAUAAUAAUUUACUUCAAAAGUCUUUUAUUAAAAUAAAGAAAAAUACAUUUAAAAAUAUAUAUAUAUUUUCAUAAAAUAAACGAUCAUAAGUCUUAAAUUUUUUUUUUUUGAAUAUUCGGUCACAAUUUAUUUCAACCUUUGUUUUUCUUUCAUUUAUGUUGUCUGAUCUGUUCAAACUUUCAAUUUAUAAGUUAAAAAAACAAGUAGCAUAUAUUUCCAAAAAUCAAAAUGGUAUAUCGUCUACACUUGUUACCUCGAUUAAUUAGGGUGUUUGUUGGUUCAAUCCAAGAAUCGAAGAAUAUAUACAUAAAAUCAUGAAUUAUUAUUACUUAAUGUUAUUUAGCUUAUGUUAACAACUGUUUUUAGGGUAUUUAUUAAAAAAAAUAAAAUAAAAAAUUUAUAUUGAAAAAUAAUAAAUUUUAAAUUUUAAAAAAUAUGAAAACACAACUUACAUUGUAUUUUUAAUAUAAAAUAAUUUUUUUAAUUGUUUAAUAACUACACUUAAAAUACUUAUUACUAUUUCUCAUACCUUAAUUAGGAUGGGCGUCUACACUUAAAAUAAAUACAGUAGCACUUAUGAAAUUGUCUUCAACCACUGUAACUUAUUUACUAUGAAACUUCACCUAAUCCUAAAUUCACCUUGCUUGAAUUGUCUGAGAUUGGUGGUAUGAGAUAAAAUGAUGUGAGAUAAAUUUAUGUUUUAUUGUUUCAAUUGUUUAAAAGAAAAUGAAAUGGAAUACAAUAGAAUCUUUCUAUUAUAUUCCAUCACUAGAGGUGGGAAUACGGUAAGCCAGACCAGACUUUAAAAGACAUGAGUCUGACAUACGAUUAAUUUUGUAGGCAUAAGUCUGAUCUAUGAUCUAUAAUAGGUUUUUUUUCGGUCUGACCUGAUCUUUUUAAAAGACUGGCCUGGAAGCCUAUUUAAAAGUCUUAUUCAUAUUAAAACAUUUAAAUGUUCUACUCAUACUACAUGUUCUUCACAUACCAAUAUCAAUGUACAUAUCUAUAUAUAUUAAACAAAAAAUAUUUUUUCUAAAAAUAUAAUUUUUAAAAAACCUGAAACAAAUAUCCUUUAAACCCUCAAACAUAAUUUUUUAUUUUAAAUAAUAGAUUUUUUUUUCCUGAAACAAAUGCACCCAUUAUUAUCUCUAAAACAAAUAUGGAACGACUACUGAGUGAUUGACUAAUUGAAUACUAUCGAAUAUGAAACUACUACCAAAUAUGGAAUGACUACUUAGUGGUUGUGUAAUUGAUAUAAUUUAAAAUAGAAAAUAAUAAUAUUAAUAUAAUAAUAAAAAUAAUACUAAUAAAUAAUAAAAUAUAUUUAGGCCGCCAUGUCAGAUCUAAUAAACUUUUUUAUAAGUCUGAGUCUCUAUUUAAAUAAAUAGACUUUAAAAAUAAUCUGAGUCUAACCUUUUUAUUACAUAAGUCAGACCAUAAGUAGGUCAAGCCAUAAACCCCUAGCGGACGACCUAACCUAUUCUCAUCCCUAUCGAUCACAUACUCUCAUUUUGUUUUUCUCUAAUAUAGGAGAAAGAGAUGAAUUCUUUUUUUAAAUAUUUAUUUCAUCCUAAGAAUCUUGCAGUCCAAAUAAUAAGCUAAACAUAAUUAAGAUUAUGACCAAUCAAAGUUCCACGAAAAUUAUCCGAAGGAUAUUUGAUUUUGUGUAAAUGGAUAAUGAACCCAUUGGGAUUGGUAAUUAGUCUCCAACUUUAUUUAUCAAACAUAACUAAACUGAAUGCACGUAGAUUUCUGACAAUCAUAGGUUCACCGUGUUUACUCGUAGCAAAAUGCUCCCACGAAAGCUGAUGAAUCUCAUGAAAACCACAUGUCUCAACUCCACAAAAAUAAAUUCGUUAAUUUCUCAAUUUCAUCCGCAAGAGAAAGAAGAAAAAGAAAAAUACUCAUAACAUAUAAAAUAACAUAAAAAACACUUCAUUCCCCACAUGGGAAAUAUUCUUACUACUCCAACUAUUUAUUUGCAUUCUUGCUAAAAAAUAAGUGUUUCUUUUUAAACAAACAAAAUAGUGGCUUUUCAUUCAUAAUAAUAGUAGAAAUACAGUUGGAAAUAUCAUAGAAAAUAACUUCGCUUGCUAAAGAACAAGUACUACUAUCAAAUGACAAUCUAGAAAAAACAACUUAUAGUUGUUACACAAUUAUAAUAAAUUGUGACACUCUUGAAUAAUGCAUCCAACAAAAGUGUCCUCUUGAUUCUGAGUCAGUUUGACACAUUAAACAUAAUGAUCGAGAAUCCACUUUUUUUGCUUCUCAGUCACCUGUUGAUAGACAACUGCAUAAUUUUUUUAAAUUUUGGAGAUGCGUUCAAUGCAUAUAGUUCAUGCUAAUCUCCCUCUAAUUUCUACUCACUAUUAUCAAUAAUUGUAUCCACGCAUAAAUGAUUAGGACUUUUCACCGAAUAGUCACCGUUUUCGUUAAAAAUCUCUAAACAAUUUCAUCUUUCUCAUGUAAUCUUAGGAACAAUAUUUUAAAAAUUUAUUCCACAUCUGGUAGAGCAAAUGGAGUACUAUUUCAAAUAUCUAUCUGUUAUUUAUUGAAAAAUGAAAAGAUAUAUUUUAAAAUUAUUCUUAAGAGCAAAAUUGACUAAUUUUUAUAGUCAUUUCAAAGAUUACAAAUGACAAAUACAUCAACACCACAAUAUAGUAAUCUCUACUCAGUUCCGUGAACGGUUGUCCCGAUGUAACUGUUCUAUUGUGUGACAUCUAGUAACGUGCUAUUCAAUUAAUGGGAAAAUUGGCGAUACGAUUUUAACCUUACCGUGAUCACUAUUUACUAUAGAGUAACUGUCCCUUUAUCCAAAUGUUUUAACUGAACCCAAAACAUAAAAAAUGUCAUCAUUUUUAGGUCCAAUAAUUUGUUUUUUGAUUUUCGAAUAUACGUGCAAUCACAAUAUACCUAAUAUCUUAUAUUAGUCCAUUUUGGUAUAGUUACACACAUUUUACAUAUUACUCUAUCGAGAAAACUAAGACACGACUCCUAUUAUGCACGAUGAAUGAAUCCUAUCUACAUCACUCAUAUCCCACUACAUGGUUUAUUGUAGACCUGAUAAGCGCUAUUCUGAUUGUCCUGUUGCAGAUAAUGUUUGAUUGCCUCAAAAUAUACAACUAUUCAAGUAAGGAUUGUAAUUAAUGACUUCAAGUCAAAUGAUUACUCAUUAUAGUUACAUGAAAAUCACUAAUUAUAUUUGCAUAACUAUUAUGUAAUAUUCUCAUAGUGGAUCAAUCUAGUACAAAUAUUACUCCUAAUAUUUAUACCUAUAUGAAGAUUUGAUAUCUCAUAUCUAUGACUCGUAAUAUGUGAUCAUUAGUCUACUCACAUCAUAGUCUUCAUGCAUCACUGUUGUUCUAUUUAACACUAAAACUUGACUACAAAAGUUUAAGAAUAGUGUCAUUAUACUCAAUGAAGUCUCACAGUUAAGUUACACUAAAUUAAACAUACUAUCUAUUCUAAGGAUUUUAUUAUGCUUUAAAUAAAUCUACAUGAUAAAUUAAAAUAGAUCAUAUUACUAUAUAAAUAAAAGUAAAUAUCAUGAUAUAAAUAAUAAAUAAAUAAAUAAAAAUAUUGGCCUCUAUGAUCAACUCUAACAUUAUUUACAUCAACGAAGACAUGUUAUUUUAUAGGAGAUGCAAAUUGGCACAACAGAGUAAUAAUCCUUGGAUUAUUCUAACGUCUUAACCAUGGCAUAUCACAAAUAUUAAUAAAAGAUCCAUCACUGAUAUUCCAUGAUGUUCUUCCUCAAACAAAUAUUGGGAAAACUGGAUACUAUGCCACACAUAUCUAGAAUUGUGCCAAUGGUCGCACCUAAAAAAAUCCCAUUUAAAUAAUAUUUAACUUUGGAUUUUUUUUGUUACUGUAGCAUUAUGCUUGAUAAGAAAUUUCAAAUCUAGUUUCCCAAUAGGACAAGAUUAAAGACAUGAAAAUUCUUGAAACCCAUAUCACCCGACUUAACCAUCUUAUUUUAUGACCUCCAUUCAUAGAACGCCACAAAAAUGAGCUUAACAUUAUUUGGAACUCAUCAUCAAUAGAUUUUGGGAGUAAGAAAACACUCAUGAAGUUGGUUGGAACAACUAGAGCAAUGGGUUUUAUAUGAACUCUUUUUCUGCUUAUACAACAUUUGACUACUCCAACUUGAAAAUUUUUGCCACACCCUAAUCCUUGACAAAUUUACCUGAAGCGACAUCACAUAUGUCCAAGAAACAAUUGAAGUUCAUAUCUCACUACAAAUUAUAUCAAAUUUACCUGAAGCAACAUCACAUAUCGUCAACAAACAAUAAUUGACUAACAAUUUAAGUUUUUAAAGCAAAUUUGUACACUACAAAUUAUGUCAUUUUACUCAAAUUGUUAUGUUAAACCCGAGAGACCUUCAACACAAAUAAUAAAAAAGUAUGAAGACAAUGAGUCACCAUUCCUCUAACCCCUGUUAGGAGUUAUAAAACCAACUGUAUCAACAUUUACAAUAACAUAAUAGUUUUUAUGCACAUCUUCAUCCAUCCCAUCCAAAUUCGAUCAAAACAUAUAUUCUCAAUGACUCAUAAAAUAGGUAUACUCAAAGGAUGCUUCAAUUUUCCUUCCCAUUGUCUUACAUUUCAUAUAAUGUAUGACUUCCGAAGCGAUCAACACAUCAUUAGUAAUAAAUCUUCCUUGACAAAACCAGACUGAUUUGAUGAUAUAUAUUUAUGCAAAAUUCUAUAAAGCAUGUUUGCAAAAAGAUCCUGAAAAUAAUAUUUGGCAAACUUACACAUAUCAUCUUGCAUGUUCACUCCAUCUGAUCACCAUUCAACAGUUAAAAGAUUAUACUUUUGUGUUUUCUAAGUAUAUUGUUGCACGAAAAAACUUUGAAUUCAUAUCUCCAUCUUUAAUAAAAAAAGUUUUUGAAGUUGCAAUUAGGGAAUAGAAUCAUCCAUUGUGGUGUAACCAUUGCUCGAUUAAGCUUUCCUCGAACAACUCAAUCGACCCUAAGCUCUAGGACCAAGUAUAAGCAUGGCCAUGAAUAGGAAUGUCAAUCAGUAUACAAAUCACUAUUAAUGGCUUCUUGUAUGUUAUGUAACAACCACUGAGGAUGCUCUAUGGACCCUCUCUUUUCAUAAUUGCAAAUUGUCCUUUACAAUGUUAAUAAAAUGUUGCGAAUUAUUCUGUAUAUGACACAACUGUGCUCGACGCCAUAUUAACGCCAAACCACCCAAAUAUACCUACAAAAUCUAAUAUAAUAAUAAUAAUAAUAUUAAUAAUAGUAAUAAUAAAUAUUAUUUAUAUUUAUCAAAAUACAACAAUAUGUUAGACCUAAAAUGCUUUGUAUAUUUUUUUAUAGCAAAAUAUGCUUUUGAAAUAGCCUUAACCGGACACAUUUUAAGAUAUCAAAUGUUGAAUUUAUUUUUUUUUUAAAUUUGUGUAUUCAAUUCUUUAAAAGUUUAAAAAGUUUUUUACUUUUACUUUUAACAUGUUCUUUAAGGUAACAUGACUCAUUUAUUAAAAAUAUAAUUUUAAGUCUAUAAUAGGCCCGAUUGAGCAGCCCAACUUAUUGUCACCUUUAUCCACCUUUCAUUAUAAUGUUUGUAAUUUUAAAUCAUUUGUAAUAUAAUUUUUUGGGUGUUUCUUUUUUUACCCCUUAGUGUUUUUAAAUAUACAAAAAUAUGCGUUUGAAUUGGGCAAUUCACACAUGUAAAAUAUACAUUCGAAUUAGUCCAUCUAAAUAAAAUUUGAGAAUUUUUAAGAAAAGCUUAAUGAGAAAAAAAAUUUCCUACUUUUUUUAUGGAAAGAAUGGUAAUUUGUAGUAUUAAAGUUUUGUACUCCCAAGUCCCACCCCUUUAAUAACGCUUGUCCAACUUUGAAGCCUUACAAGAUCUUUUAAUGUGCAAGAGUGGUCAUUUCUGUAUUUAUAGAUCUUGUUAUAUACCCUCAUUUGUAAUAACUACGAACUUUCUACAAGCAAAUAUGUCUUUUUUCACUUUUUAGUUUAUAGCUUAUUGUUUAACAUGAAGGUUUUAAAUUAUGACAGUAGUUGAAGAUGCACGUCACAAUUUUUAAAAUUUAAAAUUGCAUAGAAUUGCAGCUGAUGAAAGGGCAAAUUCAAUUGGGGUGUGAUUGCAUUUGCAUAUAUCCGUUGAAUAACGUUCUUUUUUAAGAAUCUAUUGAAACCGAAAAUAGUGUUGUGACACUACAACAGUUAUACUAUCUCUUAAUAUAAACACUAUUAUAUAAACACUAUUGUUGUUUUUUUUACUAUUAUUAAGAAAAGAUUGGUAAGAUAGUAAAUAUAUUCAUUUUACGUGUUAAUAUUAUAUUCUUAAAACGACAUUUAUAUUCGAAUAUAUUAAAUUUGAUUUUUUAUAUUUCAAUACAAAUUAACGGUAUUAAUAAAGAGUAUGUUUGAAAAAAAAAAUUAAUAAACAUUCCUAAUACAUUGAAAUGAUGCUUAUAUUUGAAAGGUUGUGUCAAUUUUUUUAAAGGUAAAACAUAUCCAAAGAAAAGAGAUGCAUUUAGGAAUAUGUAAAAAUCAUCAUCCAUUACUUCAUUAGUAAAAAAAAAAAUCAUCCAUUACUUCAAAUGACCACUUUACUUGAAAUAUAUAUAAAAAUAGUAGAAAGAAAGCUUCGGUAAUUAUAAGAGAGAGAAAAAGAGUCACAUGUCGAACUAUAUAACAUUUGUUGGAUGUGAGGUGAACACAAUAAUUAUGAAGCCCGUUCGAAAUGAACUGCAAGAUAAGCUGAAAAAUGCAAUCUUUGCAGCAGAGCCUUUAGAUGCCUCCCUACAGCGUCCAGUGCCAAUGUGCUAUAUCAAUGCUGUAAGUAAAAAUGAAAAUGAAAAUAAAUAUCAUGAACAGAAAUACAUGCACAUAGUUUUUAUUUUGCCAAAAAAAGACGUGAAACAUUGGAUGAAUAUAGAGCUAGACAAUUGAAUAAAUGGUUGAGCUAGACAAUUAUGAUGCCUUUUUUUACCAAAAACAAAAUAAGUACAAGGUAGUGAUGGAAACAUUGACAGCAUUUUGGUUUGCUUGAAUUUUAGCAAAAUUAGUAUUGAAGCUAAUUUUGGUGAAAGUUUUAUAUUCAUCAUUCUAAUCAGAGAUGUUUGUUAAUAAGAAAAUAUAUUGUUCAGUUCAUGAUUAAAAAAUAUAAAUUGAUACAAAAACUACUCAUGAACUUAACAUGUAAUUAUCACAUGAUAGAAUGUAUCUCUACUAAGUAAUGUUUUAGAAAUGGGAUAAGUUAUUGAAUCAACUGAGGUACCGAUUCACCGCUUUAGUAGUGAUUGGGUCAUAGUUGAAUUAGUUAUAAAUUUUUUGACAGUAAAUUAGUGAUAAAUAAAUAUAUUUUAUAAUCUUCUAUUAUAUAAUAAGUAUCAAAUUAACUUCAAAUAUAAAAAAAAAAAAUGAACUUUAAGUUAACAUUAAUGAUUAUAUUAUGUGUUUUGUUAGAUAAGAAAUUAAUAAUUAAUAGAAAAAGCAUAUAUAAAUUUAUAGUUUGUGAUCCUAUGUCUGUUUUCUCUCCGAACUCUAAUGUUGAGUUUAUUCAAAGAUAAACUAACGAGGUUGUUCAUGUUGUGUCAAAGGUGACCAUGUAUAAUGUUAGCUAGCUCUCAUAUUUACAUUGAUGUGUCAUCAUGUUGUAUUCAAUAGUAGUAUAUUAUUAGUGAAAUGAAUUAGCAUUGCUUUAGUAAAAUAAGACUUGUAAUAGAAUCUUUAUUUGGUAAAAAUAAUUCAAUAAAAAUUAUUACAAAAUGAAAAUGAAAAUGAAAAAUUGAUCGGCUCAAAAUUGUGUUACCAUUAAUUAUGUUUGGAUGAACAUUGAGUUUGACAAAAUCACAAUGACACCAUAAUUUUGUUGAAAUUUCAAAGUAUAAUUUAUACUAAAGUAGUACGAUUCACCGUGAUUCUGACGUUCUCACUACGAAUCUAAACAUGCACUCAACCAAUUCUCAAUGAUUCUAAGAUGAGUGAUUUUGUGAGUUUAAUAUACCAGGACAUUUGACCGUCUCUUGAUUCAAUCCAUCAAACCAAUUGAUCAAGUUCAAUUUUUAGAACAUCAUAUAAGUCACAACUCUUCUUUAUACACAUUAAAAACAUCCACUGAGAAAAAUCAUGUAAAUCUAUAGGCAAAAUUUACGAAUCAUACACAUACCUCAGGUUCAACAGGUUUGGCUUCUUCUGUUUUGAAUUCUUCACCUGCAUGAGAGCAUUCAUUAUUUGAGCACCACUAUAGAGUUGCUUAACUCAAUUUUGGUGGGUUCUAUCAUGCUACAUCAACUUUGAGCACUUUAGCAUAUUUUUACUCUAAUCGUACAACCAUUUAAGGAAUCAAAUUAGUCACAUGCUACUCCACAUCCUUAGAAUUUUUAUUUAUUUUUUAUAUUUUGUUUUAAGUUUAUCAACAAUAAAGAAUCAUUCUUUAUGUUGGACAUUCCUUGCACAUGGCGGUCAAAUGUACCAACUUUAAUGGCAAAAUAAAGUAUUAAAGAGAAGUUCUUAGCUUUAACUCUUUAAGAACUCAAGAAGUCAUUUCCAGUUGGAGAUGCUCUAAAUAACAAGAAACUUGGUUAUGAAAUUUUUAGUAAUGGGUUUAAUAUUUUAUAUCUUUCGUUGUAUACUAAUUAGUAUACCUAAAUAUGAAGAAAAAAUAAUUUAAAUCUCACUAUUAGUCAAAGAAAGUAAUCACUGAAAAUUAAAGAAAAAGUUGGUGUUAGAGGGCAAAAAUUUCUGCAAAUAAAAGAACUAAAAAUACAAAGAAAAGCAAAAAAUUGAAAAAAAAAUGAAGAGAAGAUCUGGAAAAAUAGAGGCAAAAGAUAAUUGCAUUUAAUUUUGUGCUAUCAUGAUUUGAUAACUUAAAAAGUGGAUAACAUAUAAUGGUAUAUUAUACUACAUAGUUAGCUCAGCAGCAAGAGUUUAACAUUGUAACCUCAAAGGAGAAGUUCAAAUCCCCUUAGGAGGUGUGAAAUUGGGUGGGAAUAGUUGUUGUUUGGAUUAUAAACUGUUCUGUUGUGUAUAAGUAAAUAAUAUAGACAUGGACUAAUAUGCCUAGAAUUUUAUUUGAAAGGAUGUCACAGCUUUUCAUUUUUGUUUGUCCUAAUUUGAUUUUUUUCAAGGUUCCAAAAGGGGUUGAGUAAGAGGAAAGGUAAAGGCUGCAACAUCUUGUAUCGGUCUUGGAAUUGAACAUUGUUACUUAGCCCAAAACUUAUUAGCAGGGCACAAACCAAAUACAUAUUAAGUCUCCAUAAUUAUCUUACCUCCAUCCUCAGGUAAAUCGGAGGUCCAGAGAGUAAGGUUGUCUCUCAACAAUUGCAUGAUCAAAGUACUGUCCUUGUAUGACUCUUCACUCAAGCUAUCUAAAUCCGCAAUUGCCUCAUCGAAAGCUUGUUUAGCCAAAUGACAGGCCCUGUAUGUUUCAGCAGUAACAUUUAAACGAGAGUUAGCAACAAAAUCAUUUCAUUGGACCUAUGCAGAUGAUAAUAGUAUUGGAAGGACAUAUGAGUGUGAUGUCUUUGAAUUAAAUCUAGAUGUAUUAAGAUAGUUCUAUUCGAGGCCAAUAGAAUAAACAAAAGUAUGAUGUCUUCUCAGAAAGUUGUUUUUCACAAACAAUGCAAAACAAGGAUCUCACACUAGGGAAUAUUCUUGGACACAUUCUCACCACUUGAAGAACUAGCAUACUACAACUAGACCAAUCCCAUUGGAUUAUUUGUGUGAUGGGAAGUGAGAAAGUUAUACUCCUACAUUGCUUAACAAAUGAUGGUUUAUUAACUUGGAUGGAUGGGCCAAUACCUAAUGAGUAAUAAUGUUGUGUAAACUCUAAACGGCCAUUUGGGUCAAAUGGGACGAUUAAAAAUAUAAAACUCACACUUUUGAUCAUGCUAAGCCAAAUGGGCGCUACUUUUCAUCCCACCCUCGCUACUAAAAUACCGUCCAUAUUCUAGAAGUGUAUUUCCGGACAACUUAAAUUGUCGCGAAAUGCACUUCUGAAUUCCAAUAGCAGAAAAUUAGUGGGUUUUUUUUUUAAUGUGUACAUCAGAACUCAAGUUGGAGGUGGGGAAAGUUUUUACCAAGCCUUUGAGACCAAAUGAAAUACAAAGUAUAAGUAACUUGCCUUUCAGGAGAGUUUAUUAUCUCAUAGUAGAAGACUGAGAAGUUGAGUGCAAGUCCGAGACGAAUUGGAUGUGUUGAUGGAAGAUCUGUGCUUGCAGUGGCUGAAGCAGCCUAACAAUCACAGAAAUAUUUUGUACGUUAAAACAACAGCACCACAUAUAGAGAGAUAAACACAAGAAAUUCAGUUGUGAAAUAAAUAAGGAAAAUAUCAGAUACCAACCUCAUAUGCCUUCAGUGACUGCUCAGCUGCCUCUUUCCUAUCCUGAUCGUUCUUGAACUCAGCAAGAUAUCGAUAAUAGUCACCUUUCCUGAAUCCAACAAGCUUAUAGAAAUCAAAUAGAGAACCAAAGCAUGAAAAAGCUAGCAACAACAAAGAGAUAUCGUGCUAUAUAACACAACAACUUUUGCAAAAACAGUACCCAAUGUUCUGCUACCUUUUAUUUCUCAGGAAGUAACAUAACAAAACAUAAAUCCAAGAUACAAACGUUCCGUUUUAUCUCUAAUACUAAUAUAUGAUUCAAUUAUGAAUUCAUAUGAAACGGUUCGUAUUAUGACUAACAAUUUGGAUUUAAAUUACAAACUAAAUUAAAUAUAUGAGUUGUAUGAUCUUUCAUCCAAUGAUCAAAAUACAGUGACCACAUUAUUAAAUUAACUAAGAACUUUUUACUGCAUUAAAAUCCAUUGACAAAAUAUGGAACAAGCAAUUUGAAUCCAUAAGGGGAAACAGAUUUUCAAAAGCAGAUAAUCAUUAAAUUAAUCAAGAAAAUGGCACAAAUAAAACAUGACGCACAUCUUAUAGUAGAAAACGGUAGCUUCUCCUGCGGUGGAAGAAGGAAUGAGAUGUUGGUCAAUAAUUGUAAGAAUGUCACUACAAAUUUUGGAUAGUUCCUCCUCAACCUUUUGGCAAUAAUUCUUGAUGAGUUUCACAUUGUUUUCAUUUCCUUUAGACUCUUCUUUCUGUUCAAUUGAAGACAUAAUGCGCCAAGAAGCUCUCCUUGCACCAAUGACAUUUUUAUAUCCCACAGAGAGGAGGUUCCUCUCUUCCACAGUUAGCUCAACAUCAAGUUUUGCUACUGUCUUCAUACACUCAACCAUUUCUGCAUCAUAUACAAGUAAGAAGGUUCAUUCAGAAAUAUAUCAUUAUAUCAGCAUUUAACAUCAUUCAUUUGUUUUCAAUUAGUAUAUUAACACCACAAAAUUGAACCCUACAUAACAACUCGUUAUCAGUCUAAUCAUGCAUGAUUUUAUACUAAAUUUUGAUAACAUUAAUUAAUUUUAAAGAUUCAUAAGAAUCAAUCUAUUGAGAUUAAAUAAACGUUUUAUGCCCCCACGCCGGUAGAAUCAAUCUAGUAUCCAAUGCAGAAUUGAUUUUAUAAACUCCAAAUAUCAACCAAACAUAGAUUAAGUUCUAACGUGCAAGGCAACUUAAUUAUUUCCCCUUUUGCCCUAUAUAUAUCAAAUCAAUUAGAUAAAUUUUAAUUUGAUUUCAUAUAUACGUAUAGCUAAACUUAAAAAGAAAUGAGCGCGUUUGUGAUUAUGAUUUAUAAUUGAGCAAAUCCCAAUAAGGCACAAUAAAAUAAUAAAGCGAGCAAUUAAAGUAAUAAUUAAGAUGAAAGGCAUAUGAAGAAAAUGGAAACCUUCAUAUCUCUCGGCUUGCUCAGCAAGCUUGGCCAUGUAAACUUGAGUCUCUCUCUCCUUCUCCGUCGACAUUGUUGUGUAAUUAGAAGGGAAAAGCACGUUUGUAUUGUAAUGUGUUUGAGAAGAAGAAGAAGAAGAAGAAGAAUGCGAGGAAGAAGGGAAUGUAGGGUGAGGUGGUUAUAUAGGUGGAGGAACUUGUGGAAGACUAGAUCUGGACCGUUGGAUGUCAGAUUUUGAAAAAGGCGCGCAAAUAGGAAGGAGUGAUUGCUAUGCUUCGCUGUAAUACUCGCUGUACUCUUUCUUAAACUUUGCCAAUCACCCAACCUAAAGGUUGUUGUUUCUUAGUUUUUAUUUUUUCAAAAGGUUGUUUCUAAUGUAAAGAAUCUCCCUCCAUCACUCUCUUCUUCUCUCUAAAUCUUACUCUAUAUCUUUAUUAAAUUGUAAACCACUAUUGUUUUCUAUCUUUUACAAUAGUACAUUUAAGAUUAUUCUAUUUUCAUCAAAUAAGAGAUUAAGUCUUAGAGACAAAUUGUUUUUAACACUUCUUACGAUAUUAUAUUCUAUUAUUGGGUAACUACACCAUUAGUCUUAUCAUAAGACAAUUUCCAUACAUUUAAAAAAAAAUGCAUUUAUUCAAAUGGAUAGAAAUUAUAAUAAUAUUAUAAUUCAAAAUCGUUAAGAAUAAAAAGGAUAAAUAUGUGAACAAACUCGCAAUACUCAGAUUAAUAGUAUAAAACAACAAAAUAUCUACAAAUGUGACAAAAUUUACAAAUAUGACAUAAUUGAAAUUUUCGGAGUUGCAACGUUUCUGCACUUGAUUGAAGCUGGUCGCUAAAUAUGAACCAAAGAACAUUGCAACAAGACAAAAAAACACAAUGUCGCACGAUGUACAAAUGCAACGCAACACUAAGACGACGAAACUACAAAAAAAAUGUUAAUAAAUGUGUGUAGAAAUCACUUAUAUAAAUAAAAUAGAGUAAAAAAUAAUUUAGAGAGGUGAUUAUAUACCCAAAAUUGACUCUAAAUGAUUUUUCUUUAGUGAAGACAUGAAGAUUCAAUAAAAAGGAGGGAAGGAGGGAGGUAGGCGGCUAGACCUUAAUUUAAUGAUAAUAUUUUUUGCAAAAUUCUAAAUGCAUUUGUUACUAUUUUUUCAAAUAUAUCUCUUAUUAAUAUUAUCAAAUUUGUCUUCAAAUAUUAAAAAUUAAUAUUGAAUGAAUCUAUACAUAAAGGGUAAUUUAGUAAUAGUCACACACAUAUCUAUUAUAAUAUAUUAAAAUAGACUCUAAAAUACUAUUGCAAUAUAUCAUUUAAUAUUGUGUCAUUUCAUUUAAAUAAUGAUACAUCAAAAAAAUCUUAUGUGGCACAUUUAAAAGACACUNNNNNNNNNNNNNNNNNNNNNNNNNNNNNNNNNNNNNNNNNNNNNNNNNNNNNNNNNNNNNNNNNNNNNNNNNNNNNNNNNNNNNNNNNNNNNNNNNNNNNNNNNNNNNNNNNNNNNNNNNNNNNNNNNNNNNNNNNNNNNNNNNNNNNNNNNNNNNNNNNNNNNNNNNNNNNNNNNNNNNNNNNNNNNNNNNNNNNNNNNNNNNNNNNNNNNNNNNNNNNNNNNNNNNNNNNNNNNNNNNNNCAUUUUCCUUAUGAUACUUGCAAUUUGAUAAUUUGUUUUAACACAUAUUUUUCUAUCUUAGCAUAUAAUAUAUAUUCUUUAGAAUUACUCAUGUGUCAUCAGUUACAAUACAAUCAAUAAUAUAUGUUAUUUGAUAUUCAUUGUUCUUUCAUCAUUAUUGGUAACCAUUCUCUGUAUGAUUCAACUCCACUUAAUAUUGAAUUUUUUUAGAGGUUUCACGAGAAAUAUAUACAUGACACCAGUUAAUGGAAGUUAUUAUAUAUCUUAUAUUGCUUAUGUUUGUUUGGAAAUUGAAAAUAUGCUUAGUUCUCAAUGCAACUCUUGCUAUUGAACUAUGUGUUAGAUGGAUUUUCAAUAAAUUUAUACUUUGGUGUAUCUAAUUUGUGUUUCUUUCUAUGCUCAUGUUUUACAUGCUUUCAAGCCUUUUUUUCUUUCAGCAAAACAAAAAACAUAAGAAUUUUUACAUUUUUCAAGUUUAGAUCUUUGAGUUUUAAUAAUAUUAUGAGCUUUGAUAUGUUUGUGGUCAAUUGUUGUGUGUUGAAAGUUUUGGACUUUGUUAUAAUUACCCUUUUUUUGUUUUUUUCUAUUGUUUAAUUUGCUCCAACUAAAUAUUACAUAAUAUCAUCAUAAAAAAAAAAUCACGGUUUAAUGAAAAAAUAACUACUUUUAAUGAAAUUUAUAAAAUAUAUUUUAUAGUUAUACUUUACAAGUAAUUAAUUAUAUUCUAUUCUUUAUGUACAAUUUUAUCUCACAUCAUUUAGUAGAUAACUAAAAUUAAUAUUUAAAUGACAUAGAAGAAUAUAAUUUAGAAUUAGGUCAAUAAUUUGGAAUUGAAGUAUAAAGUUCUUUAGAUUUAAUUUAUAUUGUUUAUCAUGUCUUUUUCUAUUUUUUUUCUUAUUAUACUAUUAGUGAUAUAGACUUAGACGAAAAUGUGUAUGCUCUCUUGAAAUAUUGAAUUUGUUUUGUAUGGUUAUAUACUAAAUUAUACUUGUAACUUCUUUCAAAAGUUAAAUUGCUUUAAUACUACAUAAAAGUUAUCCCUAACACAUAUUUUUAAGCAAUUUUUGCUUUCUAUUAUGAUUAGAUACCCCAAAUUAAUCUUACAUUGUUUGAAAGUUGAGAUUAAAGGUAAUUUAUAAACAUUUGUAUUAUUCAACCAUCAAAAGAAAAAAUCGCAAGACUUUAAUGAUAAGACUCAAAGCACACUAAGUGGAAACAAAACAAGUGAAUGUACUAUUGUCUAAUUGCAUGCAUAAUACUACAAUUUUUAUGAAAAUUUUAAAAUUUUAAAUUCAACAAAAGUCUAUAUCUAGUUAUACACAUUAAUUACACUACCAACUUUUUUUAAUGAGUAAAAAAUGCCAUUGGGACUUAUAGAUGGGACUUAUAAACAAGGACGAAGGAAGUAUUACUUAUAGGAUGUGAUUAUUUCAUUUCUUUUACAAGUGUUAUGAUUGAGUCAUUGCACAAUUAAGAUCAACAUACCUCACUCUCCCUAUGUAUCUGUGCACAGUGUACAUUCACUUUUAACAACCCUAAACUAACUGUUAUUCAAAGAAAAAAAAUCAUAAUAUAAUUUUGUUAAAUGUGGAGUUUGCUAUUUUUUUUACCAUUUUUUUUUACUAAGAGUUUCUUAUUAUUUUGAUAGAUCUUCAAAUUGUAAAAUGUAAUUUACUAUAUAUGUUUUUUUAGAAGAGGUGAUAAAUAUCAUCUUAAUUAAUUCACAAUUAUGAAGUUUCGUUUCAAACUUAAAAAGUGACAUACAACUUAAUAAUAUCAGCAUUUGUCAGAUGAACUAUAAUUUAGGAACAAUACAUUAAGUAUGUUAUUGAGAAGAAAAAAAAUGAUUGAAAAAAAAUGCUAAGUAUGCGAAAAUAAAAAACAAUGUGUUUAAUAAUAAAUUCAUAUUUGAUUAGGUUUGAUUUCAUGGUGGGACUGAUUCACCAUAAUUUUAUCAAUCUUACUAUGAAAUCAAACACACACUACUUAAAAUCACAAUUGUAGAUAAAACCUAAACUAUAUUUAAAAAGUUCAACUAAAAUAAAUAAAGAUUAAAUGAACAGUAUUUUUUAUGAGUAAAAAAAAAUUAUCUUUUUAUAGACAUAGAAUAUAAACCUAAUUGAAUAUACUUUAAAUACUACUUAAUUUAGAAAGAAAUAGUAAGAUUUAUUCAAUCCAAGGGCAUGUGAUCAACGACAAAUUUUAUUCCACAAUGUACCAAUGAAAUUUACUUUCUAAACUAAACUGAAAACUGAUGUCUUUUAUUUUAGGAAGGAGGAAUCUCGCUUUUGACUUCUAAAGAAUACGCAAAUCAAAUCCGUUGUGCAUUUUGUUGACCACGAAUUGGUGUUUAUACUUUGGUUAUUGACCAAUAUCACUAUAUGAAUGUCCAAGAUUGAUGAAAUCACAAUGCAAAAACAAUUAAAAUCAUGGUUGUUAUUAAACACACUCCUAUACCUUUCAUGUAUACCUCCACACUCUAUCCUUUUUCAAAUAUAUAUCCUUACCCACUUUUCCGUUUAUUUUUCAUUUCUCCACAUUCCACGAUAUACCAUAAACUACAUGUUAUAAACUUGUGGUUUACUGUUAAAAUAAUGUUUGCAUUUUGAUAUGAGAGGACAACAAAUUUCCUUGAUAUCUCUCUUCAUGUUGUCUAGAAAAAAAAAAUGAUUACAUGCUUAAUUAAGGUUUUAAAUGAAUACAAUGACGCCUCAGUAACGCGGAGCUUGAACAAAUACUUUGAGGUGUUCAAUUUUUAAAAUUUUAAUUAAUUAUAAAUAGAACUUUAUUGUAUAUUAGAGCUUUAGGAUGUAAAUAAACAAACACAACAGCAAAAAUCGGACAAAUUGGCCUGAAAAAUUGCAUAUAUUUAAGACAGGUGGAGUUAUGGAUAUAACAUUAAUUUUGUUCGUGUAUCUUUGGAGAGAAAAAAAUGAUAAAUAAAAAAAAAUUAGUUUGGUUGAGUUUUUACAACUUUUCACAAAAUUAAAUUCAAAUUGAUGAAUACCAUGUUGAUUUUGUUAUGCUCACUCAAGUUAACAUUAAUAAAAACUAAGAUAAUUAUUUUAAAAAUUAAGAUACUUUUAAAGCUAUAAUGAAAAAAAUAGUAUGUAAAUAAUUAAAAAAAUGUUGUAUUUAAUUAUUAUAAAAAUUAAGAUACUUUUAAAACUAUAAUGAAAAAAAUAGUAUGUAAAUAAUUAAAAAAAUCUUUAAAUACAAUAUAUUUAAGAUAAUAUUACGGAUACAGUCUAAGGAUUUUAUUUAAAUACCGAUGAUCAAUUUUAAAUGAAGUAAAAUCAUACUCAAAUUAACAGAUAAUAAAUUUAUUUAGUUCAAUUCAAAUUGAACUCGAACAAAAAAAAAUCAAUUUAAUUGAUUUUGAUUUUUUUGAGUUUAUUAAGUCAUUGAUUUGAUUUUUAUAUUUCUAAACGAUACUCAAAACACUUACGAUUAAUAUUUAAAAUUAAAAGUUGCAGUAUAUUUUUCUAAACAAUAUUUUUGUAAUUACUGUAUAGAAUAUAUUUUUGUUAUAAAAAAAUAAAUUAUUGGAGACAUUAGAGUCACCAUUGGUCGCCUAUGUCCCCCACAAACUCCGCCGGUGAGUAAAUGCUAGAAUUGUACUCGCAAGAGUUCUCUAAGAGUAAGAGAGUUACUGUUCUCAAUUUUGAAUGUUUUUCCUUUGAAACCUUAGUUUGAAAACAGUCUCUUAAAAAUUGAAGGUAUAUCUGUAGAAAAUUUGAACCAGUAGAUCAACAAAAAUUCGUUAUGCAAUGCUUGUGUUCUCAGGCGUUACAGCAAGAUGAAGAUUAUCCUUAGCCAACCUGAUUAGAGCACCUGGAGCAAGGGAAAGUUGUGCUAUUAUAUCAAUUUCAUUCUUGAAUUUCGUGGCCAUUCACAUUCUCAAAAACUGGUGAUUGUUCAACAUAAAUGCUAGAAGUCCAAUGAUCAAUAAAGAAAUAAAGAAGACGAAAAAAUGCUAACAAGAUAUUGGAUGAAUGAAUUACUACAAACAACCUUGACAAAAAAAUGAACUGUAGCUAAAUUCAACAUGAACCUUCACAAUCUACAUCUUCUUCAAUCUCUUGAUCCAGUAGUGGUAAAGAUCGAUGAAGUCAAGGCUCUGAGCUCUCUAUAUAUACACGUGCCAAAUAAACAAUCCAUUCCCUGAAAUUAGUAGUGACAGAUUAUUUCAGAUGCAUGCUAUAGCUAGGCGAAUUCAUAUCUGUCAACAAAAACACCACUAUCUGAAUUUCUGACAAUAUUACAGGAUGAUACAUAUGGGGUCCCCGUGUUAGAGUCCCCACACAAAAAAACAUGAUCGGUAUCCAAAGGAGUCCACAUCAUGACCAAUGCAGACAUUGCGUCUGCAUGACCGGCACAAGUUUUUUAAUGCAACCAUAAUAUUUAAUACUAAGUUAAAUGUCACCCAUUUUUACCAAAACAAGAAUAUUUACCCAGUUUAGAAAAAAAAGGUCUAGAGAAAUUACCAGAGCAAAAAAAUUGUGUUCAUCUGUCAUGGUGAUUGGUAAGAUAUUCUAGUGCUCAAUCAUUUUUUCAAAAAUGGUUUCUGGCAAAUAAGUAACCGCUGGUCACUGCCAUUCUGAAGAUCAAUUAUCCUUGCAUCCCAACGUACUUGAGUUGCAAGCGUGCGAGCGAUCUCAAUUGUUGCCACUGUAUCAGAAAAAAUGACCCAUCCCUACAAAAAAUAAUGACAUAAUAAAAAACUAAGCUGCAUAACCUUUACAAUACACCGAGACUGACAACUACUUGUAUUCAAAAACACACAAGUCCAUAAUGAAUUUCAUAUGGGAAUCACACACAAGUCCAAUAAUGAAUUUCAUAUGGGAAUCACAACAAUAAAUGAGCAUGCUUCAUUAUAGUUAACAACUGGCUUAUCAAACAAUCAUCUGCCAAGAUGAGAUAAUCCUUUCUGGAGGUUGUGCAAAAAAGGUCAGAAAGGAAAAGGAUGGAAAGUACCAGAUUACUUCUAUGCUACAUCUUAAAAAAACCAGUGUAUUAACUUUCCAGCAAAAUCAUGAAAAGGAAUACAAGCACUAAGAUUAUACCUCUGGUCGCAGUAUCCUAUCCAUCUCCAAGAAUAAGUCUAUCAUGCUGCACCGUUCUGAAAUGAACUGUGACAGAAGUCCAUUUGCAUGAAGCAUAUCAUAUGUUCGCGGGUAGGUGGGAAAAGGUUCACACCUGAAGAUCAACAUCAAUAGUUGGAAACAAAAGAUUUAUCUAGAAGCUCAUCAUAUGCAUUCACAGUAUUUUACAAAAAGUUAUGCCAAUGAAGUCCAAAGAAAAGAGAAUUUAGGGAUGGAACUACAAAUCGACAGAUGAUGUUCUUUAGAAUUGGGUUUUGCAAUAAACUAGGUCAAGUUUCAAUCAACAAAUCAGGUGCAUGCUACCUUUACCUUCAAAUUCAUUCUUAAAAGGAAAACAAAUUAAGAAAACUAAGGGUGUUUUGGAUUUAAAAAAAAAGAAUAUUUGGCACUGAAAUUUCAGCACCUAUAUGUGGUGGGUUUUAUUAAAGGAAAUUAUUGGCAUAUUUAUGAAACUAAUCAGUCUUACAUUAAAUGUCAAAAUAAUUUACAAAAUAAGAAGUUGAUAGGGAAUUAUUUUGCACAUAUUUUACAAACACCACUAAAUCAUUUUCAGUAGUAAAAUAAUUGUGAACAUACAUAUCUUUUGAAGUAAAUAAUCUAAAGUUACUGUUACUUUUCCAACUAGUAUAUACCACUGUUCUAUUGUCUGUCAUAAACACUGCCAGUGACAGUGUAAGAGAAAUAAAUUUAUCAGGCUUUUGUCGUAUUAUCAAUUUAUCACACUCAACCAAAACAGUCUUACAUCCAAUUAGUUUUUAAAUUAUAGAGAAACUUUGUCUAGAUCAUACAUAAUAACUUGCCUAAAUCAUGAACAAAUAGCAACUUACCAGUCAUGCAUAACACCAGCAAAUCCUCUAUCUAGUAUGAGAGGAAGUGCAUUAGAGGCCCUUGCAGGAACAACGUUCAUGACCCACACUGAUUUUUUCUCCUCCAGCAGUGCAGCAUUCAAACCCCCAUAAUUAGAACUCAUGUCCAUAACAUUCCGGAUCAUGUUAUAUGGAGGAAGUGGAUCUUCAUCUCCAGGUCUCUUUGGAUGGUCAGAGAAAAUUAGCGGUGUAAGUAGUGACCAAUAGUUAUCAACGGCUGAUCUCCAGAAAUUCAUGUCUUCAUAAAACUCUUCAGGCUGAACUCCUGCAACAAUGAAGAAACAUACAUGAAAAUGAAAAGCAGAACAAAAUGGGAAAGAAAGUUCGAGAAGAAGAUGCAAGCAGAAAGCUUCUAAGAAAUAAUACUUUCCAUGAAUUUCAAGCUCAGCUGGACUCAACUCUGAAUCAAAAGAUCUAUUCUGUAUUGCAAUCCAACGCUUGCUAGAAGUCCCACUUAUACAUGGAACAAGAGGUUGAUAAUAUGAUUGCGGGUCAUCCCCAUCUUUACAUAGUCGGAUAGCAUGCUGCUUGCUACGAUAAAGAACCAAAUAUUCCAGUAGAGCUAUUAUUAUAUUAUCGUAGUAAGUGUUCAACGAAGAAAGACAAUAUCAUAACUAGCAGUAGUUGAUAUCAGUCAUCUCAAAUAAACAGUCUAUUGACAAUAAUUAUUAAUCAUUAAUAAUACUAACACUAAUACAAAUAUCCUUACCGAGAUGCAUAACACUCCAGGUCAGCAGUCUUCUGCCAGAUGAAAGUCUCAUCUUGCUGGGCUAGGAGAGUCCAACAAAGUUGCUGGGUCAGCUCUUCCAUUGGGUUCAAUGUGAUUCUCUUUUUCUCUCUCAAUGAACCAUGUAACUUGCUUGUAGGCGAUGUUAAAACAAAAUAUCCUCCAGGUUUAAGAACACGAUCGACUUCUAUGAGGAACUUUCCAUCUGUGGGAUGAAUUCAAUGUCAGAGAUCCAAGGAUAGCAGUUCAUACAGAAGCUAAACAAUACUCAAUAGGUUAUAGAAAAGUCGUGGAAGGGUGGAAAAAGAAAUAAGGAAAUGGCAAUGGUAUAGAGAGAAAAUGGGGUCACAUUUUUAUAAAAACAUUUCAUACAUUUGUUUCAAUCAUCCAUUGGAUUGGAUACAAACUAACUAAAAAUGAGCACCUAUUAUAUAAUAAAUCCACACAUAUUUAUAUGCUAUAAGCAAGAUAUUAAUAAAUACAUAGACUACUGACCACAAAGUCACAAACUGUCAAAAGCAAACCAGAAAGUGACUUAGAUUUGGACUUAAUCAUAUACAUUCCCUGCUAGGUCACACCCAAGAUAUUAAAUCAGCUUAUAAAAGAUAAAACAUAAAAUACUUAGGCUGUGGAGAUGCUACAAAAAACCAAACAGUAUGCAGUUCAUGAGUAUCUGUUAUCAUGGUUCCACUGUCCCAAAGAUUGGGCAAUUAGGAGGAAGCCAAUAAUAGUUCACUAUAAUUAGCAUGGCUUUUCAUGGAAAAGCUCUUUAAGCUUUAAGCACAGAUGAUAUGUAGGCCAACUAUUUUAUGCUGAAAUCUAGUAAAACUAUAAAUAAUGGGGGUGACAAGGUGGUGUUUCUGAAUGUUUGAAUAUAUUGAUUCUUAAACAUAAUAACAUGUCAACGAUCAAUUAUAUCAUAAACUUGAAUUGUUAGGUGAAGGUCAAGAACGAGUUUAUAUCUCUAACACACAGGUUCACCAUUCACCACAUCUGUAUCAUUUCAAGGGUUAGGGAUACCACAAUCACUGAUUUGGCAUUUAACAAGCAGCCUAAUCAUACUAAUUUUGGUUUCACAAUCUACAACGCCAAAUGUUGUACACACCCUAAUCAGUCAUCUCUCUCAUUUGUCAUCAAAUACAGCUUCUGUAAUGAGUUGAAUUUAAAAUAUAAAUUAUAUGACAUAUGAAUCUGUUUGUAAGUAUGUAAACGACUAUAAUGACAAACAGAGUUGAACUAUAUGAAGUCUAAGCAAAUUCAUUCAGCUAAGAACGAAAGAGUAAUGCUCACUAACUAUAAAAUUACCCUUUUCGUCCCAAAUGAUGCCACAUUGAGCACAGUGAAUCAUGUCAUAUGAUAAUGAUGGAUACGGAAGCUGUCUUGCAAUGAAGUUGCCAAUCAUAGCAGGAAGGCCUCUCUCAAGAGACAAUUGAACUUGGCUGCCAGUUGCCUCAUACGCCGCAAUACAAACCGCCAUUAUUUUAAGUGACAACAAAUGAGCUCCAAAGCUACCAAAUCCACAAUUAACGUCCAGUAUAGUUCGAACCUGUAAUAUUACGAUCAAAAUAGAUCAGUCACAUAUAUUAUGUAACAAAAAGACCAGUUCUUGAUGAGAACGAGAAGAGGAUAUAGGCAGCUGAAUAGCAUUAUGGUGAACAAAAAACAACAAUUAUGGUUCACUGUUCCCGUAAAACAUUAUGGUUCCCCGUUAUGGUGGAUUAUGGUGAAUAAAAGACUUACACCAGCUUGAGAAAGCUCCGUAUCACUUCCUAGCCCUAUCAUCUCAGCAAGUUGGCGAGAAUAAUCUUUCACGCCGUCAAAGAUCAAACCAUCCUCUGAGUGAAAGGCAAUUUGAUUCUCUUCUAGUAGCAUCAAUCUAGAAAAAUCAUAAUGACAAUUUGAGAAAGUGAAGAAAAUAAAUACCGUUAUGAAUCACAGCCCUAAUAAAAGCUACAUUACUUUCAUUCAAACAGUCUAUCAUCCAUAAUUAAAAAUCAUUCAAGCAGUCGGUAGUUACAAUUUUACUAAUCAAAAUGCAACUACGACUGCAAUUCAAAACUAGUAGCGUAAAUGAUUUAUUUUUCUUUUAUCCAAAGGAAGUAAGUACCUUUUGGUCAUACUUCCAGACGAAAGAAAUUGAUCUUUGGUUAUCUUCACAUUUCCACUCCAUAUAAUAUCCCUUCCACUUGGCCAACGCAACGGAAUUUUAUACUCCUUGGGAGGGCGAACCAAACACCGUUCGUCUUCCUUCGACACUUGGCAGUGCCGAUCCAGCUCUUCCCCCUGUUCAAAUCCCGACAACAAAUUGGCAGUGACAUUGUGACACGGUACGAAAUUUUCCCUUUCUUUUCCACAAAGCCCUAACUCCCUUUGCCUCGCACCACCGCUAGAAACAGAUUUCAACUCCAAAUAAUCAACCGCUACACGCUCUUUAAUCCUUCUAUAGUUUGUGUAGAUGAGAGAAGCAGGUCUCCGAGGCGAUGAAUCAAUCGCAUUUGAAGAUGAAGAACCGAACACUGUAAUCAGAGCGAGAACACUAAUAACGCUUAAUAUUAACCAGCUCACUGGCGGUUUAGGACCGAAAAUCAUCCACAAUUUAUUCAACCAGGAGCUUCUCAUGUCCAAAAACCGUGAAACUGCCACUGAAUUUUACGUACAGAGAAAACGAGAUUUUCAAAAUCAAACUAAAUCGUAAGCGAAAGCUCAGUUAACCCUGGUUUUCCAACCAUAACCUAUCGUAAUACCAUGAAUCCUAGCUACAUCUGCAAGCAUUGAAAUAAUAAGCUGAUCGAAAGAAGAAAAACCGCGUUCAGAUUCGACCACUGAAAGUCGAUCAGAAUUCGGAACACGAUUGAACAAUGCCGAUCGGAANNNNNNNNNNNNNNNNNNNNNNNNNNNNNNNNNNNNNNNNNNNNNNNNNNNNNNNNNNNNNNNNNNNNNNNNNNNNNNNNNNNNNNNNNNNNNNNNNNNNNNNNNNNNNNNNNNNNNNNNNNNNNNNNNNNNNNNNNNNNNNNNNNNNNNNNNNNNNNNNNNNNNNNNNNNNNNNNNNNNNNNNNNNNNNNNNNNNNNNNNNNNNNNNNNNNNNNNNNNNNNNNNNNNNNNNNNNNNNNNNNNNNNNNNNNNNNNNNNNNNNNNNNNNNNNNNNNNNNNNNNNNNNNNNNNNNNNNNNNNNNNNNNNNNNNNNNNNNNNNNNNNNNNNNNNNNNNNNNNNNNNNNNNNNNNNNNNNNNNNNNNNNNNNNNNNNNNNNNNNNNNNNNNNNNNNNNNNNNNNNNNNNNNNNNNNNNNNNNNNNNNNNNNNNNNNNNNNNNNNNNNNNNNNNNNNNNNNNNNNNNNNNNNNNNNNNNNNNNNNNNNNNNNNNNNNNNNNNNNNNNNNNNNNNNNNNNNNNNNNNNNNNNNNNNNNNNNNNNNNNNNNNNNNNNNCGGAUCUCCAGCAGAAUUCAAUUUCCUGUUUGAAAACGCAAGACGAAUCUGAUCGAAACUACGAACGUGAAUUGUGAGAUGAAAGUUGAAGAACUAGGGUUUUGAGUGAAGAAGUGAGUAAGAUUAUUGAUUCAGGAAGCAAUUGUGAAUGGGUGAAGAAGAGCGCUAAUUCCGGUUGGGUCCUAACUGUUUGGAUUGUUGCUAACUUUACUUCUCUUGGCAGAUUUGUUUUUCUCUUUCUUCUUUCCUUAUUAUAUAUACUACUCCGUUUCAUUUAUUAAACAGAUCCAAAAAUACACAGCAUAAUUUAUGUAUACUCUAUUCUUUGCGUAUAUGGAAUAAUUCAUCAUAAGUUAAGUAGUGGUGGUUUUUAUAUUUUUAACUUUGGGAAUUAAUUAAACUUGGGAUUGGUUUAUAAUAAAUAAAUCGUUAAUGUUGUCCCAGUGUGCUUGUGGGGUCACACAGUCACUCACGCGCCCGCAAACGAAUGAUGAUAACAAAGGAACAUGUUUUCAAUAAACCUAAAGUAUAUUAAUCAGCUACCAAAUGGAGGCAACUGUUUGUUGCCAGCCAUCCCCAUCAAUUAAAGCAUGGAAGGCAAUAAUUCAAGUUUAGUUUCUUAAUUCAAAAACUAUUUUUAUUUGGAAAUUUGUUGUUCACAUGUUAAUCUAAUAUUAAUGGCCUUGUUGUAAUUGGGAUUUAUAAUAUAGUAGUUGUAGUACAGCUCAAAACCGUACUAACGUGCUGCACGUCCAGCUCUUACUGUACAGCACGUCAUUUAUGGUAUAUGAUAUCGCAGCAUUCAAAAAAUUCCCAACAAAACAAACAUUCAUGAACCUAAAUACUAUAUUUCCUGCAAGAUCUUAUAUAUAUAUGAAUGGAAAAUAUUUUCUUCGGCAAAAUAAAUAAAUAAAAUAUUUUCUAUAGCGGGAAAAAUUAGGUAAUUAAUAAAUUAUAAAUUUGAAUAUAUAUAUAUAUAUAUUAGCUUUUACAACUUGAUUUAAUAUCUAUUUUGAUAUUUUAUAUUUAUUUAUUUUUGUUUUCUAUAUUGUAUAAGUGGGAUGAAUGUUAGUCUUUUCUCCAUAAUUUUUUUUUCAUAACCCUUAUAAUUAGAUGUAUGAUUAUCUUUAUAAAUUGUGAUAUAUAAUUAUAAAUUAAUUAAAAAGUUAAAUAUACAACUUUUUAUAAACAAAUGGAAUUAAUAUUGGGAACCAAAGAGCAUUUCAAACCAUUACUACGACAUAAUUAUGAUGAAAAAAUUAUUACAAACUUUAUAAUUAAACCAUCAGGUUACAAAAUCAUUUUGAAUAAAUGUAAGUAAUUGAUAUUUCUUUUUUAUCUCAUUCAUCAACGAUGGAAUGUUUAAAACUUUCCUUCUUUAUGAUAAAAAAUAAAAACAAAAAUAAAAAAUAAAAAUACUUUCUCUCUACAUUAGUGAAGUUAGUCUAAUUUUUAUAAGGUGAUUUAUUAUUUUAAAAUUAAUAUGUUAAAUUUAAUCAGGGAACAAAAAAAUUCAUUAAGAUUUUUAUUUACAUAUAUAAAAUAUAAAUUAAAAUCGCAAUAAAAAAAAUAUAAAAUUGACAAUAUUUAUUUAAAAGAGUAGUAGUUGAUAACACUUUAAGGAGUCAGAAUAAUCCAUAAUUGAAUAUAACUACUAAUAAAUCUCGCAGACAAAUAUUUUGGCCUACUUCAACUUCGUCGCAACUAUUGAAAUUGAACUGUACAAGACUAUUGAACUGUACAAGACUGAGUAACAAUAUUUUCAGUAAAGAGUUUAAUCACUGUAUUCGUUUUUAUAGUUUUAAUUAAAGAUCUCUUACUAUGUUAUAAAUUAUAGGAGUUCAUCUAGAGACUUUUGGAUAAAUCAAUAUACAUAAAUAUAUAAAACUCAUUUUAUCAUUAAAAAUUAACACACUCGAUAAAUUUGUCAAGAAAUAUGCGUAAUCUUAAAAAAAAAAACCCUUUAUCCUACCAUAAAUGAUUUAUUUGUAAAAAUAAAUUGUUCCAAAACUAUUGACAUGUUUUAUUUUCCAAUUUAUAUCAAUUAAAAUUUAACAGACAUACAUUCAAUUUUAAAUUAAUUUACACUUACAUUUUAGGAAAUCCCCUUUAUCCUACCAUAAAUGACUUAUUUGUAAAAAUAAAUUGUUCCAAAACUAUUGACAUGUUUUAUUUUUCAAUUUAUAUUAAUUAAAAUUUAAUAGACAUACAUUUUCAAUUUAAAAUUAAUUUACACUUACAUUUUAGGAAGAGACCAUGAUGUAUAUGAUGUCAUACUACUAAUUUCAAACUUCCAUUGGGAAAUGGAGUAAUGUGGCAAAAUAGUAGAUGUUUACUUUAUAUUAGUAUAAAAUUGUUUUACAAUCACAGUCCAUAUCAUUUAGAUUAUAUUAAUCAUAUUUGUCAAAUGUACAAUAUAAUUAAUAUUAUAUAUAUAUAUAUAUAUACACAUCACUAUCAAUUUAAUAUAUUUCACUUUUAUUUAUAGUAAUGCUAAAUACACUAUCUUUAGUAACCCAUACAAUAUAAUUUAUAUUUUAUAUUAUUUUGAAAUAAAAUAUAAAUAAAAAAGUUAAGUAAAAAUUAAUGUAUUUAAUCUUAAUUUAUAAUCAAAUACAUUAACUUUUCAACUACUAUUUUAAUUAUAUUUCAAUCCAAAAAAAUACAUUACUAUCAAUUUAAUAUAUUUCAUUUUUCAUUUAUAAUAAUAUUAAAUACACUAAUUUUUUUUAAUCCUAUGCUUCACACAAAAUUGAGUCUUAGUAAUCCGAAAUUCCACCGAGAGGUAAGCAAAUCUCGUGUGAAAUAAGAUGAAGGGAUUGCUUGGUACAUGUUUGAAUUUUUUCUUUUUUAUUUAUGCAUCUUUUUUAGUAUGUCUAAAAUAAUCUAAUAAAUUAUUUAUUAUGAUACAAAUUACUUAAUACAAUUUAAAUUAAAGGUGAAAUUAAUAAAAUCACGAUUAUAUAUAUAUAAUGUUAAUUAAAAAAUAAAAAUUAUACUACGAAGCUUCUACAAAAUCCUCAAUGUCAUAAUCUCGUGCCAAUCUACAAACACAUAUUCAAUAUGAGAUUAAGAGAGUAGAACCAUAAAUUGAUUGUUUUGCUCUUAUAUAUAUAUAUAUAUAUGAGACACACAUACAUAUAUAUAUAUUAGGUUAAAUUAAUUUUUUUAGUAAAGACUAAAUUGCUUUUUUUAGUAAUUGCUUAGUCUAGUUUUAAUUAAAAAAUAAUUACAAAACAAUCAAAUAAAAGUUAAAAAAUAAUUUUUAAGUAUUCUCUUUUUGUUUGCACCUAUUAAUUUUAUUUAGAUAUUAUUAUAACGAAUCCCAUGAAACACUAAAAAUCCAACGAAAUUAUAGUUAACUUUCAAUCUAUUUUUGACUAUAAUAUUAUUUGAAUUUGGUAAAUAUACGUGAAAUAUAAAUCGUAGAAAAUGCUAUAUUUUUAAGUAUUAAAGAAUACUUCAAUCGAACUUCGAAAUUCAAUAUAUUGUUAAAACAGUGCAAUUCAUUAUUUUUAAAGAAGUAAAAUUUUAUCAAUGUAUUUUAAAAAAAAAUAUACUUUUACAUAUUUAAUGAACUCGUAAUUUGGUGGGAUUUGUGAUUGUAAUCAAUCUGAAAAGUUAAUUUUAGAUAGGACAAUUAAAAUAAAUAAAAAUCGGUUUUAUGCAUUAAAACGAUAUUGAUCGUUUAUUUUGAUCAGACAACGUGGUUGGUGUGACCCAAGUCUUAAGCUUUCAUUUAAUUUUCAUCUAUAUUUGGAAAGUAAUCAAGUGCCUUGUUUUUUACACUUCAGGAGCGGUAGGUGCAACUCUUUUCUUUUCCUUGAUCGCUUUAUGGCUUUCUUGGAUUGGAAGUAUGAGCUAUGAGGCGCAACUGUGUUGUUGUUGUUGGAGUAAUAUGUAGUUCGUGAUAAAAUUAAAUGUUAAAUAUAAUUACAACCAGCUAUAAUAUUUUUAGUUUAAGGAAAUCAUCAUAAUAAUUAUUGGGCAAUGCUCUCUUAGAGCAAGUUUGAUUUUAUAUUUUUCUGAUUUUUUGUUUCGGUUAUAUUAAAAUUACGUUGAUAAAUUUAAUUUUAUCUUAAAAGUAUCUUUUAAGUAAAAAUAUCACCUAUGAUGUUUUUAUAUAUUUUAUUUUUCAUUUGCAUGAUUUGUUUUCAAUUUAUCAUAUAUUAUAUGUUAUAAUUAUAAAUAUAAUUUUUUAAAAUAUAUAUAUUUUUAAUAAAUAUUUAUUUAAAAAUAUAUUUUAUUAUAUAAUCUAAAAAUAUUUUAUUAUAUAACAUGUCUUUCAUAAAAAAAAUAUUUAAAUAUAAAUUACUUUAGAGAAAAUUCAUUUUUAAGUAAAAUUAUAUAUGUAAACUGAUAUUUUUUAAAAGUAUAUUUGCAAACGAUAAUGCAAACACACAUUUAGUCUUUUAUUGAGUCUGUUAAAAAUUAAUUAAUUUUAUUACAAUAUAUUAUUUUUUAUUAUAACAUUUAAAAUAAUUAAAAAUAAAACUUCAAAUAAAAAAUUAGUUUAAAUAAUUUAUGUUAAAAUAUUAUUUUAAAUAUUUUAUCUAUUUACUAUAAUUUUUUUAGAUAAUAAAUUUUAAAAAAUAAUUAAAAUAAAAAGCUAUUUUUUUUAAAUGGAAUUUUAAUCGGAUAUACUUUUAUGACUUGCAUAAUGAAUCUUGAAUUAUUAAAUGUUGAAAUGUGAUCUUUAAAUAGCAAAAUGAUUUUGAAAGAUAAAUAAUUUCUCAAGCAGUUUAUUCAUUAGUUCUUGAUUGAAACUUCUCUUUGGGCCACUCAAUCGCUUCAUCGAUGGCUUCGAUUUCACAAAUUUCCUCUCUAAGGUUGGAGUUAACCUCUGACAUAGGAGCUCAUAACUACAUCCUCAUCAUAUUCAUCCUGAUCUAUAACUAGUUCUGGAAGCACGUGAUUGGACCGUGUUCCCAAUCAUCCGUAGAUACUUUGAUAUGAAUUGGAUUCAACACUAAUUGUUUAUGGGAAUGGGACUCUUCUUGAGUACCCAUUAUCAUGACAUUGGAAAUCAAAUGAUUUACCGUUAUAUGGAAAAAGUGGCUUCCUUUAUUUAAUUCGCUGUUUCCUCAUGUAUCAUAGUUGAUGAGUUCCAUUUAUAUGGGACAUUGAUUGGCCUGUAACAAACAUUCAAUUAGAAACUUAGGAGGUGGGAUUUGGCUUUAGUAAGCUGAGUAGAGAGUAAAUAAUGGUUAUCGAUUAAAUUGUAAAGCGAAAGAAUUAGUUUUUAAAUCGUGAAUUAAAUCUGUUUACAAAUCAUAUGAUAUAUUAUUAAUUAAAAUACGGUAUUUUUAAACAAAAAUAAUUGAUAUUGCGAAAGUAUAUGUUCAUAUUUCAAUUAUUAAUCUCAAAAUAAUUCAAGUCAUAAAAAAUCACAUUUUAAACAUAUGUCGACAUUUAAUGGUUCAAGAUUCAUUGUUCAAGUUAUAUGUGAUUUUUUUUAAAUUUUGAAUUAUUAAAUGUCAAAAUGUGAUUGCAAAUAGUGAAAUGUAAUUUUUAUCAAGUUAAAAUCUCUAAUAAUGAAUAUAUAAAUUUAUUAAAUAAUAAAAUUAUUUUUUUUAGUUAGUAACAAAUAAAUCUAAAAUAACUUCUAUUAUUUUUAAGAAAGUUAUCGUAAAAAAUCAUUUUUAAAAAUAUAAAGUCAAAAUUACAUUUUAAAAUUUUUAAACUAAAAGAUUCAUUAUAAGAUUGACGUUUAAAGUUUUCUUAUAUUUUAAUGUAAGUCUAUUUCAAAAUUUCACCUGCAUUAAUAAGUUAUUUAUAAAAAUAUUUUUAUUUGAGUUAAAAUUCUAUUUAAUGUUUUUUCAUAUGGAAAUAAUAAAUUUAUGAUAUCAAUAAAUGUAAGUUUAGUUAUUAAAAACAUCACAACUUUUAAUAAAUUUAUUACUACAUCUAUCCAUAAGUAUAUGAUUCCUUAAUCGAAUGACGGAAAUUAAAAAAAUUAAUAGAAGUAUUAAAUUUAUUUACAAUUAAUAUUAUUUUUACAAUUUUAUCCUUUAAUAAAGAUAAUUAUUUUUAUAACAGUAUUAUUGUUGGUUGCAGUAAAAUUAUAAAUUAAUUAAGGAUAUGUUAGUAAAUAAAUAAUUGAUGCAGUUAUAAAAUUCAAAUAGUAUCUUAUAAAAAGGGAAAUUAAUUUUUUUUCAAAAGAGUAUUUAGAGACAAAUGUAUUAUCUUAACAAACAUGUAGAUAGGUAUUUUACGAUAUUCCUGUGUUUUUUUUAAGUAUCAUAAGAUAUAAAAUUUUGUACAAUUGCUUUAAAGAAUUCAGUUAUUUAAUUAUAAAGAGUGAUAAAAUUAUAAGUUUAUAUUUUAAAUGAAGAGUAAAAUAAAAAAAUAAAAAAAAACAACUAUGUCAAAAUAUGGUAUAUUUAUUUUUAUAUAUAAUUAUCUAUUUUAAAAGUUUAGUUGUUUAAUUAAAUACAUAAAUAUAAAAUUGAAAUAAAAAAAGUUUAAAUAAAAAUAAAACUAGAAGAAAAAAGAGUCACAUACCUGGCCGGACAUAGUAUCGUUCGUUGCCUGACAAGGUUCUUCCACAAUGAUGAUGAUUCAUCAGACCCCGUUAAAAAUGUACUAAAAGGCAACUACUUUGCCUCUGAAUAUUUGCCGGACAUGUUGGAUCAUGUCUUAAUUAUGAAUAGGGUCCAAGUGCCAUAAAACAUAAAAUCAAUAAGUAGGUAUUAAACAACUAAAAAAAAUAGAAAUUUUAUAUUAAAAAAAUAAUUUAAAUUUUUUAUGAAAAUUAAUAUACUAAUUUUAAGAAAAUAUUUUGAUAUUUGAUUUCUUAAUCUGAACUCUCUAAUCUUAAAUAUAAAUAAAAAUUUAGUCAAAUACAUUUGUAUUUAAUAUGAAUUAUACACUAAAUAUAUUAAUUUUAUUUGACUGCUCUUUAGUUUAUAUUUGAGAUUGGAAUGACUACCUUAGAACAUCUUCAAUAGAAUAUCUAAGAUGGUUCCAUAAAAGUAUGAAUUUGUUCCUUAUUUUCUCUUUCGGAAAAAUUUGAGGUGGCAAAAUUGAAUCAUUGAUUUAAUUGAAGUUGUAUAUUUAAAACAUAACAAUAUACCAUUGGAAAAUUAUUUAUUUUCUUCAACCAUUAAAAUAAAGUACAAUUGCUUAAUUUUUUUUUACCAUUUGAGCAAAAUAUGUAAGAAUUGUGUAAAUUUCAUAUGUGACAUUGUGGGGACCAAGUGUGGUAGUGAUAUAUAAAAUCGAAAAUAGAUUCCUUUAACAAUGACUACAAGAGAUCUUCUUAGAUACUUAUCAGUAUUUUUCUUAUAAACGAUUGUUCAAAACUUCAUAAAUAGUAGUAUUUGGGCUUUGGAGGUCAAUUUUUUUAGCCAACUCAAAUACCUAACAGCCCAAAUUGGCACCAACCAUCAUGGAGUGAGUUGUAAAAAUAUAUAUUGAAAAAAAAGUAUGGUUUUAACUUCUAUAAAUUCACGGUCGUUAAAUUUUAUCAGUCGAAUUUUGAAAAACUCAUUAAAUCUAUUUUGUGAUAUAUAUUUGACAUGAUAAAUAAUUAUUUAAUAUUUCAAUGAUUCUUUUAAACUAUUUUAAAAACAUUUCAUAAUUUCCUUAAUUAUAUAAUGGUUGGCAUAUUAUGAAACUAGAUAACACUGUUUCGGAAUGGAAAAAGGUUGUCCCAAGCCUAAAACCCUUCUAUUAUAAGCAAUUAAAUUUCAGGAACAAAUCUAGAUCGAAAGAUUGUAGGGACUCAGAAAACAGGUCUUAAAUUUUUAGAGCUUAUUAUAGAAUUCAAUAAAAUUGUCAUUUGGUUAUUGUAUUACUUUGCUAUGUUGAUUUUUUUUUUUUUUUUAAAUCAACCUCUCUAUGUUGAUGUUGAGAUGAAAUAAAAACUUUGGGCUUUUUUUGUUCAAUGUUUGAAAAAAAAAUUGAGUAAAAAGAUAUACAUAUUAGUUUAAAUUUAAAUUUAAAUUUAAAAUAUGAUAAAUUUUUGGAUAAAUGGGUAUCAAUACCCAUAAAAUAGGAUUAGCCUAUAUUUUUUCUUAGGUUAGUGGAUAAAAUAGUGAAUAUUACAAGAAGCUCAUACACAAUUGUAGGGGUUCGAGUUCAAACUUCAAACAUAAUAUUUAAUAUAAUAAUUUGAAUAUUUACUAGUUGAACUAAAACUUUAAAACUAAAUUAACUUACGGUUUAAAUUUAUUUAAAUAAUUAUUCAAUAUAAAAGGUGACAUGUUAUUAAAUAAUUGAAUAUUGAAUAUUAUAUCCAACAAAACUCUAAGAUACUAUAAUAUUCACUGCAAGAAAAUAUGUUAUUUUGACUUUCCCACCAAAAUUUCAUAAGAAAUCUAAAAUUACCAACUAACACGAAUUUGUAUAUAAUUGGUUAGUACGAAAUUUUUUAUCCACAUAAAUGUCUUAAAUUACUUUUAGUCAUUAAAUUUCCUAGAGUAACAAACUUAUGACUUUUUUCGUGGAUAACCUUGCUUGCGACUUUUCCAUAAGUAAUAUUACUCACACAAAAGCCAUAAAAAAUUGUAGUUUUCUUUGAGCUGUUGAUCUGUGUAUCCACGUGAUUUUCAUAGGUAAAAUUAUAUAUUUUCUUAUAUUAGAAAUAUCUAUGAUAUUUUCGUAAGUAAGGAAAUAGAAUUUUUAUUACAUUUUUUGUAUUUAUACAUAUAGCUCUUAAAUUUUUUUAAUAGCUUUUUCAACGACUUUUAAACUAAAAUUAAACAAAUAAACUGUAGGCAUAACAAAAUAUCACGCUAUGUCAAGAUAAAGUGUAAUGUUAUCAAAAUACACAUUGAGCACUACAACAAGCCUCAAAAUACACCUAACGACACUACCAUAAGAGUAUAUAAAAUUAUUUAGCUACAAGUCUAAGAAAAAAGUUGUAGCCAUAACUACAAAAUCAAAAUGACACUAGAAAUCAAUAUUAGUCCUCACUAUGAUCACUGUUAGACUCGUCCUCAUCAUAAUUUGAAUGAUAACAACGAUGAGAGGACUCAGGCUCUACAGAAACAACACUAUUUUCCAAUGUUGCGAACUGCAUCUGAAACUUUGUAGCACACUGCUCUUCCCGUUGAACUUCCUUAUGUCGAUGUUGCUAUGCCUCAUUCUCUACCACUUUUUCCUGCUCCUCAAUUGUUGCUACCUAUGCAACCAUCUCGCAAGAGUACUAAGAUAUGACAUUGGUGCAGCUUAUAGAUGGGCGAGAAUCCAGGACUAUACUUGUAACACCUAGUCUAUAAAACGAGAAUCGAUUUCCACCAUUUUUUACAAAUGAAUCUCAAUUUAUUGCCUUCGUUAUGAAUUCUUGAACACCUUUUACGAAGUCCAAUUUCAACCCUUCUUCGAGGGUAAAUAUUAUAUAUACCCAACUACACUCUAGAUGUAGCCGUCCAUUUUUAGAAGAAUGAGAAACCAAGAGUAGAGGAGUGGCAGAAAUGACAAAGAGAAAUUAAAUUUUCAUAUAUAUAUCCAUAAAAAAUUUAUAAGGUCCACAAUUUAACAUAUCUUAUUUUUAAAAAGACAAUAAAAAAACCACACUCAAAUUUUGGACAAUAAAAAACAGCCACACUCAACAUAAAGACAAUAAAAAAACCCACUCAAAUUAAUGUUUGAGUGCACUCAAAUUACACAUAUACGAAGACAAAAAAAAACCACUAAAGUAAUGUUUGAGUGCACUCCAAUUUCAAACAGAUCACACUUUCAUAACAAAUUAAUGUUUUAGUGCACUCAAAUUUAACAUAUAUAAAGACAGCAACAAAAACACCUUGAUUUAGAGACAUCAAGUUGCUACAAGAUGACAAGAGACUUAGUAGGCUCCAGGCUCUAUAAAUAAGAAAUGAUUCGUAGCAUUAAUGAUUGAAUGGAAUAUAUUCAAAUUGAUAUGUGUGUGGUGAAGGCAGUGUUACACGAUAGGACAUUGGUUGGGGGAGAUUGUGAUAUGAAAAAUUUAUGUCUGCAUGCCUGUUAUGUUUUCAGUCUUGUCUUUCAAAGGAUUUGGGAUGGCUUUGAUUUGGAUUUGGAUGGUUGUUGCAUGAUUGUUUAAACCAUAUUUUGAUUAGGCUGUGAUGAAAGGAAUUUUUUUAUAUAUGCAUGGUUCCUACAAGCUUGGAUGUGACUAUUGCAAUGUUCUAAUUAAAAGACAAUAAUUUUGCAAAAGGUGUUUGUAUUUGGUAUAGAGUUUUCUAAGUUUAAUUUGUGGCAAUGAACAUUGUUAAUAUAGCUUUUUGUUCUUUGCAAAUAAAUACCUCUAUGAUAAGAAUUUUAACCAAAAAGCAAUUGUUAGGCCACAUAAUAAUUGAAACCUAACAAACCAAAAAUUACAAGGAAUCAAGAAGCGAAUUGGAAUUGGAAGUUCAAAUCAAUAGCAAAAAGAUGGUCAUGUUAAUCUUCUAACUCAUCCACCCCCAAAAGUAUUACCCAAGAAUGUUUGGACUGACCGUUGAAGUUGUGCAAUAGAGAGAGAGAGGUUAGCGCAAGCAGGGGUUGUUGGGAUGAGUUUUUCGUUAGGAUUCACAGACAGAGAAUUAGGAAAUUGUGUUCACGAAAAAACUAGUAACACCACAUAUACACAUACAAAAUAAUAAAAAGCUUUACUUUAGAAAUAAUAAAUAUUAUAUUCUAUUUUCCACAAAAAAUCUGUAGAAUAAUUAGAUCUACUCUCUACUACGGAAAAGCUUGUAGUGUACGAAAUACGAAAAUACUUUGCAAAUCAGAAGUUGGAGUUCCGUCUUUUUAAUUACCACAGAAAAGUUAAAUUUUUUAUAAAAAAAAAACUAAAUACUACUUGGGUUAAGUUUUAGUUAUUUAUCUUUUUUUUCUUUUUGAUUUAGUCUUUUAUUUUAAUUUUAAGUGAUAAUUUGAUUUUUUAUGUUUUAAAACGUCUACAAUUUUAUCAUUUUUUUAACAAAAAUUCAAAAUUUCAUCAAAAUUUUCAAACAAAAUCCAUAAAAUUAAUUAUAUUUUAUAAUAUAAAAUAAAUUUAAUCAAAUUCGUAACUCAAAUCUUCAAAUAAACUCAUAUUUGUCAUUCUUUAUUUGAUGUAGUUGGAGAUGAAAAUAUGAGUCUAUUUAAAGAUUUAAGUUAUGAAUUUGAUGAAAUUACAUUAUAUUGAGGAUGAUAAUUAGUUUUAUGAGUUUUGUUUGAAAUUUUUUAUGAAUUUUUGCAAAAAAUAAGGAUAAUAUUGUUGACAUUUUAAAACAUAAAAUAUCAAAUUGUCACUUAAAAUUAAAAUAAAAGACCAAAUCGGAAAAAAAAAAAAGAAUAAAGGACUAAAACGUUAACUCAAAAUUAAAUUAAGAGACCACAUGUGGUAUUUAGCCUAAAAAAAAAUAUACGUACGGCUUUUCCAUUGAUAAAUAAUAAUUUUCUCACGAACUCAAUUUGGUAGAUAAUUUUAGUAGAUAUUAGUGUUUAUUUUUUAGUGAUUCAUCAUAAAAUAUUAGAGUAAAAACAAAGAUUUUAACUAUUUAUUUAUGGCGGCAAAAAACUCUCACAUAGAAAAAAAAACAGUCAUAUUAUAUACAUUUGUGACGGUUUAAGGUAGUCACAACAUUUUAUGACGAUCAAAACGGCCACAAAUAUUGCAUUUUUAGUUAUCAUUUGUGACGGAAAAAGACCGUCAUAUAUUUAUAAAGAUUUAGGCCGCCACAAAAAAUAAAGUUGAUAAAAAAUAUCAGUAAAGGCUAAUACCAUCACAAACUGCCCCAUUUAUAAAAAAUUUGUCCGGGUUUAGGUCAUCACAAACUGUUUCAAUUGUGGUCGUUUGACUGCCAAAAUUAGAUAACUUUAUUAAUUUUCUUUUAUAAAGUUUAAAAUUAAUAUUAAAAAAAGAUAUUAUAUAUUAAAAAAAUUAAUAUAAUUUAAAAAAUGAAAAUAUAAAUUAAAUAAAGUAUUAUAUAUAAAAAGAAAAAUAUAAUUUUAAUAUUAAUUAAAUUAUACUAUCAAAUAAAAUAAAACAAUGUUUAAAAGUAUAUAUAUUUUUUGUACGAACUCAUCUACAAUUAUUUUGUAAUAGCUAACAACAAAUAAUAAUUAGUUUUAAUAAUAUUAUUUAAAAAUAGUUACAUUAAAAUCAAUAUAUUUUACACUUGUUUUAAAAUUUUAUUUAUCAUAUAUUAUGUAAACGUAAGAUUUUUAUUUCUUUUAAACAAAUCUACUAACGUUUCCAAGGAUAAACUUUUUAUGAAUUUUGAAAAUAAUAUAAAAAUAUUUUAUAUUUAUAAUAUUAUAUAUUUUAUUAUUAAAUCAAUACUAUAAAAUUACUUUUUUUUAUCAUAAGUAUUAUUUCGCUGCUAAAAAAAUUACAAUUUCUUAAUAAAAUUCAAUUUUAUUAACUUAAUGAAUCAUAAUAGCAAAAAUAACUACAAUAAAAAAGUAACUACAUUUUAAAUAACUCUUCAUCAACAUUUUAAAAAGUAACUACAUUUUAAUCUGAAUAAAUUUUUUAAAAUUUAAAUAUUUUAUUAGCAAACUAAUCUGAUUAACAUUAAAAUUUAAAAAUAAUAAUAUAAUCAAUUUUAAAAGUAAUAAAUUAUGCAUUCUAAAAUAAAAUAUUAACGCUCUAAAAAAUAAUUUAUAAUUGUAUAAUGUUUUUUUUAAUAAUAAUUAUAUAAAUUACUAAUCUAUAUUUAGAAUGUAUUUCAUACUAAUUACUUGAUGCAAAGUAGUGUCUAACUUAAAAUUUGCGAAUAAAUAACAUCUCUUUACAAUUAACUCAAUAACACCACUCUAGAAAUGAAAAUUAAAUAAUAUUCAUUAAAUAAAUAACUUCAAAUGAAAAAAUAACAUUAGAUAAUAAAACAUAAAAUAAAGGCUUACCGAAACUCAAAAGAUAAAAUAGAGAGAAAAGUUGAACAAAAAUAAAAGUUGAGGAAAAAUAUUUAUAAAGAGAAUGUAGAAAGAAGAUUUACGGAGAAUGCAGAAAUAAGAAAUGAGAGAAAUAGUGAUAUACAAAGGAAGAAAAGAGGGCAUUUAUGACGGUCAAAACGGUCACAAAAUGCUUACUACUCUAUUGUCUUUGUGGUGGUCAAGACCAUCAGAAAAAGCGGUAUUUGUGACGUAUUCUAAAAAAUGUUGCACUGUCAUGCUUUGUGGCGGUUUAAGCACUCACAAUACUUCAACGUUUUAAUUUGUAAGUGUAUAUAUACUACCACAAAAUCUUACCGAUAUUUUCAAUCAAUCAUGUUCAUUAUAAGAGUAUUAGUAGCUACAAAUUCAAAUAACAUUUAUCUCUAACAAUUUUGUGAUCGUUUUUUAAACCAUAAAUAUUACGAUUAGACCAACAAAAAUGUAAAUGUUUUUUCAACUACUAAUAACAAUCAAUAUUGAUCAGUAAUUUGUGAGAUUCUUUUUCCAAAUUGAAUUUUUUUUUAAAGAGUAUAUAUACAUAUCCAAAACAAAGUGCUUUCUUUUAGUAAUUCACCUUAAAAUAUUAGAAUACAAAGUGAAUGCAAUUUAUACACAUCCGAAACAAAUCACUUCGUGGUUAAAAAAUAAUUCUAUCCAAAAUUUAUAAACUCUACUAUUAUAUUUUAAUUAGCAUCCAAUUAUGUGUAUAUAAAAUUCCAAAUGCUUGUGUUAUGAACAUAUUUUUUUUCUUUGAAUAACUAUGUGUAAUUUAUCCAUCAUGUAAUAAAAAUUAACCACAUAAAUUAAAGAUAAACAUUAAUUUGUAAAUACUACUUAUAAAUUUACUUGGGUGACAAAUUUCUGUUAGUUGAUGAAUAAAUUAACUACAAUUUUUCAAAAGCUCUAGGUACUUUUUUUUCUCUCACGCCAACCUAGCUUUUUAGGCCAACAAGCCAAGUGAUUUGAACCGCUGCAAGUAGGGUUGGACAACGGGCAUAUUCGGGCCCAAAACACCAAUCUGACCCAUACCGCAGGUGGAGUAUACAUAGGCCAACUUCCGGCCAUUUUUUCCUUCGGAUUGAGCGGGUCGCAGAUCGUGCGAGUAUCGAGUUUGCCGAUCGGUUUAUGCUCUAAAGUAUCAAAUAACCAACAAAAUACCAGUUAAAAAAUCAGUAUCAAUAAUCUCACAUUUAUAUCUAAAUUUAGAAAAAUAAGAAAAAAGAAGAUGAUAAAAAAGGAGUCGUAAAGAGCAAUCAUCCCUUGCUUUUUUAAAUAAGCCCUUGAUUUGUUGAUGAUAUCAACAGCCAAAAAUUGCCUCUAACGAGUGAGAAGAAGAAGAGUGAACAAUUGUUUUUCUUACCGAGAGAGAAAGAAGAUGUAUAUUCUCUAUCAUCUAUUAAGAUAUAGGUUAUUCUAUGCUAUAUACUAUUAUUAUGUCAACUUGAACAUUAUAAUAUUUGACAGUACUUUGCAGAUUAUUUACUUUCGUUCAAGUUCCAACCGGAACAACGUUUUUUUACUUGGUGGAAGUAGAUUUACUUAUCAUGAAUUAUAAUUAGAAAACGACACAAGAAACAUGACUUAUUUUAUUAUAUUUUGGUUACAAAAGAAAAGAGACUUUAAUUCCUUCAUGCAAAUUAAACUAGGAGACUAACUAGCUAGCUAGAUCUUCCAGUACAUGAGUGACCAUAUAUAUAGUAUGACGUUAUUUGAAGCAGCAGUUACAGAAAGCAACAAGCUAAGUAUAGCUAUAUAUUCAUAUGUUUAUAGAUUGAUGCAACUUCAUUUGUUAUCCCUGUUCAUUCCAGUAGUAUUGUGAUUACCACGACCAUCAGUAUUUGCUUCUUGUCCCCACUGGGCAAAUCCAGGAGCAGGAGCAGUAGUGUCAUAAACAGCAGUGUAUUCGUACCUGGUGGUUCCAUAAUUACCGAUGUCACCACCACCACCACCACCACCAACACCAGGGGCAGUCACAGUAGCCUCGUAUGCGUACGCGGCAACUGGGUACGCUGCCACUCGAUCCACGGCAGUUCCGCUUUGGAAUUCAUGGUUCUUGCGAACAUCACUGUCUUGCUCACGAUCGUCGGUUCUAGAUAUAUUAGCAUUGUUGUGACACUCCUCGCGGCGUGGUUGUUGUUGUUGUGCCAUAUUGUGAAUGUUUAGAUAUAUGAGAUAGUAUUAUGGAUCGGAUCGAUAAAACGAAAGUAUAUAUUGGAGAGGUUAAGCGGUGAGGAGUAUCAUGCCUGCUUCCUCUGUAGCUUCUACACUCAACACGUGUAUGCUCUCAAAUUCUAACAUUCAUCGCUGCGGUGUCGGAAGCACCGACUAUUAUAAAGAUGUAUUUAGUUUCAGAGCUGGUACAAAAGAGAGGCAAGAUGUCAAAAACAUUUUUUUUUUUUAUAAUUUUUAUAAAGUAUAAAAAAUUUGUAACUCACGCAAAUUUUAAUUUUUUGAAUUGAUACCAGUGAUGAAUGGAUUAUUCGUAGUAUCGUUGGAAACAUCUUUUGAUGCUAGAGACAGUCUUUUUAUGGAAUCAUCAUUUAUUGUAGGCAUUGUUUUUUAAACUUUAUAAAAAAUUAUAGGAAAACAUUGGUUUUAACUUUUACCAUUAGAUAAAAUCUUAUAUAAGUUAAAUAAAAUAUGGAUGAGAGAAAUAUUAAUUAUAAAUUGAAAAAUUUUAAGACAAAAAAUGAACACAUAUUAUUCAUAUGAGAAAUAUUAGUUAUAAGUUAAGAAAUUAUGAGACAAGUAGUGUACAUAUUGUUAUUGGAGUGGUAAUAUACACACUAUUUUCUUCUUCAACUAAAAGAUAAAAAAAAUUAUAUAAAUUCUUGAUGUUGUUGUAGAACAGUUGAAAUAUCUUAUAAAUUUUCUAUAACUAUUAAAUAAAAUAUUAAUAAUUUAUUUAUUAAUUUUUAAAGAAGUCAUGUCUAAUAAUUUUGAUUUAUGCCUCAUAAUGCGAUGGGUAUGGUUUGCCAAGGAAUAUUUAAAAAAAAAAUCUAUGCUUCAAAUUUUAAGAAGGGUGUGUAAAGAGUAGAAAAGAGUAAAAUCUUCUCUAAAUUAUACUCAAAAUAUAGGUAAAAAAUGGUUGUAUUUUAUAGUUUGAGACGGAAGGAAUAAUUUUUAUUUUUGGAAAUUUUGAGAGAAAAUAAUUAACAUAAUUUUAUAUUAAAUUAUUUAAAAUAAAUAUGUCUUGUACUUUUUGUUCUUUUUCUUUAUUAAAAUCUCUCUCUUUCUUUUGAAUUAAAUAUUACAAUCUAUAUCUUUCCUUUGAACUAAUCAAAUUCAAAGUGUGGAGAUAUAAUAUUCAUUUUAUUUGAAUUUAGAUCCUCUAAUGUUUACAAAGUAUAGAAGAGCUUAUUAAAGAUUUCAAAUUUAAGUAUUAGUAAAAUACUCGUUCGUAUAGAAUCUAUCAAUUUAUUCCCUUAUCAAGUAUAGUUAUAUUAAGUAUGUUGAGGUCAGGUUAAGUGAUAGUGUGUGUGACUUAUAUAUCAACAUAAGAUGGAAAUUUGUCCCAUCACUAGGAAGCUUGUUCACAUGGCAUACAACAUUUUGUCUAUACAUAUGGGGCAAAUUUUAGGAAGUUUUCUACCUACAAAUUCCAACUUCCCUAUACAGCUUCUUCCCCAAAAUUUUGAAAUCCCGAUAAUUUAUAAAUUUAAAAAACUUAAUAUUUUUUUUCGUCUCAAAAUCUCUAUUUCCUAAUUCUUAAAUCUAAAAAAUAAUUGAUGGUGUGAUGUAACUAUAAUAUUUACAUUUAUUAUGAUGAAUACUAUUUUUUUCUCCAAAUUUCUAUUAUAUCCUCAAAAUUUCUAUUAUAUACUCCAUUAUAUCUGUAAUACUUGAGAGCCAGAAGCAACGACCCAACACUUGUUGAACUUAAAGAAAAAUAUUGAUAAAAUAAAAUAAUAAAUAUAUUUUUAAUAUUAAUAAUAAUAUUUUAUUAUAAAUUUGUUUAAAUUACAUUUCUUGUUUUAUGAGAUUUAAAAUAUUUUAAUUAAAUAUGUUGAUUGUUGUCUUUAACACUAUGCAAAAAAACGCAUUUUACAUCGCUUUUUUUAAGCAAUUUACAACGUUUUUUCAAAAAAAUAAGCGGUGUAGUAUCUAGCGCUGUAAAAAGAUACAACAACGCUUUUUAAAAUAAAAAAGCGCUAUAAAAUAGGUAGAUAUAUUGUGCGCUUGUUAUACUCGUUUUACAACCCUUUUUGGAAAAAGCGUUGUAAAUGGUACAUUCAAUAUAGCAUUAUUAUGCACCUAUUAUAACGCUUUUUUGAGAAAGCGAUGUAAAAGGUGCAAACAAUAGAUGUAUUAUUAUGCACCUAUUACAGCGCUUUUUGGAAAAAGCGCUGUAAAUGGUGCAUUCAAUAUAGCAUUAUUAUGCACCUAUUACAGCGCUUUUUUGAGAAAGCGCUGUAAAAUGUGCAAACAAUAGAUGCAUUAUUUAGCACCUAUUACGGUGCUUUUUCAAAAAAGCGCUGUAAAUGGUGCAUUCAAUAUAGCAUUAUUAUGCACCUAUUACAUCGUUUUUUUGAGAAAGCGCUGUAAAUGGUGCAUUUAAUAGAUGCAUUAUUAUGCACCUAUUACAGCGCUUUUUUAAAAAAGCGCUGUAAAAGGUGCAUUUUUAUUUUAGUUUUAUUAAAAAACGCUGUAAAUGAAAUUUUUAAAAAGCGCUUUUUGGUUUUUUAUGACAUUUUUUUAGAAAGCGCUGUCUUUUAAUAUUUUUUUUCAAAAUCAUUUUCAUCCAGAAUCAGUUCACAAUCAGUUCAUACAAUCAUUUCACAACAAAACAGAACUAUAUAACUUUAUAAUUUAACUUUAUAACUUUACAUAUUUACACAAUCAGUUCACAACAUAUUCAUAUACAUAUUCACAUAUUGACAACAACACAUAACUAUAUACAUAUUCAUAUAACUACAUAUUCAUAACUUUUCAAAUGUGUCGUAUUUAUAUACAUAUAACUAUUAGAACUACACAGAACAGAACUACCAUAUAUUCAUAUAACUAUCCCUUGCAGCAUGCCAUUUCUCAGUAAAUCAAAUAAUUUUCAUUUCAAUCACAUACUAACAUCAGUCUUCCUUUAUUUCAAUUAGAUCUCUUUCAGAGUAUGUUGGACUGGAAUUGUCAAAGUACUGUGCGAUACAAAAAUUGAACAUAAAUAAGUUAGAAUCAAAUAUAUACAUAGUUUAUAUAUGAAAAUCAAAUAAUGAAAAUACUGUACCAUUUCUGGGAUAAUAGUUUGAUUCCUAUCAACAAUCUCCUUCAUUAAUCUCAAUACAUAGUACCUACAGUUAUAUAUAUAUAAUAUGUAAGAAAUAAAUGAAUAUUACUUACGUGUCGAACAUAGUCUUUAUAUAUGAGUGAUUGUUGUAAUUGUCGUGCAAGGGAUCUAAAUAAUAUAUAACUUCAGAGAUCGCAUUGAUUGCAAAUAGCACCCAAUGUGCCCUACAACAACAAAAAUUUGGCUGGCAAUUUUGUUUACGCAACUAAUAAAUUAAGAUCUCAUAAAUUAAAAAAGAUAUAAAUAAAAAAUAUAUAAUAACGUACUGAAUUAUAUGGUGCAAGGAACAACUUAUCCUUCUCUUUAUUUCCUAAUAGGAUAUCUACAACAUAUUUAUUUACAUUCACUGAAUCGAGUUUAAACAUCGAAAGCUUAUGCGGAGACAAGAAUGAAAAUAUAUUUGACAAUAUGCGCGUGCACACCAACUUCUCAUACAAAAACCUUCAAUGAAAAUUUCAAAUUAGAUUAAUUACCAAUAAAUUAAAUUAAUUACCAAUAAAUGCAAUUAAAAGUAAUUUUUACCUAAUGUAUAAGCUGAUGACAGUAGCACUCAGCUCCUUAUGGUUGAGAAGUUCGUAUAUGUGCUCUUUUUCAAGUAGUUCUUUAUACUCAUCUUCGAAUAUAGCUUUAUCCAAGGUUAUGGUGCGUGAAUCGUUGUUGCUGCCCCAAUUCAUUUUUACCUUUAUGUCAAGACACGACCCAUCUCGAGCAAGACAUGGCUGACUUAUUUUAGGAGCAGGAGCAACAAAUGAUUUUCCUCGAUCCAGUUUUUGAGCUGCAACUUUGGCAGCUUUAUUUCCUCGAUCCAGUUUUGAGCUGCAACUUUGUCGACUUUAUUUUUACCACAAACAUCUAGUUGUGGUGCGACAACUAGUUUAUUCUGGCAGCCGAUUUGCUGUGCGAGUGGUUUAUUGGAUUGAAUCUGAAAAAAAUGAGGUUAAUUAGUUUUUUAGUUUAUUGAAUCUGAAAAAAUGACAAACCUUACAUAAUAAAUGUGACAAACUUUUUCCGACGAUGUGACUGACUCGUUUCUAGGAAUCUUCUUAUCAUUCUCUUUAGACUUUGUCUGAAUCUAAAUAAAUGUGAAAUCAAAGUUAACAGCGGAAAAAAAUCAGCAAUUAAAUAUAAUCAAUCAUAAUCAUAUAUCGUGCAAUUAAAUAUACAUAUCAAUUAAACAUACAUUUUAAUUAAUUAAACAUACCUUAUCAAGGGCAACAAGAUAUGUGGGCCAUGCCACGUAACUACCAAUUGCUUUGCCCAAAUAAUUCAUACAUGCAUCGCGUCCGGUAUAGGCAACGGUGCAUUUGGUUCCAAAGCAAUAACUGGUGAUACUUUGACAUUGUAUGCAGGGAUCGGUGUGUUGUGCAAUACUUCUCCCAAAGUAUUGUACAAUGUUCCUUUUCCGACCUUGCGAUGAGUAGGGGAGGAUAAGUACAGCACGCAAGGAGUGACACCCUAAAUCAAUGGUUAAUACAUAAGUAUGUGAAACAAUUAGGUUGAAUGAAUUUCUUAUUUUAUUAAGUAAUUAAUUACCUUAGGAAGACUUUUGAGACCAAUGUUGCAACUCGCGUUUUCGCUCUCCAUUUGUAUUUCAUGUUGGAGCUUAUCCGAAAGUUGUUUGUCUUUAUUCGUCUUCACCAAGAGUACCAUUUGCUCUGAUAGGAAUUUGAGCUUCUCAAAUACCUCCUCGUUAGAUGGACUUUGGCACUUCUCUUGUGAAAAAUAGCUUUUAGGAGUUACGCCAAAUCUUUUCCCCCUCAUGUGACCAAAAUAUUCAGGAACAUUAAACACUUUACCGAGAAUGUUCCUGCAACUAGCUUUGUUGUCCGCUUAAUUUUCCGAACUUUGUUCGAGAUUCUCCUAAAAUACACGUAGGAUUAAAAAGAUAAAUUCAGUAUCAUUUUUAAAAUACAAUAUUAAAAAAUAUUAAAGUGAUAAUAUACUUACACAAAGUUCUAUUACUUUUUGAACAUUUUCGUUAUCAACCACUCCAUCUUUAUUUACAUGAGCUUCCUUCCACAAGAUACGACGAUCCAACGGUUGAUCAGAUUGGGUGUCUUGUAGCUAUUCGUUAAGAUCAUAAACAAAAUAUUAGUUAGCAACUAUAGUUUAUAAUGUACCACAUUAUAUAAAAGUGAUGUUUAAUUACUUACAAGUUUUUGCUCUAGACGUGCAUAUCCCAUACGAGAUUUUUUGUAUAGGUGCGUCGGAUUUUUUGCCCUCUCGCGAUUUGUCUUACUUAUAUUCUAUAUAAAAAAAAUAACAAUCGUGUAACAAUGUAAAAUACACUAUGAAUAUGAAUAAUAAAACACAAAUGCUAAUAAAUUAAUCACUUACCACAAACGCGGGGUCUGAACGUUUUGCUACAAAUGUGCUCCAUUCUUCAUUUGAUAUAUAAUGUUUAUAUAUUUUUGGAGCUUCAGCAUUCAUAUUUUCUUCACGGUCUUUUAGAUAGCAAUUUGAGAGGUGAGAUCUAAAACCCCAGUCUAUUUUCCCGGCAACUCUCAACACGUAAGCCUUUCUCACCUUAUCAACAACAAAAGCAGUCUGCAAACGAAAUAAAGAUAUAGUUUGAGUAAAGUAUUUCAAUGGAAAAAAUUAUAAGUAACAAAAAAUGGAUCAAAAAAGUUUCACAUCCUUCAACCCCUUAUCUCUCCAAUCGUCAAUUGUGAUGGGGAUAUUCUGACGAACAACAGCCCCAAUAUAACUUACAAACAUGGAACUAUUAGGGUCAAUGGACUGACCACUCUCAUUCCAUCCAACCUAAUAAACUCAUAUAGUAAGUACAUGCUUUCAAAAAAUAUAAAAAAUAAACANNNNNNNNNNNNNNNNNNNNNNNNNNNNNNNNNNNNNNNNNNNNNNNNNNNNNNNNNNNNNNNNNNNNNNNNNNNNNNNNNNNNNNNNNNNNNNNNNNNNNNNNNNNNNNNNNNNNNNNNNNNNNNNNNNNNNNNNNNNNNNNNNNNNNNNNNNNNNNNNNNNNNNNNNNNNNNNNNNNNNNNNNNNNNNNNNNNNNNNNNNNNNNNNNNNNNNNNNNNNNNNNNNNNNNNNNNNNNNNNNNNNNNNNNNNNNNNNNNNNNNNNNNNNNNNNNNNNNNNNNNNNNNNNNNNNNNNNNNNNNNNNNNNNNNNNNNNNNNNNNNNNNNNNNNNNNNNNNNNNNNNNNNNNNNNNNNNNNNNNNAUAAGUAACAAAAAAGUGGAUCAAAAAAGUUACUUGUAUAUCAGCCUACAGUAUAUCUUUCGCAUCUUUCAACCCCUUAUCUCUCCAAUCGUCAAUUGUGAUGGGGAUAUUCUGACGAACAACAGCCCCAAUAUAACUUACAAACAUGGAACUAUUAGGGUCAAUGGACUGACCACUCUCAUUCCAUCCAACCUAAUAAACUCAUAUAGUAAGUACAUGCUUUCAAAAAAUAUAAAAAAUAAACAACAAACAAAGUAUAGUAUACCUCGAAUUUUAUGCCACUACUCCUUGCUUUUAUGACAUUUUGCAUGAUGGUUGCAUCGCCUUUGACUUCAUUUUCAUAAGUCUUAGGGUUGACAACUUCCUCAUUUUGACGAUCUAAAUAUUUGUUGGUAUCCAUUUAUCUACAACAAGUUCAACAUGCAGUUCAGUAUAACUUCAACAGGUUCAACAUGCAGUAGUCUAAGUACGUAGCAGUAUAAGUUCAACAUGCAUUUUAGUGACAACAAAAAAUUAAUAAAUACAAUACCUGAAAAACAGAAGAACAGUAGGGUUACGACGCAGAAAUACGAACAAAGAAGAACAACGCAGAAAUAUGAACAGUUGGUAAGAGAGUAGGGUUCGCAGAAACGAGCAUAUGAAGUUUACGUAAUAGAGAGUAGGGUUCGCAGAAACAAAGAUGGUUCGUAAUGAUAAGGAGAAUGAAGAGGAAACAAGCGUAUGAAGUUUACGUAAUAAGGGUUAGUAACAAUGCAAUAUUGUUCGAAGGGUUCGCAAUGAGAAGGAGAAUGAAGAGGAGGAGGAAAUAAGUGUAUAUGAAGUUUACGUAAUGAAGAGGAAACUGAAGCGGUUUAUUGUUAUAUAUAAAACCCUACUACAACGCUUUUUUGAAAAAGCGUUGUAAAAGACCUCCUUAUUUUAUUUUCUUAAAAGCCUUUUACAGCGCUUUUCCACAAAGCGCUUUAAAAGGCUUCUUAUAUUUAUUAUGUGCAAGCAGCCUUUUACAACAUUUUUCCACAAAGCGCUUUAAAAGGCUUCUUUAUUUUAUUAUGUGCAAGCGUUAUGUGACCCUUUUACAUGUUAUAUAUAAAACCCUACUAUAACACUUUUUUGAUAUAGCGUUGUAAAAGGCUUCCUUAUUUUAAUUUUUUAAAAUCUUUUUACAGCGCUUUUCCACAAAGCUCUUUAAAAGACUUCUUUGUUUUAUUAUGUGCAAGCGCUAUGUGACCCUUUUACAACGCUUUUCCACGAAGCGCUUUAAAAGGCUUCUUUGUUUUAUUAUGUGCAAGCGCUAUGUGACCUCCUUAUUUUUUUUAAAGGCUUUUUAUAGCGCUUAUUGACAAAAGCGCUGUAAAACUACAAAAUUUAUGUUCUGAUCAGUUUUUGUUAAAUUACAAUAUAAGUUCAGUUUUUGUAAAUUACAAUAUAAUUAGUUAAAUACCUAUAUAUAUAUAUAUAUAUAUAUAUAUCAAUGCUAAAUUACAUAAUCAGAUCAUAUUGGGAUGAUCAGUUAAAGUUCAAGAAAAAUUCCUAGUACUCAAACAAAGCUUUUUCAAGUUCAAUAUAAGCAGAAAAUCAGUUCUGGCAGGUCAAACACUUAAAUUACAUGAACUUAGUAUAAAACGUACACUAAGAUCAAGCUAAAUAUAAGCAGAAAAUAAGUAUAAGCAGAAAAUCAAAUACAGUUCAAGCUAAAUACUAAAAUGCUCAAUUCUGACAGAUCAAACAAUUAUAUUACAUGAACUCAGUUCAGAUUACAUGGCUUAUAUAAAACAAUUAAACACAUUAAGAUGCCCUUCUUCUUUUCCUGGUGGGAUUCACAUUUGUUUGUCCAUUAACGAUACAAAACGAUGGAUUAAUCCAAAUUCCCUCAUCAUGAUCAUCUCUAAGAUAUAAACCAUCAUCAGUUGAAUCAAUUUCAUGUGGUUGUGAUGUUACAAAUAAAAGAUCAUUACCAACAUCUUCAUCAUUAUUGUUAUCAUCACCUAUCUUAUUGGUCGAUAGGACAACAAACUAUUUAUCAUCAGUAGGAUCAGUGACAUAAAACACUUGUUGAGCUUGCGACGCUAAAAUAAAAGGCUCAUCUUUGUAUCCCACCCUAUUAUUAUUGACCCACUUGCAACCAAAUAUGGGAACACGAAACAUUGUGUAGUCUAACUCCCAUAUGCGCUCGAUAACCCCAAAAUAUGAUAGAUUUGCAUAUAUUGGGUUUUUGUCUUUUGCACUUGAGACAUGCAUCGCUUCAGCUACGAGAGUGACUCCGCUCUUUUGCAUAGUGGUUUGAUCAUCUUGUUCUUUAGAAGCGCUUUAAAAACCAUGUAACAUAAGGUGAGAGCGCUACAUUUUACAGCGCUUGUGUUUAAAGCGCUAAAAAAACGUUGUAAAAGCUAUGGGAGAGCGCUUCAAUUUACAGUGCUUUUACAAAAAGCGUUGUAAAAUGGUUGUAAGCAUUUUGUGCAAGCGCUAUGUGACCCUAUAUGAUCCUACAACAGCGCUUGUAUUUAAUAAGCGUUUUAAAAGAUGCAUUAUAAAAUGUCAUUUUUUUUUAAAUAAUUUGCGAGGUCUUUCACUUGUUGUACUAUUUAAAUAUUUUUAUUUUUUGAGAUCUAAAUAUAUAUAAAAAAAUUAAUUAUUUUUCAGAAACUUAAAACCCUACAGUUACUAGCUUUGGUCUUGGGUCAACCCAAAAAUGCAAUUACACCUAAAAUUUAACUUUCUUUAUAUCUAUUUGAUAUUAAUGACUAACCUAGAUUCACAUAGUUAAAUAAGAGGACUAAAGGACCGACUUUCCCCUCAAAAUAAGUUAAAAGGAAAAGUAUUUAAACUAAAAAAUUAUAAAAAUAUUCCAACUUUUUGAUAACUUAAAAGACGAUAAUAUCUAAUCCCUUAGCAUUCUUUAAAUCGAGUUGUUCGCCUAAUAUUAAUUGAUACACAAGAAGGAGAAAAAAUUCUGAAGAUCUAAUCAAUUGCUUAUUUUGAUGUGAUGAUUUUAAAAUUUUAUCCCAAAUAUAACAUUGGCCUUAUGUGUUUUACAUGCACUUGUAUUAGAAAUAUAUUAAAAAAUCUUUAAUUUUUUAUGGACACAUUUUCAAAAUUGGGCAAGAAAAAAAAAAGACCAAAAGUAGUAAGUAAACAUUAUACACAAUUCCAUCUCACAUUUAGUGUCAUAUUUGUAAAAUAAUUAUCUUAAAAUAAAUAUUAUUUUUAAUUUUUAAUGUAAUAUUAAUUAUAUUUUUCAAUUGUAUCUUAUAAGUAAUCACUAGUAUAAUUUUAUCUUUUUUAGUCGGUUAAAAUAUACAUUUUAAGUCGAUUUUGUGUUCGAGUUAAUAACAAACGACUUAAAAAACAUGUUGUUUUUUAACUCAUUUCAUGAACCGGUUUAACAUAGCUUCGUCCUGUUAAGUCAAUUCAGCUUAAUCGACUUAAACAUCACAAAUUCAAUUCAACAAAUCACCUUUUUAAGUCGAAUCUUUUGAUCAACUAACUUAAUAGAUAUAGUUAAAAUAAUUAUUUUUUUUUAAUAAAUUUAUCAUUUUAUUUUUAUGCUUCUGAUCAUACAUAUAUACAAUAUUUCGUAUUAAAUUUCAAUUCGAAGUUUUGUACUUGCAACCACAAUUUUAUAUAAUUAUCUAAUAAUCAAAAUAUACAAUAAAUAUAGAGUACAAAGAAGAUGUCUCUGAUUAAUCUUGACAAGACGAAAAAAAAUUAGAUGUCUAUUAAUAAAAUUCAAAAUCACAAUGUAGCAAUAUUCAACAGAUAUUUAUUAGCAUUGUCAUUUUCUUCAAUUAAUUCCAAAAUAAAAUUCUCACAAUGUUUUCGAACUUCUUUAAUUUGAUCCGAAUGAAAUGAUCUCGAGUCAUCAUAUAUCUAAACAAAAAAAAAAACACAAACAAUAUCGGUUGAAUCCUUAUUUUUUAUCAUACGAACAUCAAAAAAUACAAUCAAUAACAACUUGUAAAAAAUAAAUUACGUACUUGCAUCCAUGAAUCAAAUCUGUUACAAUGUUUAACCUGUAACAUGACAUAGUAGUCACACUCAUACAUUUGCCAUGUUAAUUUAACAAAUAAUCAUGUCAUAUCCGUUUUGUAUAACGCUGACAAAUCCCAUAACAAAUAAGAUGAUUUCUUAGUUCUUCAAGAUGUAACUUGUUUUUCAUUUGGCUAAAUUACAUUUAUGGUCCCUUAACUUAAUUUCAGGUAACGUUUUAGUCCUUUAUAUUUUUUUUCCCCGACUUGGUCCUUUAUUUUAAUUUUAAGUGACAAUUUGAUAUUUUAUGUUUUAAAAUUUCGACAAUGAUAUCCUUUUUUAUACAAAAAUUCAAAAAAAAAAUUCAAUCAAAACUCAUAAAAUUAAUUAUAUUCUUCAAUAUAAUACAAAUUUCAUCAAAUUCGUAACGCAAAUCUUCAAAUAAACUCAUAUUUUCAUACUUUAUUUGAUAUUUUUAGGAAUAAAGGACUAAAUCGGGAAGAAAAAAAAAAUGACUAAAACAUUACCUGAAAUUAAGUUAAAGGACCACAGAUGUAAUUUAGCCUUUUCAUUUAAAUAUUAACACAAAGACAAUAAAACUUUCUUUCAUUUGUAGGAUGUUUUUUUAAAGUAAAUUGUAAAAAUCCACACGUAUACACUUCACUCAAACUAUUACCAUUCAUUCAAUUCAUCCAAUUAUUAUCUAUAACUAUUUUUGUUAAAAAUAAAUAACUGUAAAUAUUAAUAUUAAGGUAAAAUAAAACUAAAAUAAUUUUAUUUUCCUUUGCUUUUUUAUUUAUUGUCCUAUAUUGUUGUAUUAAUAUUAACUAAAAGUAAUAUAAUAAUAGUAUACUAUUGUUUUCUUUAUUAUUUUAAUGAUCAUUUUGCUCCAUAGUAUCUAAGAUAGAAAAUGUAAUUUAACUUGCUGCGACAAAAUCUCCCACAUCCAUUCAAAAGACUUGAAAACAUCUUAUAAAACAUAUUAUUAUUUUUUAAAAAUUAUAGAGAUAAAGAGAAAUAUUGUAACAUAUACUUUAAUAAGACAAUAUUUAACGAAAAAAAUACAAAUAAUGAAUUCAUCUCUAGUGUGAAACUAAAAUAAAACAAAAUGAUAAAUAGUCAUUAAAUAAAAAAAAAUGAAUUUGACAUGUCAUUAUUAUUUUUUUCUUUCCCAUAACAUAUAGCUCUUCUUUAUUAUCUGAAAGUGAAACUAUAUAUCAUCAUUCAAGCAACUUACAUGUCAGAAUUAUUGUUAUAUAUCAAUAAGUAUAAUAGUAGAAAAUUAUAAAAACAUGAACUUGAGAACCAAAUGUGGAAUGGUGGCAAUAAAACAGCCGCUAUGAGUGUGAAGUCGUUGUGAAGUCAGUGUGCGGAAGAUAAAACGCUUGAGUGUAUGAAAAAAAUUUAUAUUUGAUAAAUUCGUCUUUCGGUUAUCAAUAUUUAAAAAAUUACCACCAUUUUAUUUUAUCAAUUCAUUUAGGCAAUUAAUCAAAUUAAACUGAGAUAUAUAUUAAUUUUUUACUUUUAUUUUUAGUUCUCUUUAUAUCGGUUGUUAAUAUAACCGUAUUAAAACGUUUCAUCUAUUUAUAAAAUUAACAACGAAUUAUUCUGUUAACGUAUGUAACGGAUUUAAACAUAUUUCUCUCACGUGUUAAAAUUUGGUGGCACGUAAACGACUUGGCUCACCGAAUCAAAAAAAUUUUUAGUAUUGAAUAUUAUGUACGUCACUCCACCAAUAUUUAAUAAUAAGAGUUUAAUGAAAUUCCUAUUAUCUUUUGUUCAUAUAAAACUUCUAUUCCUUUUUAAUUAUUGUUUAAAGAUUAUUUAUAUAUACCAAAAAAAUCAAUAAAAUUUAUUACUUUGAAUAUAAUUAUUUGUCUUUUUUCCAUAAUAUCCUUAAUCAUUUAUUUCAUCUUACAUACUUUUCUCUCUCUAAUAAAAAUUCAAAAACAACAAAUAAAAGAGAACAGACAACUUUCUAAUAAAAUACUUAAAAAAGGGAGUGGGAUAUUUUCUUAAGAGCAUUUAUCUAUAUUUGUAUGUGAUUGCUUAUUGAGUCCCGUGUAGGUCUCAAGUUUCAUAACACUCAUUUAUGCAAAACAUAAGGUGUAAUGAUAUUAGAUGUGUAUAUAACUGCUAUGGAACGAGAAACAAUUUGCAUGACGAAAGAAGUAUUCUUCACGUAAUAAGCCAUCCAAUUAUAGAAUUCUAUUGCUAUCCAUAAAUUUUUUUGUUGGUUUUUAAACACAAUUAAAUGGCAUAAAGAUUACCAAAAUAAUACAUGUAAGAGUAAAGGUAAGGAAAUCUUACUACAUCAGAAUCAAUCCAGCAAGACAAGAGAAGAAAAUGGUAAGAGAAAAAGAGGAUGACACAAAAAAUAAGAAUAUCUAGUAAAGACAAGAGAAGAAAAUGGUAAGAGAAAAAGAGGAUGACACAAAAAAUAAGAAUAUCUAGUAAAGACAAGAGAAGAAAAUGGUAAGAGAAAAAGAGGAUGACACAAAAAAUAAGAAUAUCUAGUAAAGACAAGAGAAGAAAAUGGUAAGAGAAAAAGAGGAUGACACAAAAAAUAAGAAUAUCUAGUAAAGACAAGAGAAGAAAAUGGUAAGAGAAAAAGAGGAUGACACAAAAAAUAAGAAUAUCUAGUAAAGACAAGAGAAGAAAAUGGUAAGAGAAAAAGAGGAUGACACAAAAAAUAAGAAUAUCUAGUAAAGACAAGAGAAGAAAAUGGUAAGAGAAAAAGAGGAUGACACAAAAAAUAAGAAUAUCUAGUAAAGACAAGAGAAGAAAAUGGUAAGAGAAAAAGAGGAUGACACAAAAAAUAAGAAUAUCUAGUAAAGACAAGAGAAGAAAAUGGUAAGAGAAAAAGAGGAUGACACAAAAAAUAAGAAUAUCUAGUAAAGACAAGAGAAGAAAAUGGUAAGAGAAAAAGAGGAUGACACAAAAAAUAAGAAUAUCUAGUAAAGACAAGAGAAGAAAAUGGUAAGAGAAAAAGAGGAUGACACAAAAAAUAAGAAUAUCUAGUAAAGACAAGAGAAGAAAAUGGUAAGAGAAAAAGAGGAUGACACAAAAAAUAAGAAUAUCUAGUAAAGACAAGAGAAGAAAAUGGUAAGAGAAAAAGAGGAUGACACAAAAAAUAAGAAUAUCUAGUAAAGACAAGAGAAGAAAAUGGUAAGAGAAAAAGAGGAUGACACAAAAAAUAAGAAUAUCUAGUAAAGACAAGAGAAGAAAAUGGUAAGAGAAAAAGAGGAUGACACAAAAAAUAAGAAUAUCUAGUAAAGACAAGAGAAGAAAAUGGUAAGAGAAAAAGAGGAUGACACAAAAAAUAAGAAUAUCUAGUAAAGACAAGAGAAGAAAAUGGUAAGAGAAAAAGAGGAUGACACAAAAAAUAAGAAUAUCUAGUAAAGACAAGAGAAGAAAAUGGUAAGAGAAAAAGAGGAUGACACAAAAAAUAAGAAUAUCUAGUAAAGACAAGAGAAGAAAAUGGUAAGAGAAAAAGAGGAUGACACAAAAAAUAAGAAUAUCUAGUAAAGACAAGAGAAGAAAAUGGUAAGAGAAAAAGAGGAUGACACAAAAAAUAAGAAUAUCUAGUAAAGACAAGAGAAGAAAAUGGUAAGAGAAAAAGAGGAUGACACAAAAAAUAAGAAUAUCUAGUAAAGACAAGAGAAGAAAAUGGUAAGAGAAAAAGAGGAUGACACAAAAAAUAAGAAUAUCUAGUAAAGACAAGAGAAGAAAAUGGUAAGAGAAAAAGAGGAUGACACAAAAAAUAAGAAUAUCUAGUAAAGACAAGAGAAGAAAAUGGUAAGAGAAAAAGAGGAUGACACAAAAAAUAAGAAUAUCUAGUAAAGACAAGAGAAGAAAAUGGUAAGAGAAAAAGAGGAUGACACAAAAAAUAAGAAUAUCUAGUAAAGACAAGAGAAGAAAAUGGUAAGAGAAAAAGAGGAUGACACAAAAAAUAAGAAUAUCUAGUAAAGACAAGAGAAGAAAAUGGUAAGAGAAAAAGAGGAUGACACAAAAAAUAAGAAUAUCUAGUAAAGACAAGAGAAGAAAAUGGUAAGAGAAAAAGAGGAUGACACAAAAAAUAAGAAUAUCUAGUAAAGACAAGAGAAGAAAAUGGUAAGAGAAAAAGAGGAUGACACAAAAAAUAAGAAUAUCUAGUAAAGACAAGAGAAGAAAAUGGUAAGAGAAAAAGAGGAUGACACAAAAAAUAAGAAUAUCUAGUAAAGACAAGAGAAGAAAAUGGUAAGAGAAAAAGAGGAUGACACAAAAAAUAAGAAUAUCUAGUAAAGACAAGAGAAGAAAAUGGUAAGAGAAAAAGAGGAUGACACAAAAAAUAAGAAUAUCUAGUAAAGACAAGAGAAGAAAAUGGUAAGAGAAAAAGAGGAUGACACAAAAAAUAAGAAUAUCUAGUAAAGACAAGAGAAGAAAAUGGUAAGAGAAAAAGAGGAUGACACAAAAAAUAAGAAUAUCUAGUAAAGACAAGAGAAGAAAAUGGUAAGAGAAAAAGAGGAUGACACAAAAAAUAAGAAUAUCUAGUAAAGACAAGAGAAGAAAAUGGUAAGAGAAAAAGAGGAUGACACAAAAAAUAAGAAUAUCUAGUAAAGACAAGAGAAGAAAAUGGUAAGAGAAAAAGAGGAUGACACAAAAAAUAAGAAUAUCUAGUAAAGACAAGAGAAGAAAAUGGUAAGAGAAAAAGAGGAUGACACAAAAAAUAAGAAUAUCUAGUAAAGACAAGAGAAGAAAAUGGUAAGAGAAAAAGAGGAUGACACAAAAAAUAAGAAUAUCUAGUAAAGACAAGAGAAGAAAAUGGUAAGAGAAAAAGAGGAUGACACAAAAAAUAAGAAUAUCUAGUAAAGACAAGAGAAGAAAAUGGUAAGAGAAAAAGAGGAUGACACAAAAAAUAAGAAUAUCUAGUAAAGACAAGAGAAGAAAAUGGUAAGAGAAAAAGAGGAUGACACAAAAAAUAAGAAUAUCUAGUAAAGACAAGAGAAGAAAAUGGUAAGAGAAAAAGAGGAUGACACAAAAAAUAAGAAUAUCUAGUAAAGACAAGAGAAGAAAAUGGUAAGAGAAAAAGAGGAUGACACAAAAAAUAAGAAUAUCUAGUAAAGACAAGAGAAGAAAAUGGUAAGAGAAAAAGAGGAUGACACAAAAAAUAAGAAUAUCUAGUAAAGACAAGAGAAGAAAAUGGUAAGAGAAAAAGAGGAUGACACAAAAAAUAAGAAUAUCUAGUAAAGACAAGAGAAGAAAAUGGUAAGAGAAAAAGAGGAUGACACAAAAAAUAAGAAUAUCUAGUAAAGACAAGAGAAGAAAAUGGUAAGAGAAAAAGAGGAUGACACAAAAAAUAAGAAUAUCUAGUAAAGACAAGAGAAGAAAAUGGUAAGAGAAAAAGAGGAUGACACAAAAAAUAAGAAUAUCUAGUAAAGACAAGAGAAGAAAAUGGUAAGAGAAAAAGAGGAUGACACAAAAAAUAAGAAUAUCUAGUAAAGACAAGAGAAGAAAAUGGUAAGAGAAAAAGAGGAUGACACAAAAAAUAAGAAUAUCUAGUAAAGACAAGAGAAGAAAAUGGUAAGAGAAAAAGAGGAUGACACAAAAAAUAAGAAUAUCUAGUAAAGACAAGAGAAGAAAAUGGUAAGAGAAAAAGAGGAUGACACAAAAAAUAAGAAUAUCUAGUAAAGACAAGAGAAGAAAAUGGUAAGAGAAAAAGAGGAUGACACAAAAAAUAAGAAUAUCUAGUAAAGACAAGAGAAGAAAAUGGUAAGAGAAAAAGAGGAUGACACAAAAAAUAAGAAUAUCUAGUAAAGACAAGAGAAGAAAAUGGUAAGAGAAAAAGAGGAUGACACAAAAAAUAAGAAUAUCUAGUAAAGACAAGAGAAGAAAAUUUUUCUUUUCCUUCCCUUCUCCUUGCUUCUUCUCACUCUAUUACUCAAACCUUCAACCCUUAAAAGGGAUUUAGCAUCCCCACAAGCACAAUUUUUCAAACUCCUACAAAUUCUUUUGGUUGACAUUUUUGGGUUAGGGUUUGUGUUCUAAGGAAGGAAAAGGGUACCUAUCUCUCGAGAGUUGUUUAUUGAGACUCAUUGAGGUAAAUGCACAACUCUAAUCCUAAUAUUAAUUCAUAGAAAAAUGUAGAUUUGAGUAAAAAUAUUUUUGUGCUUAUAAUAUAUUUAUAUGAUUUUCAUGGUUUCUUAGAGUUAGUUAAACUUUACAAUAGAUUUUUUCUAAAGCCUUGGAAAUAUUGUUUAUACUCAGAUUUGUCAACUGAGACCCUACUACUUUGAGAGUUGCUGAAGAGCAAACUUAGACGAUUCUCCAUAACUGUGAGUUGACGACGAUCAUCGUCAUAUAUUUUAUAAUGCUAUUAUAAUUAUUUUACUUGUUUUAUAUAUUAAAGUAUUUAUUGAAAAAUUUGGGGAACACAACCUUUGAAAUUUAUCUUGAUUUCGUCAAUUAUUUAAUUUAAUGGUCGUUGUUAUAUAAUAUGCUAUUAGUUUGAUUACGUAUGAAUUAAAGUAUUUAAAUAUUGAAUUGUUAUGUGAUUGAAUAUGUUUUCCAUGAAUUACGAUGAAAUAAUUUUAAAUACUUGUUUUGAAAAAUCGUUGUUAUAAUCAUUAGAUCGUUAACUGUGUUAGGUGCACCUAGUUACCUUGUGUUGAUUAGGGAGAGUUGCCCGUUAGAUGGAGCCGCCCUUGUGAGAAAUGUUAUCCGUAGGAGGAGAGAGAUAUCAACGAGAUGUAAGCUCCCUAAUCGAUACGUGAUGAUGCGUUGCGGGAUUGAGAGAAGAGGGUCAUCCAUUAGAUGGAGCCGCCCCUAAGAGAAAGACCACCCUUAGGAGGAAAAGACUAUCAAUGAAAUAAAACCGCCUCUUGGUUCUAAAAAUUUAAUUGUUACUUGUUUGAUUUUCUUUUAUAAUGAUUUUAUGGUUGUUCAUUUUGAUUUUGUUUCGUUAUUAACUGGAUUUUUAAUAUUUCUGUUAAGUGAUUAAAUUAUAAGUUUAAUGACUAUAUAUGUGUAUAUAUUUAAAUUUAGAAUUUUUUCUAGAUUUUUAAGUAAUAUUGUUUAAUGUAAUUGAUGUCCGAUUGUAAAGCCGUUAUUCGUGCCUUUUUGUGUUUCCCUUCUAAUUGAUGGUGGUUGUUGUCUCCUCACUAAGUGUUUGUGACUUACCCCUUCAUGUUGCUUAUUUUUUUUCAGAUUCGCAGGCAGCUGAGUAGAAAUCUAUCAUUUGAUUCAAGUCUCAACAUAUUUCUUUUUGGUAGGCCUCUUUGAUCGAGGACCAUUUUUUUGUAACGUCUGUUGAGUCUAUGUCAAUUGCAGCUAUUUUGGAGUCUAUAAGUUUUUUUUUUGGGAAUUGUAUUAAACGAUUAGAUUAUGUUCUUUGAAUUGUGACUGAAUUGAGAAUUUAACAAGGAUUUUAUAAAUUUGAGAAUAUUGAAGUUACAGAGAAUACUCUGUCGAAAUUUCAAGAAAAAGUAUAUAUAUAUAUUAAAUAGGUAGAUAACGAUUUAGUUGUUUAAUUGUUAGGCUUGUCAGGCUAGGAGUAUAGCUUGGUAUUAAAUUUUCAGAGACAACAUAAAUACACAUAAUUAAUAAUUAAUAAUUUUCAGAGAUAACGAUUUCGGGCCGUGACAUUCAGAGACAAGUUUUCCGGUAAAUAUUUUUUUUAAUAUACCAUAAUUAAUAAUUAAUAAACCAUAAAUAUUUUUAAAUAAUAAUACACACAAAUAAUUAAUACAUCAUAAAUACACAAUUAAAUAAUUAAUACAUCAUAAAUAAAUAAUACACCAUAAAUAAUUAUUACACGAUAAUAGUUAAUAAUUAAUACAUCAUAAUUAAUAUACCAUAAAUAAUAAUUAAUAUCUCCGGAUACCGUGUCUGCUCACCCUCACCCUCAUCUUGGUACCUCCUCAUGUUGUUGAUCUGAUCCUCUAUAGGUCCCCAUGCUCCUGAUCCUCCUUGUGUACCGAUCCUUUUCAGGGAUAGAUAUAUGAGUCUACUCCUUCAAGUCAUCAUCUUCCAUUAUAAAUCAUUGCCUUCUACGCGAUGUUGUCGGACGAACCCUUUAUGGAGCAACAUCCAUAGACGUUCACGCAUUAUGGCUACAACUUUGUCGUCUCUACUUCUAGCACUACAUACUAAAAAAAAAAAGUUAAAAUCAAAUGAAUUAAGUAAAUACUAAUAUAAUAAAAAAUUAAAAUAAAAAAUAAUAAUUUAAAAAAUAUUUAUAAAAAAAUCAAACAACUACCAGAAAACUCAUGUAUGGUGUUUUCCGAUAGCUUCCGGAAAUGUCACGUUGAAGUUUGUCGGAGUUUGCUGGUAUUUUUUCCGAAAAACUUGAAAUAAGUUUCCUGGUAGUUCCAGAAAACUUAAAAAAUAAUUUUCAGAAGUGGUGUUUUGUACUGUAAAACUUUUUUCAUGUUUUUUGGAGUUGAAGUUGUGUCGAAAAACUUGAAAAAAUAAUACUCAUUUGUGUGUUUCAGUAAUGUUGAAAUGAAUAAAUAAAAAAUAGUAAUUUAUAUAUAUAUAUAUAUAUAUAUAUAUAUAUAUAAAAGGAUAUUUUUAUCUUUGCAUUAUAUUUUGAGGGACAGGAUAAAGGAGGGUUAUAUUGUAAAAUUUUCAAUUGAAAAAUACUAAAAGUCUCACAAUGAGUCACACCCAAUGAUCAUCGACCGAGGCGAUCAACUCUAUCUUCUAAGGCAUAAAGAAAAUGGUACUUCAACAAACAAAGAAAAUGGAACACAAAAGGAGAAAAAAAAGUGAAUUUCACAAUAUUUGAAAUGCAUUUAUAUUUAAACAAAUAUUAUAGGUAGAUUUUACAAGAAGCAAACUUAUUGAAUAUAGACAAAGAAGAGAAUGAAUAAAAAAAAAUGAAGCUGUUUAUUCGUGCAAUCUGAUCCAUAUUGUGCGUGUGAAAGCAAUAUUUCCGGGCAAAGGCAGUCUGUUAAGAAAGUGUUUGUUUGUUUUGGGGCCACAUUCCAUUCUAUUUACCAAGCGUGCUGCCAUUAACUCUCCCCAUUCACACUCCUAUCCCAUUUCCUCUUUCUCUCUCUUUCUCCUUAAAACCCGUCUUAAAAAAUACACAUACCUAUUUGCAAAAGUCAUUUUUCUAUUUCUAUUUCUUUCACGCCUCCUACAACCCUAUGGCGUUGAGAAGCAUUGCUGUUUUGAUCAUAACAAUAUUAUUAGAGAUUCAGAAUUUGUGCAUAUCGGCGGCGAUUAGCCGAGCAGAUUUUCCAAAUGGCUUUCAAUUUGGCACUGCCACUUCUGCUUUUCAGGUAAUUACUUCUACUCUCUAACUCACUUCACAAAAUACGGACUCUCAUUUUCUUUAGAUGGAAUAUAUAAAAUUUGUUUUGGUUUGCCUUUUUCUAUUUUUAUAAAUAAUAAUGAAGGAAAGUAGUAAAAGUGAAGCAAUUUCUCGAUGAACGUCUCUUUUUGUUUUUGUUUUAUUUUAUUUUAAUUUUAACGGUAGAUCGGUGGAAACAUAAAUAAAAUCUGAUGGAUAAUGAUUUUAGUGAUUAUUUUAACUCCGACUUUUAGUCUUUUUGGUUUUGUGAGAUGAAUGAAUGAGCUUUUUUUCUUCUUUCAUGCUCCUGGACAUACAUGAAGAUUUCAGAUGAUGAUAACGAAAAACGACACAACACAUCUUGUGUGUGUGUGUGUGUAUAAUUAACAAUAAGGAUAUAUACGCAUUUCAUAUUUUCAUACCUAUUAAACAUCUCUUCAUCUUUUUCUUUAUUAUACAUCAUUACUUUAUUAUAUUUUCAUACCUAUUAAACUUCUCUUUAUCUUUAUCUUUAUUACAUCAUUACUUUAUUAUAUUAUUAUCUUUCAUUUUUUAUAUAAAUCUAAUGAAGUGUACCCAAACAUUUUUCUAUAAUAAAUGAAUAAUGAAAAGCAAGUGUUUUGCGUUGUUAAUUAUGGAGUAUCUAACUAUGCCACACUCUCUAGUGAGUACUAUUUGGUUUCAAAUAUAAACAUAUGAAAGAAAAUUAAUUAUAAAAUUAUUUUAAGAUAAAUAUUAUUUAUAAUUUUCAAUAAAAUUUUAAAAUUAAUAUAUACAUAAUUUCUAAAAUAUUAUUAUAUUUUACAUGAUAAUAACAAAAAACUUAUCAAUAAUUAAAAAAAUUAAAAGAUAAAUUAUUUAUCUUAAUUAUUAUAUUUUUUAAUAUAAAUAAAAAAUUAAAUAAUACUCCACGGACAAAAUAUUUUAUUUAAAUUUUAAAUUAAAUAUAAUAAUUUUUUUAUAUUUGAAAUUCUAUUAAUAUUCAAAGUUGAAAAGAAUCGUAAUUAACCAACUUAAUUUGUCGGUUACUUUACCUGAUUUCUUGGACUCUGGGAUAAGGGUGACGAAUUAUGUUGCUCUUGCCUCUGCUUGAAAUUUCCCGUGAAGUAAUACUAGUAUAAGUAUCCUAUGGUGAUACUCCUACAGUCCUACUAUAAUUGAAAUUUUCAUUAAAUAUAAAAUAUAUUCAAUCAUUUUAUCGAAUUUUUGUGUGCCGUUAACACAAUACUAGUACAGUAAUUUAGAACUUUCCUUACAAUAGAUCAUAGAUGUUAGAUCUCGUUAACUAAUCAUAGUUAAAAUAGUUGAUGCCAACUCACUUGUAUGUUGGUGCGAUGCACCUGGAUUCCACCUUCUCGGAGCAACAUUGAAUAUCAUCAAGUGUUUUCUAGCGACUUCCAAUUCUAAAUCUAAUGAUCUUGAAAUCAAAAUCGGUUGUAUUAUUUGUAUAUUAAUUUUUGACACAAAUAUCGCAUUGUCUUUAUUGUCUUUCUGCAAAAAUAUUUUUUAAGAAAAGUAUUAAAACACUUUUCUAACAAACAGAUUUGUAUCUUUAAUUACUUCAACAUUUCAUUAACUAUUAAAAUAUAUAUGAUCACAUCUAUUUUAGGUUUUUUUUUUUAAUAAAAAAGUACUAUUCGAUAUAUAAAUACAGUGAUUAAUAAUCAUGAUGUCAAAUAUUGUGUUAAUUUUUUGUAUUUAAAUAUUAUUUUUGAAACUUAACUUUUACCCGGUUCUUUACAUAAGAUUCUUUUUGGAGAAAAUCUUAGUUUUUAAUAUAAAACAAACAUUACAAGUUUUAAAAUGUAUUUAUUGUUUAAAUAUUUUUUAUAUUCUUUUAAUUUUAUUAGAAAUAUAAUUAAUGUUUGUUUUAAUAGGUGUGAAAGCAUUUAAUAAUUUUUAUUUUACCAUUUCAUCUGCAGUUCAAGUUUAUUAUUUAAAUUAUUUGUCCUUUAAUUUAAAUUGAAAAACAUCAUUUUUAACGAUUAUAUUUUAUUUGGAUUGUGACAUCAAUUGGAAAACACCACUUUUUACUCUAGAUGAAUCACCAAUUUAAUAUUUUAAAAUUGUAGGUGCUGUGAAUUUAAUUAAUGAAAUUAUUACUAAUAUUUUAAUAUAGCAUUUCAAAUUGAAACAACUUUGAUCAUAUAUAUUAAUCAUUUUGAAUCCGUCAACUUAAACUUUUCAAUAAUUUGGUAGAGAUUUAAAUGAUGAGUAAUUUUCAAAUUCAAGAAUCAUUUUAAAAUUUUGUUGAUUUUAGAAACUAAAUUAAAUUGGUGAUUUUCUGUAUAUGUAACACUAAACGCGUAACUUUGUUUUAAAAGGUGAGUGUUAUUUGACUUUUAUGAUUCUAUAUAUCUUGUUUGAACAAGUGAUUUAUUAUGCGAUUUAACUUGUGUGUGUAGUAUGAAGGAGCAGUGAAAGAAGAUGGAAGGGGACCAUCUGUGUGGGAUACCUUUUCUCAUACUUUUGGUAAGACUCACUUCAUUGCCUUAUUUAUUGGAUACUGGUAUCAUUUUACUCGUUAAAUGUGUUUCAAAAUUAUCUUAAAUGCUUAUAAUAUAUAUGCUUUAAAAUGCUGGCUGAUCAUCACCUCACCUCACAUUUGUUACAGGCAAGAUAUCAGAUUUCAGCAAUGCUGAUGUUGCAGUGGAUCACUACCACCGAUACGAAGUAAGUAGUAACUAAUAUAGUUCAGUAUAUGUCUUAGCUUGCAGUGUAUGACACGCAGACUGUGUCUUAUACCUGUCUAAUGACACAGAAACAGACUGGAGUAUUACAGAACCAUUACUGUAUCUUAUACAUGAUAAUGUAACAAUAGCCACACUUACAUAGUUAGUUAACAGGUUACUGUGUCUUACAUUCAUUUAAAAAAUUGGUUAACAUUUAGUGUUGUCAAAAUAAAGAUACACAUAUAUUUAAAUAACACGUUAACACUAAACAAGGAAAAAUAAUAUGAAAAUUUCAAACCUGAGAAAAAAAUUACGACCAAAGAACAUUAUUUGAAAAUUGUUAUAACAUAUAAAUUUUUUUCAAAUAGUUUUAUAUUUCUAAUAUAACAAUACUAUUUAAAAAAAAAUAUAAUUAUCUUUGUAAAACUCUAAAAAAGAAAUAAAGUUAAAUAUAGCUUAAGAAGUGUUUUUGAUGUUUUUGAUUGGUGUAAAUUAUAAUUCCAAACAAUGCUAGAUUAUUUCAAUUUCCUAAGUUUCAACAAAAACUACACGUUUACACUGGUUUCUAUAGAAUGUGAGACGACAUAAACUAAUUGAAAGGAAAAUAUUUUGAAAUAUGUGCCAUUCACUGUUUGGUUAAGAGAGGAAAGAAAGUCUAAUUUAAGUGGAACCUAUAAAGAAAAACUUUAUGUCCACGUAUGCGAAGAAAGCAGUUAGAAAUACGCAAUGUGCUGAAAUCACUAAAUUCACGAUGUUGUAUUUUAUAUUUUUAAAGAAAAAUAUUGAUUUACUAUUAUAUUACACAAAGAUUCCAGAUUUAAAUUUAAGAAAAGACAUGGUCAUUUUAAUUAAGAUUUUAGAACUAUUAUAUUAUAAUAUAUAAAUAAAUAUACAUUUAUACAUAUAAAUAAUAUCCUAGUUUAAUAUAGGGAUAUUAAUAUCAUUCAAUAAAUAUACAUCUUUUCUUCAUAUAAUUUUCUUUUCAUUUUCAUUAAUCCCAAACAACUCUAAAAUCAUUUCACUUUCUAUCUUUUUUCUUAAACAUUAUUUCCUUUCACUUUCUUUCAUUUCACUUUCCUUUCUCAUCCAAACAUAGAAUUAGUUAUUUAAUCUCACCUCUUCUCAAAUGAACUACAGUUGCAGUAAUACAUAAGAUUUUACUAUUGCUUUAACGAUUGGUCAAAGGCUUGUUUUUUAACAUUGAUUUUUUAUUUUAUUUUUACAGGAAGACAUACAACUCAUGAAGGACUUAGGGGUAGAUGCCUAUAGAUUUUCAAUUUCUUGGUCCCGGAUUUUUCCUAGUAAGCAACUUUCAUACUCUUUAACUUCAAAAUUAGUAGUACUUGGUUUAAUGCUUUGUACUGGCAUUUUGAGCUGCAUUAUGUGAUGAAAUCAUUACACAAUGUUGCAGUUAACAAGUGUUAUAGUUCUGUGAAAUGUGGUUGUACAAUUUAGAGAGUGUAUAAACCAUGUUAGAUGGAAGUGGCCAAACUAUGUUGUACAAUUUUGACAGUUUCAGUUUAUGUGUGGAUAAGUUUUAAGCUAAUCUAAUAUCAUAAAAAUUUCAUUUGUUAGGUGGAAGUGGCCAAAUAAAUCAAGCGGGAGUUGAUCAUUAUAAUAAAGUCAUCAACUCAUUAUUGGCAAACGGUAGCUCUCGUUCUCGCUGUGUAAUUGUUUAAUUUGAUCAAUUAAUUGUGUAUUUUAACUUUGAACUUAACUGAGAUGCAUGCUUCUGAUUGCAUGAUCCAUUAAAUUUCUAGGAAUUGAGCCAUAUGUGACUCUCUACCAUUGGGACCUACCUCAAGCCUUGGAAGACAAGUAUACGGGGUGGCUCAGCACUGAGAUCAUGUAUGAGAAAUAAAGUUAUAUUUAUUAUUAAAUAAAAAAAAAUGAAGUUAUUUUAGACAUGAUUUUACAGUGUUACUAUGAGCCUGGUAAUGAAAAAAAAUGCACUUAAUUGAUCCCUGUAUGUUACAGUAAGGACUUUUCAACUUAUGCUGAGACGUGCUUCCAGAAAUUCGGAGACAGGGUGAAGCACUGGAUGACAUUUAAUGAGCCACAUACAUUUACUACACAAGGAUAUGAUCUUGGUAUACAAGCGCCUGGACGGUGUUCCAUUUUGUUUUGUAGGGCAGGGAACUCUACUACUGAACCUUACAUUGUUGCUCAUAAUGUCCUACUUAGUCAUGCAGCAGUAGCAGAUAUUUAUAGGAAAAAAUAUAAGGUAAAGUUAUGGAUUUUAUGAAUACUUAAAUUCUGGAGAAAUGAAUUUUUUAUUGGUGAAUAUAAAAAUUCCUUCCUGUUAAGAAUGCAAUGGAAUUAAUCAUGUUUGCAACUAGGCAGAAUCUUGUGAAAAUUCAAGUUGAGGUUCAUAUAAAAUUGUUCAGUGUGUUCCACUUGGCAUAUAAAGUAUAAUCUGCUACUAAUAAUUCUGUUAACACACAGAAUAUUCAAGGUGGAUCACUUGGUAUAGCUUUUAAUGUCAUUUGGUAUGAACCUGCCACAAACACUCAAAAAGACAUUGAAGCAGCUCAGAGAGCUCAAGAUUUUCAGUUGGGCUGGUAAGUCGUUCACAUUAUUAGUACCCCAUAGAUUGGAAUUUUCAUUUCUAUUGUUGAAGAUCAUUAACUAUGAAGCACCAAUAUAGACACAGAAAACGGACACGACAGUGAUACAAACACAUUAUCACUCAUAAUAAUUUUUUUUUAAAAUUUGAAUAUAACUACACGUGGCAUUGUCAGACACCAACACGUGUCUGACAUCGAGCAUGCCACAAUCUGAAGUGUCGGUGCUACACAUAAUUCAAUAAAGAAACUAGUUACCUUGUUCUUACAUUUGAAAAUAAAAGCCUACAAUUGUGUGUGAGAAAGAGAUAAUAACUCAAUCUUAAUUGUUAAAUGUAUUCAUGAUAGGUUUCUUGAUCCUUUGAUGUUUGGAGAUUAUCCAAGUUCAAUGAGAAGCAGAGUAGGAAACAGGCUGCCAAAAUUCUCUCCAUCUGAGGCUGCUCUUGUUAAGGGUUCAUUAGAUUUUGUUGGAAUCAAUCAUUACACCACAUUUUAUGCAAGAGACAAUUCUACUAAUUUAUUGGGAGCUUUGCACAGUGCUAUAGCAGACUCCGGUACCAUUGCCCUUCGUAAGUUUCAGACCAGACAUUAUCAAGCAAUCCUGUGCUUUAUAAUUUAGCUGUUUUGCACUGCUACUAAGUGAUUAUUUCCCUUCCCUUUUUUCAGCAUUCAAUGGCACUAAACCUAUUGGAGAAAAGGUAAGUUCUACAUACAUAAUUGAAGCAUUAUUUUUUUUCCUGUUGAAAUAAUGUCUGUAAUGUAAUUUUUUGUCCUUCUUGGCCUCUUGUACUUAAAUAUAAUGUUCAAUUAUAAAGAACUCUACUUUUAAUAACCACAUAAACAGAACUACUAAGUCUAUUACCUCAAUUGAAGUUCUGUCAAUGGCUUAGUUUCACUAAUCUAUAAGUUCUGACUUGCAGGCAAAUUCUAUAUGGUUGUAUAUCGUGCCACAGAGUAUGAGAACCUUAAUGAACUACAUCAAACAAAAGUAUGGGAACCCUCCUGUCUUCAUCACCGAAAAUGGUAAUCUUCAUACUCUUAUAAUAUCCUGAAAUUCAUGCUUGCAUUUAUUAAUUGAAGUCUGCCAUAAAUUACAAGUUUAUAGUAGCUAGGUGUUUAUGAUAAAGUAUAACAUAUAUAUUUUAAUAACAGAAUAAAAGUUGCAAGCUAAAUCUUAUUUGUCAUGGUUUUAACAGGGAUGGAUGAUCCAAAUAGUAUAUAUAUCCCCAUUAAGGAUGCUUUGAAGGAUGAGAAACGGAUUAGAUACUACAAUGGCUAUUUAUCUUACCUCUUGGCUUCUAUCAAGUAUGUAAUACUUAUUAUUAUUACCUAUUGGUACAUAAAUGCAAUACAUGACCAAUUUUUGAAGCCAAUAAAUUAAUGUACUAUUGUUUUGGCUAAUUGCAGAGAUGGUUGUAAUGUGAAAGGAUAUUUUGCUUGGUCAUUGCUGGAUAAUUGGGAGUGGUCAUCUGGAUACACUUCUAGAUUUGGUCUGUUUUAUAUUGACUACAGAGACAACUUGAAGAGAUACCCAAAACAAUCUGUCCAAUGGUUCAAGAACUUCUUGAAACCAACUAAAUAGUUGUAUUAAAUUAUAUGGUUGUAUUUUGAAUAAUAGAAUUUAUAUUUAAUUUGAAGUGAAGUUAUAUAAUUUGACUCCUAAAUUAUUUGUGUUUGAAACUUAUAAAAAUAAUAUUUGAAUUGAUUUGUAAUUUUUUAUAGUUGGAACACUUUAUAAAUUAAUACAAUUUAUUUUAUUUAUCAUGAAAUACAAAUAUUUUUUCAGAUGUGUUAGCUUGGUUUCAACUCCCUGACCAGAAAUUCUCUAUUUUGCAAUUUGUAUACUUACGGUGAGAGAUAUAAAUGUUUUGAUUUUCUAACUAAUAGCUAAUGAGAAUCGAAUCUUUUGAUUGAAUUGGAUUGUAUAAACCAUAAAAAUAAAAAUAAAAAUAAAAAAUAAAAAGCUAAUUAGAAUAUAAUUUUUUGUUUGAAUUGUGUCAGAUAAACCAUCCCUUUCCUUAGUUUGCAUAUUUUGGAAAAUACUAUUUAGUAGACCACAACUGAAUUAAUAGAAAAAACUAAAUUGGAUCUCCUACAACAGAACUUCUUUAUAUCCCUCUUUAACAUUUUAUUCUUCUUUAUAUCACUUUUUAACAUUUUAUUUUCUCUGCUUCUCUCUAAAAUUUUUUGCUUUUUCUCAUUAUUCCCUUUUUUCUCUCUUAAAAAUAGUUUUUUGAGGUCCGUAUUUUGUUAGCUAGAAAUGAAUACAAUGAAGAUAUAACACUAGUAAUUUGUCCGUAUUUUGACCUCCGUAUAAUGUUGUGACAAAUACAAUUCUUUUGGUCAUUUAAUAAAAACAACACAAUUUAAAACAAAAUUACACGUUACUUUCUUUCCUUUUAUUUGCAAAAAUUUCAAGUAGUAAGAUGUAGUUAUAGUAUAUCGUACUAUAUGUUAGAAUGAAAUUUAGUUAACUUUUGAUAGUAAAUAAAGUUGAUUCUUUUUAUACAUACAAGAUUUUACAAAUAAAAUAGAGUAAAUAAAUAUGGAUAUUACCCUCAAGAGAAUAAAUUAAUAAUUUUUUAUUAUUGAAUAAAGAUCUAUUUGGUCUCUACAAAAAAUUUAGAGACUCAAUUUAAUCAUUGAAAAAAAUAAAAAUACUUUUUAAUUUAAAAAAGAAAAAUCAAUCGGACCAAAUUAGUCAUUGUGUGAACCACAAUUAAAAAAUUGAGAUUUUUUUUGUUCACUUGUUCGAUAACUCAUCAACUUGAUUAUUCCACAUAUAAAAAAUGACAAUUAAAUCGUUAACAAUAAUUAAAAAUAGACAAAUAAAUCUUGACAAGGACUCUAAACUUGUCCAUUUACUCUCUAUAUCAGAUAAUUAUUUAUUUAUUUUUAGUUAUUUUCAAUGAAUUAAUUGUCUCUUUUAAUAAAAAUUAUAUAUGGAAUAAUGAAGUCGAUGAGUGAUCGAACAAGUUAGAAAAAAAAUUUCAAUUUUUUAAUUGUAGUUCUCAUAAGAACUAAUUUUGUCUAAAUUAUUUUUUUUAGGGACUAAAAAGUGUUUUUAAAAUUCUCAAUGAGUAAAAUUUUUCAGAGACCAAAAUAAACUUUUACUCUUGAUUAUUUAAUUCCUAAAAUAUUAAAAUACACAUAUUUUUUUUUUAAAUAUCUAUAUUAAUAAUUAAUUGUUAAUUUUAUUAAAAUGAUUAAAUUAAACGCAUAAUCUAUUAGUCACUUUAACUUCACCAAACCAUUUUACACUUAUUAAAAAUACACACAUGUAAUCCCUAGAGUUUUAAAAAAAUUGCAACAACAUAAUCCAUCAUUGUUCAAAACUGAUUUUUUUUAGGCAAUGACGAUUAUAAAUGGGAUUGCCCUAUAAAGUAAAUUAGGACACUCCUUCAAACUUUGGUUGCUAUAUGCAAAUCAUGAAUUUUGAGUCUUAUUAUAUAUAUAUAUAUAUAUAGAUAUAUAGAUUGAUAGUCUUCAAUAUUAAAAUCUAAAUAUUAUAUAAGUAUUGGAAAUGUUAAUACCAAAUCAAAAAAAUAUUAUACCAAAAUUAGUUAUAUGUGUUUCUUUUUAUAAGAGAUAUUUAGAUCAAUAAUUUUUAUAUAUAUAUAUAUAUAUAUUUGAUUUAUAUUAUGAAUUCAAUACAUUAAUUUUUUUUAUUCAAAUAUCUUUUAUUAAAAAUAUCGAAGGUAGUAUUUAUUAACCCUUAACAUGUUGUAGUAACAACAUCUAUCAUUAUAUUAAUCUUUGAAUAUUAUUCUCUUUGCAUUUUUACUGCUAAAUCAUUUAUAACUUGCUUAUAAUUAAAAUUCUUUAAAAAAUCAUUUUCAAUUAAAAUUCAAGUAAGACUAUAAGCUAUGAAUGCAUUACAAAAACAGUGAAAUGUUUUAAGAAAAUUCAAUAUUUAAUAUCAUAAAAUUUAAUUUUGAUUCAAUUGUUAAAAUCUCUUUAAUAAUUUUUAAUUAUUCAAAUACAGUUUUACCGUCAAGAUCACAAGAACUAUCAUGUUUCAAAUAAGUUUUUCAAUACUUUUGCAAAAUAAUUUCAAAUUUUCAUUAUAAAAUGACCUAAGUCUCCUCAUAUAUGCUAUAUUGUUUGAAUAUUCUAUUAAGUGAAUCAAUUGUUUGAUCUAUAAGAUAAUAAAAAAUAAUAAAUCUUUAAAAGCUCUUUAGCAGACAAAAUGACGGUGAAUUUGUAUUUUUUGUUAAAUAUAUUUAGUUAAAAAUUAUUUUAAUACAACAAAAUUAUUUUUAUUAAAUAUUUUAGCCUAAAAAAUUAGUUUAUUAAGUAUAUAUACUUGAUACAAAUUGAGGUUUAAAGAUGUAGAGCUUUGUAAGGCUGCACUUCUCAUACACUUUUAACUCUCUAAAGUUAAUAAUUCAGUAAAUUAAAUUGCUCUAGAAAGUCUUUUAGUAAGUCACAUCGGUGCUCAAUCCGUGUUCCAAUAUUGAAUGGAUUGUCACAUAUGCUUUUACCCUUUAAAUAAAAUAAUUAAACAAUAAUUUGCUUAUUAAGUGUCUAAUGACAUUUGUUAAAAAAAAUAAAAAUAGAAGAUUUGUAUUAAAAACAAUAAAUUUUACACAUUUAAUUUAUUUAAAUAUUUUUAUGAGUUUCGUUUUCCUCCGUAUUUUGUUUUAUUUAUUUGUAUUGGAUAAUAUUUUUAAAAUACCGUAAAUAAUAGUUAGAUGUUUGGAAUGCCACGUAAUUAGACCAUGGAUGGACAGAUCUAUAUGUGUGAGUGUGAGGCUCAUGUCCCCGCUAUGUUUUGAAUUACAAAUAAAUAAAAGUUUGACCUUUUGAUUAGUGUCCACGUUAAUUAAAACAAUAUUUGACCAAUGACUCACACCUAUUUAAAUAAUAUUUUGUUUGUUAGAGAGAGAUAUUUUGAUUUAUGUUGAAAAUAAAAAAUAAUGUAAUAUUUUUUAGAUAUGAAAAAUCAUAAAGAAUAAUUGUAAUAUAAAAUUAUAUUUUUAAAAUGAAAUGUUAUAAUAUACAUAUAUAUAUAUAUAUAUAUUUAUUGCCCCUUCUCCAAUUUUCUGGAUCUGUUUCUAAGUUAGAAUAGUUGUAAUCUUAAUAUUGUUCUUGCCUAAUUGGUUUUUAUUUAAAUAAAAAUAAAUUUUUAAAUAUUUUAUAUACUAAUAUAAUAAAAUUUAUAUAAUAUAAUAAAUUAAGUAAAAAUUAAAAUAUUGAGUGUUGUAAUACAUAAUUUUAAUUGAUAAAUAUCAAUUGAAUAUCAUAUUUUAAAUUUAAAUUCGAGAUCUCACAAUUUAAAAUAAAAUUUACCAUUAUGCCUACAUGUAAAGAUCUGUUUAGUUAAAUGAAGGAGAAGAAAUUUAUUUUAAUGAAUGAGAAAAGAGGGAAAAUGAACAUGUCACAGAAAAAAAAUAAAAAUUUCAAAAAUUGUUUCCCUUAUUUGUUAUCCAUCAAAAGUGAGAGAAUGUGAAAACUAUACAGUGGGUCCUACACGUAUUGUUUCUAUUUUGAAAAGAAUUUUUUUUUUUACAAUUUUACCCUUAAUUUUUUUUAUCAUUUAUUAUUUUUUGAGCUAUUUUUGUCAUUUUAAAACUAUAUCACUUUUUUUUUCUCUCACUUUCUACACAAUCAAACAAAAAAAAAAAAGUUUUUAUCUUUCUUUUCUUUAACUUUUUUUCAAAUCAAACAACUAAAAAAUUAUCUUAUUUUUUUAUUAGAUUUAAAUAAAUUUUUUUUAUCUUUAUAUAUAUAUAUAUAUAUAUCAUAUUUUAUCUUUAAAAAUUAUAUAAAAAGGUUUUUAUAAUAUUAUUAUUAAAAAAAAUCAUUCAAAAAUAAAAAUGAUUUAAACACUUAAUACGAAAGGACGAAAUUUGGUGAAGAGAUAGUAAUGGUACUACUAAUAGUUAGAGAGCCCUCCCUGUCGUGACUAUUUGCACCCCCACAUUUUGUUUAGAUCCGCAUUACUAUUUUCUUGCUCCCCAGAAACACAAAAAACGACCUCUCUAUUCUUCUUCUGCACCACCGCCACUUAUCAAAGGUAACUUCAUCUAUUUCUUUUUGUCCUUUGGGUGGGAACCCUGUCUCUGUCGUUAGAUCUUUACUUAGGUUAUUUUUUAACUCAACCAAUUCUCUGGAUCUGCUAUCAUUUCUUAUUUUAUUAUAUGCCAUAAUUUACAUUCUUCAUUUUGUCUCUUGUUUAAUAUGUCUGCAUGUGCAUAGAAAACACAACUGAUUCAUUUAACUUGCAUUUUCUUUGCGAAUGUCUUUUCGAUUUAGUAUUCUUUCUUAAUCUUCCCAAUUCAGAACUACAGAUCCUUUUAUCUGCCANNNNNNNNNNNNNNNNNNNNNNNNNNNNNNNNNNNNNNNNNNNNNNNNNNNNNNNNNNNNNNNNNNNNNNNNNNNNNNNNNNNNNNNNNNNNNNNNNNNNNNNNNNNNNNNNNNNNNNNNNNNNNNNNNNNNNNNNNNNNNNNNNNNNNNNNNNNNNNNNNNNNNNNNNNNNNNNNNNNNNNNNNNNNNNNNNNNNNNNNNNNNNNNNNNNNNNNNNNNNNNNNNNNNNNNNNNNNNNNNNNNNNNNNNNNNNNNNNNNNNNNNNNNNNNNNNNNNNNNNNNNNNACAUAUACAGAUCUUUUUAUCUGCCAAAUAUAUAUAUAUAUAUAUAUAUAUAUAUAUAUAUAUAUAUAUAUUUUAAAUAAUUAUUAUUUGAUGCAUCAGUAUUGUUACUUUAAUAUAAAAAUUAAUGUUUUUUAAAAUAUGUGAAGGGAUUAACAUAUACCAAAUUGGAUCAUCUACACCAUUUCCCCCUUUAAGCUCUCUCCAUCUCUCUUAUCAAUCCUUUUUCUCUUUCUUACCUUUUUUUCUUUAAUAUUUUCUAAAAGAACUUAUUAGAGAGAGUGUAGAGGAUUCAAAUAUAAAAUAUACUAGUACUACCAACAUUCCAUUGGUUUGAAUAGACUCGGAUCCCUUAACCAAGGCAUCAUCAGGUUUGAACCUUCUGGGCUGAAUAAAUGUGGUCGGAAGGGGAGCCUCUACUAUAGGUGAUCACUAGCCACAUUCUCCAGCGGAAAUUAGUCAUUGAUGGUGGAUACUUUACAUCAAUACCCAAAAAUAAUUUGAGCCAUUAACUACACUAUUUAUAAGCAUUUUAAAGUAAUAAGCUUUGUUGUUAUGUUAUUUUGAUUUUAAUACUCGUGUCCGCAGUUGAGGUUGGGGAGAGCAAAGAUGGUGAAGAUUUGUUGCAUUGGAGCUGGGUAUGUUGGUGGUCCAACAAUGGCUGUGAUUGCCUUAAAGUGUCCUGAUAUUGAAGUAACUGUGGUCGAUAUUUCAACGCAGCGAAUCAACGGUUGGAACAGUGAGCACCUACCUAUCUACGAGCCAGGCCUUGAAGAAGUGGUGAAGGAGUGCAGGGGAAGGAACCUUUUCUUCAGCACUGAUGUGGAGAAACAUGUUGCACAGGCUGAUAUAAUCUUUGUCUCUGUCAACACCCCGACAAAAACUCACGGUCUUGGAGCUGGCAAAGCUGCUGAUUUAACAUACUGGGAGAGUGCUGCUAGAAUGAUUGCUGAUGUUUCUAAGUCGGACAAAAUUGUGGUUGAAAAAUCAACUGUACCUGUUAAAACUGCUGAAGCAAUUGAGAGGAUUCUAACUCAUAGUAGGAAAGGCAUCAAUUUUACUAUUUUGUCAAACCCUGAAUUUCUUGCAGAAGGUACAGCAAUGAAAGACCUUUUCAAUCCGGAUCGUGUCCUUAUUGGAGGUAGGGAAACCCCAGAAGGGCAAAAGGCUAUAGAAACUCUGAGAGAUGUUUAUGCUAAUUGGGUCCCUAUGGAGAGAAUCAUUUGCACCAAUUUGUGGUCUGCGGAACUCUCUAAGCUUGCCGCUAAUGCCUUUUUGGCACAGAGAAUAUCUUCUGUGAAUGCCAUGUCAGCAUUAUGCGAGGCAACUGGUGCUGAUGUCUCCGAGGUAUCGCACUCAGUUGGAACAGACUCAAGGAUCGGACCUAAGUUCUUGAAUGCUAGUGUUGGUUUUGGUGGCUCUUGCUUUCAGAAAGAUAUAUUAAACUUGGUCUAUAUUUGUGAAUGUAAUGGCCUUCCUGAGGUAGCAAAUUACUGGAAGCAGGUGAUUAAGGUGAACGAUUAUCAGAAAAGUCGGUUCGUGAACCGAGUUGUUUCGUCAAUGUUCAACACAGUUUCAUCUAAGAAAAUUGCUAUUCUUGGUUUUGCUUUCAAGAAGGACACAGGCGAUACAAGGGAAACACCGGCUAUCGAUGUGUGCAAGGGUUUGUUGGGAGAUAGGGCAAGGUUGAGCAUAUACGAUCCUCAAGUUACUGAAGAGCAGAUCAUGAAGGAUCUUUCAAUGAGGAAGUUUGAUAAGGACCACCCUGCUCAUCUUCAACCACCAAGUCCAACUUCAAUAAAGCAAGUUUCUGUGGUUUGGGAUGCUUAUGAGGCAGUGAAAGAUGCACAUGGUGUUUGCAUUAUGACUGAGUGGGACGAGUUUAAGAAGCUUGAUUACCAAAAGGUUUACGACAGCAUGCAGAAGCCAUCAUUUGUAUUUGAUGGUAGGAAUGUUGUGGAUGUUGAUAUGCUAAGGAAAAUUGGAUUUAUAGUUUAUUCUAUUGGUAAGCCACUAGAUCCAUGGCUCAGGGACAUGCCUGCAGUUGCUUAGAAGGAAACAUCAGUCUCGAGACAAUGCCUCCUUAUUCUUUCUUAUUCUUACCAUUACAUUUAUCAUGUUCUUAUGUCUCUUUACAUUAGUUCUGUUUUAUCAGAUCUUUUGGCAUAUUAGUUAUAAAUUUUGUUUCUUUAGCUACCUAAAAUUCCAAUAUCCUAACAUCCAGUUCUAUGUAAUAAAUAACAUAUCACUAAAGGGAUUCUAUACAAUGGACAGCAUUUCUUUUAUUUUUAUUGGAUUUGAUCAUUGCUAUACUAGCAUUACUGGGAAGGAUUUUUUUUUAUACUAUCAUUUAGUAAUAUCUUGAAAACCGUGAAAGAAUUUUAACUUUUACGAGUUUAGUUUUUAGAAUAACUAAAUAGACACCCACAUACCAACUUGUUUGAGUUUUAUUAAGAGUCUUACAUUGAAUGAGAGAAGGUACGAUAAAAUGUUUAUAAGUAGUGGGUAGUCCUCUCUCUAUAGGUCGGUUUUGUGAAAAUUGUGAAGGGUCUAUCCAAAUUCUAAGAUAAUAUUAGAGCUUAUCCAAGAUCUAUUGAGUCACAUGCUAUUAGGUCCCCGUUACUGGGUGGGUCACUUCCAGAUGUCUAGGACGUAACUUAACCUUUGAAGUCGGUUUUGUGGAGGUUAUUAAAGGUUCAACCUAAAUUCUAAGAAGACUAAACCAAACUAAACCAAUCAAGUUCAAUAUCUAUUGAUUCAGGUAUUAGUUUUACAUCAUUCAAAAUCAAUCACCUAACCAAACCAUUAUAUUUUAUAAUUAUAUCUUUUAUUCCACUCUAUAUUAGUAUAUUUAUCUUUAAAAAUUAUAUUAUGUUACAUUCAUAUAGUUUUUUAUAAUUAUAUUUUUUUUAUUGUAGCUUAUAUGUUUAUUUUAAUUGUAUAAAAAGUUUAUAAUGUUAAAAUAAAAGUUAAUUUAUUUUAAUUUAAAAAAAAUAUCAAUCCGACAAAACCAAAUCAAAUUAUUCAAUUUUUCAUCGAUUUAGUUUAGUUUAGAUUAAUUUUCUACCAAAAACCGAACCAAACCUAUGAUACACCAUAUUUUCAAGUUUUAACUCUAAGCAAUUAAGCUAAAGGUCCCGUCAAAAAGAAAAUCAAUUAGCAAUUAAUCACAUAUCGCAUCACUGUAUCAUUUAUGAAAAUGAAGACCUAAGUGUUGUGGUGGUAGAUGCUGGAGUGGGUAAGAAUCCAUAUUGCACAUUAGGCAAGCAAAGCACAUCUCUACAAUAGUGGGUUGACCUGUGAUCUUAAUGAAAGCAAAGGCCACCCAAAUUAGUGUGAGCUUAGGCGAAUAAUUAAUUAUGAGAUAAAUCUUCUAUCUAUAAGUUUUUAAAUCAAGGAAUUCCCACGAGCACGAGUAGUAAUUAGUCUAGCGAAAUUAACUGAAAUUUAUGUAAAAAAUUUAAUAUUUUUGUAACAUAUUUUUUUAUAUAUUAGGUAAAAACUAAUCUGUCGAAAUAAGUAAAAUUUAUUUAAGAGAUUUGAUUUUUCACUAACAUGUAUUUUUAUGAGUUAAUUUGAAAUCAAACCCAUAGUUAAAAGGUUAAGAGAUACAAAUGUCUUCCACCUAUUUGAGAUCAUAUUAAUUAUAUAUGUAUAAGUUUUGUUCAAGAAUUCAAGUCCUCCAAAGCGAGAAAUUUAUGUUAGAGUGUAAAAUAAAUAUAAUGAACCAUUGACUAUUAAUCAACAAAUUAAAGAUAUAUAUCACAAGUAGUAUUAACAAAUCAAGAAUUUCUUGAAUUAACGAUCAUUAAUUAAUUGUUAUUUUACACUUUACUCACAUAUUUGAAAUAAUGAGGACAUAAGCUCAUAAAAAGGUAACACAAAGCAACUAAACGAGGGGACGAAACCCCAACUACAUCACCAAGAAGCAAGCGUAAUAGUGGCAGCACAGUUGUUCAAAAUAGCUAAACUAGUGCCUUCCAUAGACCCAAUGUUGUCAAAACUAAUAACACAUACGUUGGCUUCAUGAUAAGUGUGACACACCUUCACUCCCAUUCAAGCUCAAGAAGCUAUUGAAUCUUCUCCACAAGAGGACAACUUGGAACACUACCUAAGCCUUUACUAGUAAUUUUGCAUGUGAUUAGUCAUUAAAAAAAAUGACUGAGCUUGUGUAACAUUGCAUAUUUUUCUAUUCCUCCACAUCCAAAGAUAAUGAUUAACCAUUGCCAAAAAUGCACUCCAAUCUACACCAAGAUUAUGACUUGCAUGAAAACAUAUAUUAAGAUCAAUCCAAUAAGAGAUUUUUAUUAAGAAAAAUUGUUACCUAUGUUCACGAGGAACCUUGUUACACCAAACUGCAGUCUCACAAGACACGAGUAAUGGUCUCUCAAACGCAUCUUGUACUUCCUCUGAGGUUAGUUUAAGGUGUCUAUGCUCGCCGUUUUUUCAAUUCUUGAGUUUCAACACAUAUUGUGCCCAUAAAAACUCACAUUGUGCCCCUAAUAAAUUCAACAUGUGGUUAGUAAGUUUAACUAGAACUAAUUUUAUAAAACCAAUUAAUUUACCAAAAAUUAUUUUUAUCACUGGAUAAACAAAUACACAAUAUUCGUUAUAAAUUGUUGAAUUGCUUGUUUCUUUAUGAGCUCACACUCACACGUGUAUAGAAUCAAUAUAUUUGGUUAGAAAUCUGACCUUUUAUUGGUGAAUGGUUAGAAUUCCAAAUUCUGUCUCCGUUUCAAUAUUUCAUAUUUUAACAUUAAUAACAGAUAUUGUAGUUGUAACUUGUAAGCAAAGGAUACUCAUGUUUCAGUCUUAAAUAUAAAUAUACAACUUAUUUUCACUUUAUUUAACGUCUAUACUAAUUUUUUUUUCAUUUAAUGUACAUUUAAUUUUCCAAUACAACUUUUAUUCUCACGAAAUAAAUUUUUAUAAAGUACAUAUUCUAAUGGUCAUGUUAAGAAUAUAAUAAUAAAAUUUGGAGCUUUCUAAGAUAAAUACACUAUUUUUAAUAUAUUUUUUGUUUUAUAAUAGAUGGUAAAUUUAACUUUAAUUAACUCAAUGCGAGGUCUAAAUAUGAACCACGAUCAACGUAACACUAAAAUUUAAAGACUUCAAUAUAAUUUAUUUAACAAAUAUUUUAAAGACACUUGUUAGUAUUUUUUAUUAUUUUAAAAUACAUUUAUAUUCAAGAAUUAGUAACACUUACAAUGAGAGUCCAAAACUAUAAAUCUUAUAUUUAAAAUAAAAUGAAUUAAAAAUACAAAAUGAAUUUAACGCGUCAAAGAAUCAUUUUUAACUCUUUCUACCGUAAAACCAGACACACACAGUUUUGGUUUUGGAUACUUCAUUUUUCAUGUGCCAUAUAUGGUAGUACUAUCCAAAGGCCUAAACUGUAGAGAUCUUGAAAAGUAUAAAGAAAAAUCUUGGCCGUCCAAAAGAACUCCCAAUGGUCCUCACACGUAUACACGUGUCACCAAUGACACAUAUUUAUUUUUAUUUAUUUUCCUAAUUUGAGUAAUGAAGUUGCUUUCAUGCAUGGAAUUCUCCUCCAACUACUGCGCCCAACACAAACAAGAGAAAAGAAAUAGUCAUCACCUCUUAUUACUUGAAGCCACCCCAAUUGUUCAAAACGAAACUCCUAUUCGAGAUACACGAUACAUUAAAUAUAAAUACAUCUUUUAUAUGAUAUUUUUGAACACUCAAUUCCGUUAGUUUCAGAAUCCCAUAUUUAAUCCUAACAAAUAAAAAAAUACCAUUUUUAUAUUUUAUAUUUUAUAUUUUAUUUUGAUAUUUUCACAAGGCCAUUUAAUUAAAUAAAAAUUUUGAUCAUUCUAUAGGGAACGGAAAUGAAGGGGUCUCUCCCCUUUUUGUGGGUCGGAUCUUCUCUUGUUGUUGUACUUAUACAACUGUCACAUCUCAUCCUUCUCUUGAACCAUUCUCAUCAUCAUAACCUUAUUCAUUCAUUAUAGUUAAAGCAAUCAACUUUCUUCAUCUUCAUCUCUUUUUUGUUUUUGUUUUUGUUUUCAACUUCAAAUUCAUUCAUCCAUCAGGUAUGUGAUGAUCAUAUAGUUUAAUUUAUUUGUUGUGUUAUUUAUAUAUAUAUAUAUAUAGAUCAGAUUCAAUGGAAGAUAGAAAGUUUGUGUGCAAAUAUUGCUUGAAGAGGUUUCCUUGUGGAAAGUCUCUUGGUGGUCACAUCAGAACACAUAUGAGUGAAGAAAGAAACAAUGCUGCUGCUUCUGCUUCUGCUUCUGCUUCUGCUUCUGCUUCUGCUGCUGCUUAUAGUGACAUUUUCAAGUUUGAUUGUGUGAAAAAGAAGAGAGAUUUAGCUUCUGAAGAAGCUGUUGGUGGUAAUGGAAAUCCAAUUUAUGGUCUUAGAGAAAAUCCCAAGAAAACAACCAGGUUUGUGCAUUCUGCAACAACUUUGGAAAAUGAAAUGAUCAAAUUCUGCAAAGAAUGUGGAAAAGGGUUUCCUUCAUUGAAAGCACUUUGUGGUCACAUGGCUUCUCAUUCUGAGAAAGAGAAAAAGAUUGACAAGGAAAAAUUGGUUAUUGAUACUGAUGAAUCUGAUGAUGAUGACGACAACGACGACAAUACUGAUGAUGAUGAUGAUACUUGUGAUACAACAACAACAAUGAAUCUAAGGAAAUCAAAGAGAAUGAGGUUCAAGUCUUUAACUUUUUCUAAUCUUCAAUCUUCUUCUGUUAAUGGUUCUUCAUCUGUGUCAGAGGUGGAACAGGAACAAGAAGAGGUUGCUAUGUGUUUGAUGCUUUUGUCUAAAGAUUUUAGCCAAAAGGGUCGUUUUGGUUCUGAGUCUUCUGAUAAUAACUCUGUUGUUUUAGAGACAAAAUCAAAAGCUUCUUCUCAUGCUGCUGCUAAGAUUGUUAUCAGGAAAAAUGGCAGUAACAAAUUUGUGUCUAAUAAUGAUGUUCAUGAGUUUGUGGAGAAUAAGAAGAAGGUUGUUAAGGAUAUGAAGUUAAAGUCUGUUGUUGGAAUUGGUGUUUCCAAUGAUUCAGAUUCAAGGAAUUUUAGAUAUAGUUCAAAGAUUAAAUUUUUGGAAUCAUCCAAUGCUUCAAACUGUGAAUUCAAGAGGCCAAAAAUGGAAGAAGAAAAAUCUGGAUUUGAUGAUUUCAGAAGAAGCAAAUGCAAUGUAACUAUGUUUAAGAAAUCAGGGGUAAAGGAUUUGGAUCAUAGUGUUAAGAAAAAUGAAAGUACAGCAAGAAAAAUUGAUUCAAGAAAGAAAGAUAACUAUGAAGAAGGAUUUGGCUUUAAAAACAAUGAAAAAAGCAAUGAGAAUGGUAGAAAAAGUUGGAAAUAUGAGUGUUUUGAUAGUGAAAAAAAAGACAAUGAUUGUUAUGAUUAUUCAACAAGUGAAGAGAGUGAUGAAAACAGUUCAGAAAGUGAUUCAUUUACUGCUGCAAAGUCUCAUCAUAACAAUAAAGCUGUGAAAAGAAAGAAAUCAAGCAAAGGUAAGAAGAAGUUGAAGUCAAAGAAGAGCAAAGAAUAUGAGUGUCCAAUUUGCUACAAAAUUUUCAGGUCAGGACAAGCAUUAGGAGGACAUAAAAGAUCACAUUUUGUUGGAGGAUCUGAAGAGAACACUUUGGUGAUUAAACAAGGUGCUCCAUGCUUGAUUGAUCUUAAUCUACCUGCUCCUAUUGAUGAAUAAAGAAAAGGGUAUUUUUGUUUUUAUUUUUAUUUUUAUUUUUACUUUUACAUCAUUUUGAAGCAUCUUCUACUGAGGUACCUUGAUGAAUAUUUCGAAUUUUAAGAUUUUUUUGUUGUUGUCAUUAUCCCAUAUGAUGAAAGCAAUUGCAAUGUACAGCCAGCCAUGUGGGUAAAAUGAUUUAUAUUUUGUGUUCUUUAAUGCUUUAGUAUAUCUUUUAUUUUGUAGGAAAUAGUUGUUUUUAAUUACUUUCUUGUUAAUAAUGGAACAUGACAAUUUGGUAGUUUUUUCAUUAGAGAUUUUUGUUUCACACCCUUCAUUGAUUCAAUCAAUAUUCCAAAUGUCUGUAUUUACAUGUUUUUAUUUUUGGGUGAUUUUUUAAUAUUUGAAGAAAUGAAUUAAAUGAUUAACUAGUAUAAAGUAUAAAGUAUACUAGUGCUUCAUAUUGAAGAUGAAGUUAGUUCCUCUUUGCAAUGCGUGACUAGCUAGCCUUUUGGGACACGUGAUUAUGAGAAAAUGACUAAUUCAACAUUCAAGUUUCAAUGGUUAUUAUUAACUUUUCAUUGCUUUGUAAAUUAAUAAUAGAGUCCGUAGUGGUGGAAGAGGCAAUUCGAAGGUUGAAUAAAAGUGUGAUUUUCUUUUGAAGUUACAAAUAAGCAUUUUUGUUUUUUGGUCCAACUUUACUAUGUGUGCAUCUCUUAACAUAAAAUUCAGUUAUUUGGUCAAUCCAUCAUUCCCGUGAUAUGUGCGGCGCCUUAGAGCAAACUGUUAUGUUUUGUUACUCCAAUUUUUCAUCCUUUCGAAUUUUAUUAUUAUUCUUCCAUUUAAGCUUUAGCCAAAUACUAACAAGUGCCAUAGUAAUUUAAUUUUAAAAAAUAUAAAAUUGAAAAUGUAGUACAGAUAAUUGUUAGCAUGAUUUUUUUUUAAAGUGAUAUAUCAAAAAAAUCAAAUAUAAAAAUUAUUUUUGUAACAUAAAAUUUCAACUUUUGCAUCUUUAACAAAUUAACUAUCAAUAUACCAAUAUGACCAUUAAAAAAAAUCUAAUUAAAAUAGAAGAGACUAAUGUGAUGUGAUCCAUAUCCAUAUGAAAUGCUAAUGAAGGGUAAUUAAUUUGAAUAAGUAUGAGCAAAUUAGGCUUUUAAUUUGAAUUAAUAAUUGAAGAUAAAAUAGUGGGUUGAGGUGGUUGUAAGGUCGCCUAGCAGUUAAGGUAAGCAAAUUAAGCAUAUAAUUGCAGCAUGUGUACGUGUCUAACACGUAGUUCUAAUAGUAGAAGAAUUUGUAUGCUUUUUUCCUUCAUGCCAAUUACUAUUUGUGGUGUUGCCUAUUCAAUUCUUUUUUCACCGGUUGGUGUGUAUGAGAGGACCACACUUGUAUUAUACUCAUGUGGGGCUCAACACACAAUCUUCAUGCACUUAUCAACAAAACUGUAAGGUCUGUGGAAUCAUUACAUUCAGAUAAUGCUCUCAUACGAGGAUUGCAAAAAGAUUUAUUACUACUGUAAUUAAAUUUUGAGACCACUUACAACUAUUUUUUAUCCCAACAUAUUUAGUGUUUUUUUUUAUUUCUUAAAAUUUUAUCUUUAUUUACAUAAUUAAAUAAUUUAAUUUAAUCAUAAUUUUAAUUUUGAAUCAAGUCAAAUUUGAUAUAAUCUUUUUUAAGAAAAUUGGAGAAAGAGAAGUUAUUAGUAAUUAAACUAGUACUAACGGUCAUUUCAUAACACUUUAAAGUAAUAAUUUGAAUUUAAUCUAAACUAAUACUAAUUCAAAUUUGAAUUAGAAGUCUAUAUAGUAAUUAAAAUACAAACAACAAUACUAAAUGAUACAAUUUUGUUUAAAGUUUUAAGCUUAAUUUUUGUCAUAAUAGAGAUCAACUAUAUGAUCUUCAUUUGAAAAAAUUGUGUAGCCUCGUCUACAAGCUACUAUGACAUAAGACAAGUUUUAAUUGGGUCUACCAAUACCAUUAUCUAAUCUAGUCGUGUACUCAUAAUGGUUUUCUUUCCUUGUAACGUGGAAUUUGAAAUAGAAGAAGAAAAUGACAAGGUGAAACAGAGAAUUCUCUUAACAAUACAUAGAAAAGAAGAAAAAGGGAGAAAUGGGAACAAAGAGAAGAAGACCCUUACUAUGAGUUACAAAGAAUAACAAAAUGUUAACAUUACAAAUGUGAUCCGUCUAAUAAUAAUUGAGUCAUUUUAUUAUUUUAAAUAUUUAAAAAUAUAUAUUGUAUAAAUGAAAGAUAUAAUAUUAUUUUUAUUAAAUUAUUCAUAUUAAAUAUUGAUGUAUAAUCGAUAUAUAAAUGAAUAAUAAAAGUUGUUGUAUUGAAAAUAAUAUAAAUAAUAUUAAUUAUAAAAUUUAUCAUUUAUUUUAGAAAAAAAUAUUUUACAAAUGAAUCAAUUAUUGUGGAACGAAAAAAUAGAGUAUAUAAUAUAUACACUAAAGAAUAAAACCAAAAAACUUAGAGUACUCUAAAAAAUCUAUACCAUUAUCUAAUAUUUUUUCUUGAUUGAAAUAUAAGUAAAAAUUGCAUUUGAAAAUUUAAUGUAUUUAAACUAAAUUUUUAAUUAAAUACAUAACUUUUCAAUUAUCACUAUUAUCUGUAAUUCAUUUUAAAGAGAGUAACUAUGUAUUAUGUAAUACUCUAGACCGACUUCCGACUUCUUGAGAUGCCUUGGUGAAGGAAACAGUUUCUAUGCAUAUGGAAGAUUUAUAUUUAGAGAUGUAUUUAAAAGUAGAUAGAUUUGAUGAAGUGGAGAUGUGAACUACCCAAUGUCAAAUUAAUGGCAAAAAAAUAUUUGAUUGGAUGAAUCUAAUAAAAUCGACCUUGAUGAACCUAAGAAAACGGUUUGAGUCAUUCCAUGUAAACUCGUGUGAUCCAUAAAUUAUGAACGAUUCUUUUUAUAAUAGUUUGGCAUUUGUUAGAAAUAGUUCAACCAUAUAAUAGCUCCCCCUACAAAAUUAGUAUCACACACACUCAAAACAAUGACAUAAAAUAUAUCUCUACAAGGAAACACGAUGAAAAAUAGUGAAAAUAAAUUACAUAUAUUUGAUGAUUUAUUGUACACUAUGUUUUUUGGAAAAUAAUAUAAAGUUGAGCCAAUUUUUAAGAAACAACAUAUGAUCUAUCUUUCACAAUCAAAUUUUAAAAAUAAAAUAAGAAUUUAGAUAAUUCAAUAUUAACCCAAUUAAAAAAUAAAUAGUUUGAAACAAUUUAAAGUAGAAUUGAAAUUGACUAUUUAUCUAUUAGAACUAAAUUAAAGUGUCUUGUGUUUUAAAUUUGAAUUUCGAUUUUGGCCAAAUCCAAUCCUAUAUGACCAAACCUUAUACUUGUAGAUAACUGGAUUGCUUGGUGAGUUGAAAUAUGGAUUGAGUGGUUUAGGGUCAUCAUAAAAGUAGACAACUUUUGUGUCUCGAUUCAAAGUUCUAACUGUGACAAAAAUGUGAACAGUAUUUGUGUAGAAUGAUCUGGCCGGCUCAUCUAUACAGAAAGAAUUACAAAUUGUUUUUCACAACCGACGAGAAACAAUGAAAAAAAUAGUAGUUUGUUUGGGACGAAAGAGUUUAUUCCAUUGCUAUCAAAAAUAAUAGUUGAUUCCAUUUAUUGUAACGGUUUCAUAUAUUGAUGUUGAUAUAGGUGGAGGGGAGCAUGUUCACUUGUUGAGUAUUCCCACUAAUUACUGUUAUAAAUUACUUUUCACAUUUAUUAAUUAGUACAGGACAAUUAUUUUUUAAAAUUUUAUGUAAAUUAUAAGUUUAAUUUAUUUAAUUGUUUAUUUUUAAUGUUAAGUUUUCACAUUAAAUAUUUUUGAAUUAAAUGGAGAAUAAAUUAAGAGUAAUAAUAUUAAAUGGUAUAAAAGUAGUUAUUCUAUUCUUUUUAAGUGUCAUUUUUUAGAACAUUUUUGUUCCUUUUUAUUUUUUGUUUUCAAAUUUUAAAAUAGUAUUAAUUUUUAGUUUGACAAAAUUAUCUCUAACUAUUAAUGCUGGAAGAAAAUAAAAAUAUGAAAUGAAAUAAUAAAUAGUUAAUAAUUGUAUUAUACAAAAACCUAGCAGCGGUGAAAAAAAUAUCUUCUUAUUCUUAACUUUUCUUCAUCUAUCUAGUAAAGACUAGUGGUUUAAGAUCAUUUUUGACCUAAAAUCACCCAUUUAAUUUUUUUUUUCUUCUUCUCCUUUUAAAAAAGUAAGUGUUUUUCACAUGUGUUUAGUUUUUUCGUUUGAUUUUCUGUUUCGGUGUUGUGUUUGUUUGACUCAAAUUAACAGUUUAAAUUCGAUAAGUGCAUAUUCACAUUCAAUUAAUAACUUUGACAUCCUAAAACAUUACAAGAGACAUGUGUAUUUCACACAAAAAAAUUUAUCGUAUUUAUAAACUUUAUCAUAAUUGUAAGUAUUUUUUUGUUUUAUAUUAUUAAUUUGAAUGUUGUGCGUUUUAUAUUCAUCUUUUUUUUUUUUUAGCGAUUUUAAAUUGUAUUAUUUUCGAUCAAUGUAAUUUUUUAUAAAAAGUAUCAAUAUUUAUUAGUUUUAUUGCUAUGUGUAAAUAAUUUAAAAAUGAGGAUUAAAGUAACAAAUUUUGAUUUAUAAUAGUGAUUAAAAUAAGAUUUGAGACAUUUGUCUUCCUCUUAUAACAAUGAUCUAAGAGAGUAUCACAAAUGUAGAAAACCUUCACACACAAAACACUUCCGGUUUGGUUGGGUUGAUUUUUUUUGUCUGGACCCUUAAUUCUCAAAGAAGGAUAUUUUGGUAAUCUAAUUUCGAUCAUUAAAUAAGUAAAGUAUGAUUAAUACUUGUUUUAGUUGGGUUAGAUGAUUGUUUAAUUACUUAUACUAGGAGCUAAUAUUAUUAUUAUUAUUAUUAUUAUCAUUAUUAUUAUUAUUAUUAUUAUUAUUAUUAUUAUUAUNNNNNNNNNNNNNNNNNNNNUAAGCUUAAUUGCAGUUUUGGUCCCCAUAUUUUAGUUGAAUCGCAAAAGUAGUUCUCCCAUUUUGUUUCUCCCCAGUAUUGGUCCCCAAACAAAAUUUUGGUCCAAAAUUUGAUGAAAUUUCAUUUUUUAAAGUCGUACUACACCAUUUAUGAUCAUAGAUUUCAGGUACAAUUGUUGCAAAUGAGAUCUUGAGGCAUAGUGUGGCUUAAAUAAAUGCAAAAAAAAAAAAAAAUCAUCAAAUUUUAGACCGAAAUUAUGUUUGAGGGACCAAAACUUGGGAGAAAUAAAAUGAGAGGACUACUUUCGCGAUUCAACUAAAAUAAGGGGAUCAAAACUGCAAUUAAACCUUAUUAUUAUCAUCAUCUAAAUGUGAGUACUUCUCCUAGUGUGAACAUACAUAUAAAUUAUAGGGAUAAAUCAAAACGAAACAUAUUACAGGGACUAAAAUUAAAACGAAACAUAUUUGUAAAAGAUCAAAAACAUAUUUAAACCAAAAUUAUAUAUAAAUUAACGCCACACAUUGCUCAAAAUUUCUAGAUAUUCCUUUUGUCUAGGAUAGACCAAUUAAAUAUCUAUUGAGUCCACAAUAGUCUAUUUUAAUAUCUAUGAUACAUCAUCAAACAUCGUGCUACUUCAUUCAAAUAUUGUCAAGUAAAAAAAUCUAGUGUGACACAUCCAAGAGACAUUCUUCCAUCAUCCUUAUUAUUUUAUAUUUGUAAUUUGCUUUAAUACACAUUUUACAAAUUACAAUACACUCAAUAUUAGUUAUUUGACAUUAUUGGUAAUAGUUUUUCUCAUGAUUUUAACUCUUUAAUUAAUAAUUGGGUCCUUUUAAUGGUUUAUCAAGAAAUACAUAUAUGAUUACAAUUAAUGAAAGUUGUUUUAUAUCGUAUAUUGUUAAGUUUGUCUGGAAAUAGAAAGACAAUAGAAGAUAUGCUUAGGUCUCUAUGGAACUCUUUCUAUUGAAGUAUGUGUAAGAUGGCUUGUCAACAAUUUUGUACUUGCUUGUAUCUAAAUUGGAUUUAUUUGUAUCCUCCUUUUACAUGUUUUAGAAUUUUUUUCCUUUUAGAUAAGCAAAAAGUGAUAAUUUUUACAUUUUUUGAGUUUACAUCUUUGAGUUUUAGUUUUAAUUAUAUGUUUUAAUAUAUUUGUAGUUAAUUGUUGUUGUUGAUAUUUGGUCCAAAUACAUCAAUGUUUUGUUCAAAAUAUGCUUAUAUUUUAUUAUAGAGGAUAUUACGUGUCAUCCAAUAUAUUUGUCGGAUAUACAUUGAAACUUGAAAGAAAUUUCUAACACCAAUACAUACCUCUUAAAUUUAAGUGAUAAUAUGAAUAAAUUAUACAUUAUUAUACGAUGACACUUUCAUUAUCUUUCUCACAUCUUUUUUUGACAUAAGAAGUUAAAAAGUGAACUACAUAACUCUCUAAAAUUCUUCAUACGAAGAAUAAUAAAUAUUUCAUGUCUAUGAGAUAAACAUAUUCUAUAUUUUCAUUUUCUAAAAUUGUUUAAUUUUCUCAAAUUGAAUAUUACAUAAUAUCAUUACGGAAAAAAAAUCACGUUUUAAUAAAAAAUAACUAAUUUUCAGUGAGAUUUAUAAAAAUGUAUUAUUAUAUUCCACAUCACUUAAUAGAUAAUUAAAAUUUAUAUUUAAAUCAAAUAGAUGAAUAUAAUUUAGAAUUAGACCAAUAAUUCGUUAUUGAAGUAUAAAAUUCUUUAAAUUCAAUUUGUAUUCUUUAUCAUGUCUUUUUCUAUUUCUUUUUAUUAUACCAUCAUUGAUAUAGACUUAGAAGAAAAUGUGUAACUUCUCUUAAAUAUUGAAUUUUUUUAUAUAGUUAUAUACUAAAAUAUAUUUUUAACUUUUUUUAAAUAGUAAAUUGUUUUCUGUACGAAAAAAAAUUAUCUCAAACACGUAUUUUUUAAAUAUUUUUUUUCAUUCUAUAAAACUUGUUUCGAUACACUAAAGUAAUCUCACAUAAAAAUUAAUGUCAAAAGUAAUUUAUUAAUAACAUAUAUACUCUUCAAUUCAUCGAAACACUUUUUUUUUUUUAUAAAUAAAAUCAUAAAAUAUUAUGUAAAUUAUUAUCAAAUUAUAUAUAUAAUACACAAUAUUUAAAAAAUUAUAUAUUUAGCUGCGUAAUGAAUCUUAAUCUCAUUAUUUAUUACUUUUGAGUAGGACAAACUAAUGGUAAAUUAGAAACAAGUUGACGCAAAUGUGAAUUUGUUCAUUUAGUACCAUUAAAAGGAUAAAUAUAAAUUAUAUUUCAUAAAUGAGUUUAAGAUUUCUCUUAUCUAUUUUUUUUAAUUAAAAAAAUAAAAAAUAAAAAAUGGCCAUGCUAAAAUUUUGUAAAGUUUGAGCUUCAAUAGAAAAAAUACAUAAAAGCAUAAUAUCUGAGUUUUCUGUUAGUGUUAUUUGUGUCAUGGAAGCAAAAAUUAAUUACAUGGAUGUAGCGGUUGUUGAAGAUGCAAACAAGGUACAAAUACUAAGUAGUAAGUAAUAGUAACACAAGAUAUAUAUCACUGUUUCAUUUUUUUUUUCUUUUGUCAGGUGAACUGCGGUCUCUAUGUUAUUUAUGGAAGGAAUAUUAGUGUGUUUAAGCUGUGAAAAAUACUGCUAUGUGUGUACAGAGCUCCUUGAACACCAUGGAAAUUUGGCAAAAGAAUCAUCAUGGAGAUUGGAGCAUAGAUUUAUGGGAAAAAGGUGCUAGAAUGAUAAAGAACCAUUGGUUAUACCCUUACUCUUUUUAAUUUAUUCUUUUUUUUAAUGUGUAUUAUAUUAUUGAAUUAUUCAAUUUUUGUUUUCAUUGUAGUGUACGAAUCAUUUCACUUAUAUAUUGUGAAAAUUAUAAUUUUAAAUUACAGUUACAGUUAUAAUUAUAAUUAUUGUGAUAUUACAAAUAUUUAUAUCGUAGAAAAAUGAUAUUGAUUUGUUUGAAAUUAUUGUUGAGAUGUGAUUUAAAAAACUUUAAAAUCCGAAAUUAUAAUUACACACUACAAUUUAAAAUCACAUUGAGAAAUGAAUACAAAAAUAAAGUGAAUGUUGAUAUUUUGCAAAUUCAAGGUGGAUGACUUUGACUCUCCAAGACUCCAAUCACAAUUUUAAAGGAAACAUAGUGAAAGUCAUGUGAGCAUUGGCUAAUACAUACCAUUUUUGUGACUUCAUCUAAUUUUGAAGUAUUCACUGUAACUUCCACUCACCUAGCACCUUGUAGUAACUUUUGUAGUUUUGUCACCCUCUUUUUAGUGGUUCAAAUUUGUUCUAAUUCAUAACAAGCAAUGCAAUNNNNNNNNNNNNNNNNNNNNNNNNNNNNNNNNNNNNNNNNNNNNNNNNNNNNNNNNNNNNNNNNNNNNNNNNNNNNNNNNNNNNNNNNNNNNNNNNNNNNNNNNNNNNNNNNNNNNNNNNNNNNNNNNNNNNNNNNNNNNNNNNNNNNNNNNNNNNNNNNNNNNNNNNNNNNNNNNNNNNNNNNNNNNNNNNNNNNNNNNNNNNNNNNNNNNNNNNNNNNNNNNNNNNNNNNNNNNNNNNNNNNNNNNNNNNNNNNNNNNNNNNNNNNNNNNNNNNNNNNNNNNNNNNNNNNNNNNNNNNNNNNNNNNNNNNNNNNNNNNNNNNNNNNNNNNNNNNNNNNNNNNNNNNNNNNNNNNNNNNNNNNNNNNNNNNNNNNNNNNNNNNNNNNNNNNNNNNNNNNNNNNNNNNNNNNNNNNNNNNNNNNNNNNNNNNNNNNNNNNNNNNNNNNNNNNNNNNNNNNNNNNNNNNNNNNNNNNNNNNNNNNNNNNNNNNNNNNNNNNNNNNNNNNNNNNNNNNNNNNNNNNNNNNNNNNNNNNNNNNNNNNNNNNNNNNNNNNNNNNNNNNNUAUAAAAAUGUAUUAUUUUAUUCCACAUCACUUAAUAGAUAAUUAAAAUUUAUAUUUAAAUCAAAUAGAUGAAUAUAAUUUAGAAUUAGACCAAUAAUUCGUUAUUGAAGUAUAAAAUUCUUUAAAUUCAAUUUGUAUUCUUUAUCAUGUCUUUUUCUAUUUCUUUUUAUUAUACCAUCAUUGAUAUAGACUUAGAAGAAAAUGUGUAACUUCUCUUAAAUAUUGAAUUUUUUUAUAUAGUUAUAUACUAAAAUAUAUUUUUAACUUUUUUUAAAUAGUAAAUUGUUUUCUGUACGAAAAAAAAUUAUCUCAAACACGUAUUUUUUAAAUAUUUUUUUUCAUUCUAUAAAACUUGUUUCGAUACACUAAAGUAAUCUCACAUAAAAAUUAAUGUCAAAAGUAAUUUAUUAAUAACAUAUAUACUCUUCAAUUCAUCGAAACACUUUUUUUUUUUUAUAAAUAAAAUCAUAAAAUAUUAUGUAAAUUAUUAUCAAAUUAUAUAUAUAAUACACAAUAUUUAAAAAAUUAUAUAUUUAGCUGCGUAAUGAAUCUUAAUCUCAUUAUUUAUUACUUUUGAGUAGGACAAACUAAUGGUAAAUUAGAAACAAGUUGACGCAAAUGUGAAUUUGUUCAUUUAGUACCAUUAAAAGGAUAAAUAUAAAUUAUAUUUCAUAAAUGAGUUUAAGAUUUCUCUUAUCUAUUUUUUUUAAUUAAAAAAAUAAAAAAUAAAAAAUGGCCAUGCUAAAAUUUUGUAAAGUUUGAGCUUCAAUAGAAAAAAUACAUAAAAGCAUAAUAUCUGAGUUUUCUGUUAGUGUUAUUUGUGUCAUGGAAGCAAAAAUUAAUUACAUGGAUGUAGCGGUUGUUGAAGAUGCAAACAAGGUACAAAUACUAAGUAGUAAGUAAUAGUAACACAAGAUAUAUAUCACUGUUUCAUUUUUUUUUUCUUUUGUCAGGUGAACUGCGGUCUCUAUGUUAUUUAUGGAAGGAAUAUUAGUGUGUUUAAGCUGUGAAAAAUACUGCUAUGUGUGUACAGAGCUCCUUGAACACCAUGGAAAUUUGGCAAAAGAAUCAUCAUGGAGAUUGGAGCAUAGAUUUAUGGGAAAAAGGUGCUAGAAUGAUAAAGAACCAUUGGUUAUACCCUUACUCUUUUUAAUUUAUUCUUUUUUUUAAUGUGUAUUAUAUUAUUGAAUUAUUCAAUUUUUGUUUUCAUUGUAGUGUACGAAUCAUUUCACUUAUAUAUUGUGAAAAUUAUAAUUUUAAAUUACAGUUACAGUUAUAAUUAUAAUUAUUGUGAUAUUACAAAUAUUUAUAUCGUAGAAAAAUGAUAUUGAUUUGUUUGAAAUUAUUGUUGAGAUGUGAUUUAAAAAACUUUAAAAUCCGAAAUUAUAAUUACACACUACAAUUUAAAAUCACAUUGAGAAAUGAAUACAAAAAUAAAGUGAAUGUUGAUAUUUUGCAAAUUCAAGGUGGAUGACUUUGACUCUCCAAGACUCCAAUCACAAUUUUAAAGGAAACAUAGUGAAAGUCAUGUGAGCAUUGGCUAAUACAUACCAUUUUUGUGACUUCAUCUAAUUUUGAAGUAUUCACUGUAACUUCCACUCACCUAGCACCUUGUAGUAACUUUUGUAGUUUUGUCACCAUCUUUUUAGUGGUUCAAAUUUGUUCUAAUUCAUAACAAGCAAUGCAAUACCUUUUUUUUUUUUUUGACAUAAAAGCAAUGCAAUACUUACUAUCGUAUUCAUAAAGUUAGCUUGGGGUUUAUCAAACUCAAACUCAAGCUCAAGCUUAACACCUAACUGAUUUUAUAUUCGAAAUUUUAAAGAAAAAAAGUUAGUAGUCACUAUUUGUCUGCAUUAGAAUUUAUGUUAAAUUCUGUACGGGCUAUGUCGGGCUUAAUAAGAAAGAUAUCAUUUAUUCUAGAGUGGGCUCAAUAAAAUAAAAGUAGUGAAAAAAGGUAAGAGGAAGUUGACCAAUCAAUGAUAAUAGGACAAGGUUUUGGAGGCAUUGUUAAUUAGUGCGAGGAAGUGUCCCAUGUGUCUACAAUAAGUAUAUGUUUAAAUGUGUCGUGAGUUUGGCUAUGAUAUGCACAAUUUACAAAUUAUAGUUUUUGUUAAAAUUGUGUUGGAUUAUAGUGAUUUUGUCAUUUUCACCGUUAAUUGAAAUAUAUAUUGAAUCAAUUAUUCAAAAUUUUAAAUGAUAAUUGAAUCGCCACGUUUAAGUAAAAGUACAUUAUCUUCUAAAUUCGUAUCUUUGAGAUAAUAGUGCAAUAUAGUAUGAUAUAUGUUGAUUUAACAAAAAUAAGAAAGAAUGAAUAUAAAUUGAAUUUUUAGUUUUGAAAUGUUAGAUUUUCGAUUUUGUAGUUGAGUUUUUGGUGACCAUAUGAGUUUUCACUUAUUGAGAGCGACAUCAAUUAUUAGAAUUUAAAAUGUGUUUUAAAAACUGACUCAUCGAUGGAAUCGUGAAUUGAAGCCCUCGCCACUUCGAGCAAGUAAUUAGAUCGACUAUGUUAUUAACUGUAUUUCAAUGUCAUCAAACCAAUAGUUUAACCAGACAAACAACCGAGCAUUAGAAACACAUAAAAUUGUGCAAAAAUAAUAGCCAAUUUUACGUCAAAUAGGAAUCGAACCAAGUAGUUUGAACAAUGACUCUUUUGCCCCCAUUGACCUUGUCGAGUCGAUAACCGAAUUAGUUUUUAAAACAUUGCUCCUCAUUGAAGUGUUCAUUCUAAUGAUAUAUUUGUUAAAUAGUUAUGCAUUUCUUUAUUGUUAAAAUUGUAUAUUUGACUAUAAUAUGUUCUUCAUUUUAUAUAACUUAUAUUAGUUUUGAAACAUUAGAUUUAUAAAUUUAUGUACUUUUUGACAUUUUUAAUUUUAUAUGUUCAUCGUAAUUAUGUCAAUCUCACCGUCAAUUUAAGUAUGUACUAAAUGAUAUUGUGUGUCUUGCGAUUUAUUAUAACAUUUAUUCGUGAGUGGUAUUUUGUUAAAAAUAAUGUUCAUAAUAACAUUCAAAAUAUUGAAAUAAUUCUUCAAGUGUGCAAAUAUAGGUCAUAUAUAUAAAAAAACACUACAACGUAAAAUAAAAAUUUCUUAGAGCAUCUCCAACGGCGAACUCAAAAUGGAUUCAUUAAAUGGGGUCCACCGUGCCACAUCAUUUUAAAAUAACUCGUUCAUCUUUUACUCCAACAACGAACUCACAUGUUCAUUAAAUAGGGUCCACCACUAAAAAACCAUUCAUUUAUUAUUACUAGUAAAUGAAUAAAAAAAAAAGGUAACCGUAAUCAAAAUACCGUUAUUCAAAAACUUUAAAUAAUAAUAAUAAUAAUAAUAAUAAUAAUAAUAAUAAUAAUAAUAAUAAUAAUAAUAUUUACAUAAUAAAAAUUUUAUUCCACAAAAUUGUUAAGCCAAAUAAAAAUUCAAUACAGAAUGUAACAAAAUUAUAUAGUUAUGGUAUUUUAUAUGGAGAACAAUUUCAAUUACUUUAACUAUUGUUUCGUCUAAAUAAUUAGAAUAUAAAAUAAAAUUUUCAAAUAAUUAUUUGACACAUAAUCUUCAAGAGUGAGUUGCAAAAAAUUAUAGGCAAGAAAAGUUUGUGGACGUUUAAGACAUAGAAAGUUUCGAGUAAAUAGUAAAAAAGUUAGAAGUUAUUCAUUUUCAGAUAUUUAAGAUUAUUCAUUUUUUAUUUUGUUUCGAUUGUGAUUUGUGUUUUUUUUAUUAUAAAAAGAAAAAAUGCUAUGAGAGACACAUUAAACAUCAUAGGAAAAAAACUUACCUCAUAUGCAACUAUAGUUAUAUAUGAUAUUGAACAAUAAUUGACAAUAGAAGAACAAUAUUAUUGAAGAAUCUAUGAAAUGAGAAUGUGUCACACAAAUAGGUGUAGUUUGAUUGCAUUUUAUAAUAUCGUUAUCAUUGUUUGAACAGAAAAUGUGCAAUAGAGUGGUUGAAAAACUGAAGAUAGAUUUUGAUAUAUGUAUGUAGUCACACUUGCAAUGUUUUGAAGAUAUUGAAUGAUUUGUUCUUUUUUGUAUGAGUUAUUGAAAUGAAAGUUUUUGAUGAGUAAUUAGUGUCUUUAAGUGUAUUGAUGAGUCGUUGAGUGAUAAUUAAUUAAAGUUGAAAUUGCAUAACUAAACAAAAUAAAAUAGAAGUCGAAGAUGAAAAAAAAUAGUAUGCUUUGUAAGGUGCCACAUUAGAAUUUGUGUAAGUUAAUAAAUAUUAGAUGAUGUGGCAUAGAGAAAGAUGAAUUGUUUGCAAAUAGAAUUUAGGGUUUUGUUUUAAUAGAUUAUAAUAGAUAAUUAUAAUAUAUGUCUAAUCCAUAUGUUAUGAAACAACAUUUGUUAGAUAUUGUUAUGUUUUAUAAAUGGGCACAAAAUAAAAUAAAUUACAGUUUUAGUCAUCUUAUUUUUACUAAUUUACGAAAUUGAUUCCUCUAUUUCUAAAAUCGACAGUUCUGGUCUCUCCUUUUGAUUUUUUAACUAAGAAAAUGAUUAUGUGAGAUGGUUUAAAUAAUGUAACGUAUGAUACGACAAUGUAGAAUGAUUAACACCCACAAAAUUGAAAUAAAACGCCGUAAAAACUUAGAUUUCAACUUCAAAAAAAAAUUAUAUUUUUAAUUUAAUUAAUACAUCUAGAUGAUUCUAUAUUAUAGAAUUGUAUGUCGCGUCGUUAAAAAUAUGUCAAAUCGUCAUUUUUUUAGUUCAAAAAUUUGAGGGAGAGACCAAAAUUGUCGACUUUUGAAAUAGGGGGACCAAUUAUGUGAAUUAGUAAUAAUAGAGAGAUUAAAACUACAGUUAACUCAAUAAAAUAUUGAUAUGUUUCCUAGGGAUAAAAACCUACACUAUUCUUGGUCUUGAGUAAAUAAUGAGCCCAAGCUCAUACUACCAGAGCUUUACAUACAUUAUUCUUCCUUUGAGUAACUUUAUAAAGGGGGAGUGUACACACUUAAAUCGACUACUACACAUGUUGUCUUUCCGUGUUCAAUUGGCUCGGCUGGAAUAGGCCAGGUACUAAGUGGUAUAUUAAAUAUUUAUUUUUUUAGUACUAGAAAAAAAAUAUAUUUAUUUUUUAAUAUGUGUAUUUUUUUUUUUUUGACAAUUUUUUUUUCUUUCACCGAAUCAACAACAACUGAUAUGAUCCGUAAUUCAUUCUUCAAUUUUUUCGUGCGGCAGUUUCGCUAACCCAAUCAAAUUAGGCGUGCAUCAGUUUCGCAUAUCAGUUCAAACAGAGUGUGUUUUCUGCUCAGUUUUCAAAAUAGACCCAAACUCCGAAUUCCGAGUUUUCUCUUUUAUCCCUUUUCAACUUCGUCCCAAAUUUUAUUUCCGUCCUUUUAUCGGAAAAAAUUUGUCCCUUCAAAUUUUCAAGUUAUAUUACGAGUGACUUUAGCCACCAUAUUUAAAUUGUGUAAUUCUAGAACGACUUUAUAUGAUGCAAUAGUAAAACUAAGCUAUUUUAUCUUAAAAACUUCGUGGUUGAUAAUCUGUUUUGCACAAUUUUAAAUAAUACUACGAAAUGUUUUAAAUAGAACGACCUAAUUCACAACUUAACUCAAUAAUAUAUUCAGUCACAGAAAAUUAUUUUUCAAAUCAGUUUUUUAAAACUUAAAAAUUUCAUAUUAUAUAAAGCGAUGGAGGUAGUACGACAUUACAAGUAAGUACAUACACCUUGGUUUAUUAGUCCUAGACAAAAAUAGAAAGUCCAUUCUUCAAACUCUACUUAUUGUAAUACAUACUUCUAUGAAUAAACAUGUCACAUAAUUUGAAUGAUCAUUCGCUAGCAACUUUAACUAACUGUUUUCCAAAGUUGCGACCACUGAAAAGUCCAACAAGAGCUGCUGGGCCAUUUUCAAGGCCUUCAACAAUGUCUUCAACAUAGACAAGUUUGUGUUCUCUAAUGUAAGGCAACACAGUCUCUAACAGCUUUGGAUAGAGAUGGUAAUGAUCUCUUUGACUAAAUCCUUUUACGGUUAGUCUCUUGAAUGCAAUAUGCAACAAAUUCUCUAGAGCUUCAGGAUGAGGAAGAUUGUACUGUGAAAUCAUUCCACAUAUAGCUAUACGACCAUGGUCCUUCAUAUUUAGGAGCACUGCAUCAAGCAUUUUACCUCCUACUUGUUCAAAGUAGAAAUCAAUGCCUUCAGGGAAGUACCUAAUGACACAAAAUAUAAAGGAAAUUCAAUGCUUCAUUUAAGAGUUAAAAGCUCAAAGACAAACUUUAUGGGACUUCCUAAAGAUUCGUUCGGGUGAUUCUUCCUAACAUUUCAUCGUAAAGAUAAAAAUGUUGAACAUCAUAUAAAUAAUGAAGGUACUCAUACAAAACCUAUGUCUUAAAGUUCGGGAGUAACGGUUAUAUAAUUGCUCUUAAUCUAAUAUAAAGAUCUCUCCGAUAUUUAUGCAUCGACGAGGCUUGAGCUAACAUGUUAAGUGCUAAUAGUGACUAAUAUUUCUAGCCCCCUAUAAUAUAAUGUGAACUUACCUUUUCAAAGCUGCAUCCAAAUCAACCUCUUCCUUGUAAUUAAAAGCAUCAUCAAACCCAAGCUUGUUCUUUAAAAGAUCAACCUGUAAAACAAACAAGGAUGCAUCAAGCAAAAGCUGACACCAACUAACUACUAAUAAUGAUGAAAUUCUAUACAAAUUGUGAUGUUUAGAAACUUUACUUUCUCUUGACUACCAGCACUUCCAACAACAUAACAACCCAACAAUUUAGCGAAUUGUCCGGUGAGCUGACCGACAGCACCCGACGCUGCUGAGAUGAAAACACAUUCUCCUUUCUUUACACAACCAACUUCAAAGAUACCAGCAUAUGCAGUAAUACCAGGCAUGCCUAUUGAAAUAGAAAAAAAGAAGAAACAUCACAAACUAAUCAAAAAGAGCAUAACAAAAUAUGUUUAGAAGAACUCUUGAAUUACCAAGAAUUCCAGUGUAAUAGGAAAGAGGCACAUCAGUAUGCUGGAUUUUGUAGAGUUUCUCUGGAUUUUGAAUUAGACUAUAUUCUUCCCAAAAGGUUGUUCCCCAAACCAAGUCACCUGCACUGAAGCUAGGAUGACCUGAAUCCAAUACCUUAGCCACUCCAAAUCCAUUUAUAGGCUGCAAAGUUAAAACCAAAAGAAACAAGUAAAACAAAGUUCAAUGUGGUGUAAAUCGGGUAUCCUCCACGCACAACUGCAGAGACUAAUCCCUCAAACUGAGUAGAACCACAAUAGACGACAAAAUUCUUUCUCAAAAUUUGUUAGCACUGGUGCAUUCUUAUGGAUGGAUUCAAACCCAAAACCUCUGGUUAAGCUAGAAGAGUCACAAAUCAUCUCAUUCAAGCGCUCGUAACAAAGUUCAAGUGUUUGUGUAGCACCAAAAUAAUUCAUCAAAAAAUAUAAUAUUUAAUAAUUUAAUUUUUUGGGUACAUAUAUGCUAAGUUUUAUAGUCCAAGGCUUAGAUAGAGUCAUUUCACAUAAACGACUCUGGUGAAUAUUUCAUAGUUCCAUAUCCUUUUUAAUCUUUGUGUGUGUUUGGUUUUAAGGUGAUAAAAAUAGAUUCAUUAAAAAGUGACUUUUGUAGAAUUGAUAUUGGCUAAAAAUGAGUUGAAUGUAAAGUAAUUUAUAUUUGAAUACGUUUAUGUAAAAAUGAGUCGUACGAUACAUUUGAGGUUAAUUUUUUUUUGAAAUUCUAGUUUAAAGUGAGAAUCAACUUUGAAGGCAAAAUGAAUUCUACUUGAGGACAUCCAGACAUGACACAAAAGUAUACACAUCUUUAAUUGAUUUUGUGUCGUCCACCAAACAUACACAAAAUAUCCGUAUUUAGGACAAUACUUACAGAGCCAGGGACAUAAUAGUAAUAUCCAGAAAGACGAUAUUCAGCUUUUCUCAUUCGGAAUUGCAUGGUUGGAUCACAAGAAAGGUACAGAUUCUUCACCAAAACAGCAUUUGAUCCUUGAGGAACCUCAAGUUUUAUCUUACUUGUACUUAUGUAUAAGUCAUCUUCUCGAGGGUAGCCAGUAAUGUAGUCCCUUAAUAUAACCUGUUUGUUCUGAACUUCAUCUCCAACAUUGUUCUUUCCCAUGAUGAACUAUCCUCUAUGAAACUUUUAGGUGUCUUUUGAUGCUUCUUCUAGUUGUAGUUUACCAUGUAAUUGCAACCCUUUAAAUAUUGUGCUACAUCGUAUCCAUUAACUUACGUAAAUAAUAUUUUUUCCUCAAAAAAAAGUAAAUAAUAUUUUAUUACAUGUGUCUGUAUAGAGUUUAACUUCAACUAUUAUUUCCUUUAUUUACUCUUUUAACAACUAUAUUGUCUAAUGGGGUUGCACAAAACAUAUAUGAAGUGCAAGUAGUUGGUACAUUUGUGACCGUCCGAUUAAAAUCAGACGGUCCAGAUUUCAAACAAAUUUUAUAGUUUUUAUAAAUUCAAAAAAUUUAUUUUAAAAUCUGAGUCAUCUGAUCUCAAUUUAAUGGCUACAAAUACUCCAAUUGCAAGACAACAUGCAGUUUUGAAUACAUGCAAUGUGUAUCUGUGCAAAACAGGGAAAGAAUGUAAGUGGAGCAGAAUUAAGGCUCCAUACAUAUUUGUAGUGAAGUUGCAAGCAGUGACGUAAUGUUAAUUUCCUUUGCGUAUUUGUAUUUUAUAGCCACCUUCCAUAUUCAACUGUGCCUGCCUCAAUGUUUAUAACUUUUGACUUAACAAUUCUAUGAAGAAAUUAUUACUUUCUUUAACGUAGAAAAUAAUUCUGUGAACAUAACAUAAGCCCUUUCUGGAGCAACAUAUGUUCAAAUAUAUUUUUUCAAACUGCCUUGGUGAUUCAAGAGAACUGUAUCCGCCCACAGUUUUCAAGCCUUUGGGAACUUCAUUCUGAGAGAAGGAACAAGUUGAAUAUUCCUUAUACCAAAGCAUGUAUAACUUUUCAAGAUAAUACGGAACAAGUUGAAUAUUCCUUAUACCAAAGCAUUUAUAACUUUUCAAGAUAAUACAACUGGCUCAAUUCUCCAUAUAUCUCUAGCAUAUUCAUGAAUAGUCCUGUCACUGCUGAAUUUAUACGAACCGGCAGUGUUCAAGAUUGACAUUCUUGUCCAUUUCUGCACCAACACAUCAAUGAAUUUUUUUAGAUUGCUACAUUAACCAUAUGACAUGGCUUAUAUAACUACUUGCAUAAAUAACUAUGCAUUAAGUAGUAUGUAUUUAAACAUGAUGCAUAAGUUCGAAUAUACUGUGCACGAGAAAUUCAUGAGAACAAAACUUGUGCAAAGCUUGUAGGCUUUAAUCUUCAUUAUAAAUUCAACAAGAAGGUAAUAGACGAAAAUUCAUGUUUUGUUCAUGAAUUGCUAUUACUUACUUUUUUAUCACGAUAUGCCUUAUCAACUUCUUCUUGACACUUCAAGUAGCUAGGGAAGUCCUUGCCAACAAGGAAAUAAUCAGCACGACCAUAGCCUUCAUUCCCUUCUAAAGAUCCCAUCAACUCGUCAUAGUUGUAGGUGCCAAAAACACCACUUCUAACAUAUGCCUUCACUUCUUCAAACCAUGGGUCUGGUACAAACUGCAUAUAUUAUACAACAGAUCACAUAAUAUUGAGGUUAUGAUGUAUAAUUCCGUUGGCUUUGACUUAAUUAACAAUGCCGUAAAGGAUCUACAGAAGCCAAAAUUUUAUUGACUCUUCAACUAUUAGAUAAUACACUUUGUCUAAGCUUUUCACCAGCUCAAGCUGAUAGAACAUGAGGAUGAGGUUCUGGGGUUGCUUAAGCAAUUGCUAUUUUCACUGAUAUGAAAAAUCGAAGUGUGCGUAACAAAAACAAGAAGGAAAAGGAAAUAUUGCAUUGAAUAGCUUAUUCUGAUUGCUUUUAAAACUUACCUUUCCCUCUGCUCUUUCUUUCCUUAGCCCUGCAAUUUCUUGAGCCCGUGCACCAAAAAGAAAGAAGUUUUCUUCUCCAACUUCUUCUCUUAUUUCAACGUUAGCCCCAUCAAGAGUUCCAAUUUGUACACAUCCAUUCAUUGCAAAUUUCAUGUUGCUUGUUCCACUGGCCUCCAUACCAGCUGUGCUAAACACACACAAAAAGAGAAGUCAGAAACAAAAACUGUAAACAUUGAUUGUAAACCAAAUCUAAAAUAUUUGUUUUUAAGAAAAUAUUUAUCUAUACCUGAUGUGCUGGGACAACUCACUUCCAGGAAUUAGCAUUUUAGCAACACUGACAUUGUAAUCAGGAACAAAUACAACCUGCAGAUUAAGACAAUGACCAAGAUUUGUCUUAAGACUAAGUAGAAAAUGAUACUACUUUAACACCCUUUAUCCGCUUUUCCUGAAUGAACCAACCACCACAAAAUUAUCAGCUAACAUCCUAUAGUUUUAAAUUUUUGCUGCAGCUGAGGCGUCGUUUUGUUAUGUAUGACAAGUCGCAUAAAUCAGUUAAUUACUUCAGUCCAUUUUUGCUGAGAUAUUCAUUUAUUUAACUAAUGGAAUUUGAUCUUGGAAAAGCAGUUUUCAAAGUGCCACUUGAGAUAAAGCAAAUGGUUUUUUAUUCUAACACCUUUAAGCAUAGACAACCAAAUUUUUGGAAUGACUACAAUGUGUUUAGUUAUGAAUCAGUAAUCACCCAAAUUUUAUUCAUACCUUCAAAAGAUCUCCAAUCUCUGGAUCAUGAUUAACUGUAGCUCCUACAUCUGUGAUGAACUUUACAAUCCUCUUGGCUUGAACAUAUGUCGCAAAUGCUUUCCCACCAAAAAUACAAACCCGAGGAACAAACAUUUGUUUUCUUUCCUCAGCACUCAAUUGUUUGAUUUGUUUGUAGCGAUAAACAAUUCCCAUGAUAUUCAGUAACUGCCGCUUGUAUUCAUGGAUACGUUUCACCUGAAAAUUGAUGUCAUAUAUAAUUAACCAUGAAUUGAGUGUGUAAAAACAACAUGCAAUUGGAAUUUUAAUGGUUGUACUUGUCCCAUUUUCCCAAGUAUGAUUUCAUGUUAGUCAUUUAUCUAUUCAGCUGUCAAUUUAUUGGAUCUUGGUUUUACAUAACAAGUUGGAUGUGUAGUCUAUAUCCAGUUAAGUGGUUUAUUUCAUUUUUGUUAAUAGUUACCUAUGUGUUUGUGGAAAAAUAUUAUAUUUAGCCCAUGUAAACAUAAAAUAUGGCACAGAAAUUGAACUUGUGCUGUUAGACAAAAAUAAAAACAAAACUUAGAUAAUUGACUGCAUAAUAUAGUAUGUAAGAAUCCGUCAUAAAGGGUUGAUGAAACGUUUCCAGAAUUGUUAUUAUUCAAAUGUUAACUAAAUCGGGAAAAGAAAGAAAUGAAGUUCUUGAAGUAAAAAAACAAACCUGUACAUCAAACAUUGCAUUUGGACUGACAACAUAGCCGGUUUUCUCUUUGAUAAAUGAUGCAACCUUAAUCUUGUUUCUUCUUUUUGCUUCCAUCCACUCUAAUUGUAGAUCAUCAUUAUCUGCAAACUGUUAGAAAAAUUUCUCCUUAAGAAAAAAAAAAUAGGAACAAAAAAACAUAUAGAAUAUGUGCAUAAAAGAUUUGAGAAGUGACAUUCGACUAAGGAAGUAUCAAUCACCUAUAAAGCUUGUUGCUACUUUGAAGCUACAAUGUGACUAGUCAUGUAUAUAUAUAUAUAUUCAUUAUCCAACAGUAAGAAGUUGUUGCAUAGAAAUUAUUUAAUUCAAAUAUCAUUCACAAUGCUUGGAUUAAUUAAUUUACCUUGCGAAGUAUAGCCAAUUUCUCAAGAUCUGUUACCCAGUCUUCUGUUCCAAUCCAUUUGGUUAUGAUUUUACUCAGAUCGGGAUUACAGAAACGAAUCCAUCUUCUAGGUGUCACUCCAUUUGUUUUAUUGCUGAACUUCUUAGGCCAAAACUGUCAAAUCAAUGACAGAGAAAUUUAAUGAGUAUCUUAUUUUAUUGAUGUGUAUAUACCAGUAAUCCCAAGAAAUAGGUGUUCAUACUAACAGAGAAAGAAUCUGCUGGUUUUGGUACCUUGUAAAAUUCAUUAAAAACUUCCUCUUUUACAAUCUCACUGUGAAUCUCAGCCACUCCAUUCACAGAAAAUCCACCAACAACACAUAGGUUAGCCAUGCGAACCAUCAUUGGCAGUUUUGGAUCAACUUCGAAUGUCUUUUCUAUUUUGUUCUCUACAACAGCAUCUUUACCAUCAUCGCCGUCUUGUUCCUCUUCCGUCACUUCUUUUUCAUCAUCUUCUUCUUCUUCAUCAUCUUUCUUGUCUGAUGCCUUUAUAUCAUUAUCAUUAUCAUUAACAUCAAUGUCCUCAACAGGAUCAACAGCUUUUCUAGUAUUAUUAAGCAGCUCAACCACUGAAUCAGGCAACUCGAAAUUUUCUAGUAUUCUCAUCUUUCUAAGCUUUUCUUGCAGCAAGUUAAGAUCAUCUGUUCCAUACUCAGAAAUAAUUUCAUGUAUAAACUGAUUUACAAAACAAAGAUACAAGACAUUAGAUUUCAUAAAGAAGAUCAUGUAGAUGGGCAAAUG